rnacentral:lncRNA from 1 species
AUUAUUCUGCUGUUGUGGAAUCGGUUUCUGGCGAUGAUUUUGGUGUUGUUGUUGAGAAUGGUGAUGGUGAUGGUGAUGAGGAUGUUGUUGAGAAGGGAAACAGGUGCAUGCGACUGUUCUAGCAAAAGGGUAUUGCUCAGACGGGUUCGUGAACACUAAUUUGAUAAAUUUUUAUUCGAAUGGAGGUGGUGUUGAGCAAGAACGCCAUGUGUUUGAUGAUAUGACUCAAAGAAGUGUUGUUAGCUGGAAUUCCAUACUUGUUGGGUAUGUUAGGUGCGGUGAUUUUGAUGCAGCGGGAAAAGUUUUCGAGGAAAUGCCAUAUAGAAAUGUUGUGUCUUGGACGACCAUGAUUGUUGGGUGUGCUCAGAAUGGGAAAUUUGAACAAGCUUUAUUGUUGUUUGGUCAGAUGAGGAGAGCACAUGUGGAAUUCGAUCAUGUGGCGUUGGUGGCAGCUUUAUCAGCAUGUGUUGAAUUAGGGGAUCUGAAGUUAGGAAGAUGGGUCCAUUGGUAUGUUCAAAAGAGGCAAAACAACCCUUUGUCCGCUUGAACAAUGCACUCAUGCACAUGUAUGCAAGUUGUGGAAUUAUUGAUGAAGCUUAUCAAGUGUUUACCAAGAUGUCUCGGAAAACAACUGUGUCUUGGACUAUAAUCAUCAUGGCUUUUGCAAAACAAGGUCUUGGGAAGGAAGCUCUUGAUCUGUUUAAAGAUAUGCUUAGUGAUGAUUUGGGGGAAAAUGGCGUAAAACCUGAUGGAACAAUCUUCAUUGGAGUUCUUUGUGCUUGCAGUCAUGCAGGGUUUGUAGAGGAAGGACGCAAAAUUUUUGAAUCGAUGAUACAUACUUGGCGAAUCAGCCCGAGGAUUGAACACUAUGGAUGCAUGGUUGAUCUCUUGAGCCAUCAACCCAGAAUUUUUCAUUUGUUUAGGGUUUAUGAUUUUAGGUGUUUUUUCUUUUAACUUAAUUUUAAUAAUUAAAUUGUAUUUUUAAAAAUAUUGUCACAAUUAUAAUAAUAGUUUUUAAAAAUAUAAAUUAUAUUUUUUAAUCAGAAAUAAUAUAAUAAUGAGUUGAUUCCACAUAAGCGUCUACCACGUCACCCUUUUAUUGACACGUCAUUAAAAAAAUGACAAUUCAUCAUGAUUUGGACUCAAAUUCUGUUUGGGGGACUAAAAUUGGGGACAAACAAAAUGGGGGGACUACUUUCAAUUUUCACCUAUAAUAGGGGGACCAAAAGUGCAAUUAAGCCUAAUUUGAAUUACAACAUCCAUAUGUUCUUGGCAGGGAGAAUUUUAUAGUUGAUUUACCACACUGACAGCGAAAGAAAUUUCAGGACAGGUGACUGUGAGAUAGUUUAAUUUUCAAAAAUCUCCUAUAUCUUCUGGAAUUUGAUAAAGGUUCCUCUAAUUAGGUAGGAGUUUGACAUUUGAACCCAUAGGAGUAUAAUCUAGUUUGGCCUUUAAUAGACCUAUUUCUUCAAGAAUAUCAUAACAUAUUUUCUUUGUAAAAUUACAAGGCCAUCCUAGAAUCGGGCUACUUUAACACCUAAAAAAAUAACAGUUUAUUGAGGUCUUUAGUCAUAAACUGAUUUGAAAGAUGUUGUUUCAACUAUAGUAUUCCUUAAUGAUCACUACCAUUUAUGACAAUGUCAUCCACAUAAACAAUAAGACAGAUUCACCCUUAGACUGAGUAAUAAUAAAAUACAGAGUGAUCGACUUCACUACAGAUUAUACAAGACUCUUUGUACUACGGAUGACUCUUCAUCGUAUGCAUAUUUUUCAUUGUUUUUAGUCUUAUCUAUCUUUAAUCAUUAGUUGAUUCAAAGAGUUAUUUGAUAUAUUUUGUUGAUUUUAGUUCUUGGAUUUAAUGAAAUGUUUAUGUUCUUAUUUCCUUGAUUAAGUAGAGAUUUUUCGUAGUUUUGCGUUGUUUCCUUGUUUUAAUGCAAUGUUGAAUUUUGGUGAGAAAUCAACAUGAUCUAUGUGGAGUAUUUCAGUCAUAUAUGGAGUUGAAGAUGUCCAAUUGAAGUCAAACUAAGUAUAAAUGAAAGCUAAGAUCCAUAUAUACAACUUUCAUGAAGACACCAGCCAAAUUUGGACUCAAAAGAGGAGAAACAUGCAAUAUACGUCAAAAAGAAGAGGUUUUUCACCUGAAGCACAAAAACAUGCGUCUGGCGUGCAUUUUGACAUUCCUGGCACUAUUCAGGCAUGCCCAUAACGCAAAUCUUGCGCCUGAGCGUGUAGGGCGCUGCUGAAUGUAUAAAAACACGUUUUCUCACUUUCUAGGUAUCUUUUUGACUAUUAGAAAGUUUGGAGACUUGUGCCCUAGUAGAGAAACUCAAAGACGAACGUUUCUAACACCAUUGGAGUAGUUUUAAGAAUGCUUGACAUGAGAAAUUCAUGAUAUUAUAAUCAAGGGAUAAAUGCAGGUCAUGAAACCAAUUAAAUUAGUUGCAAAGACAAUAGUUUAACAAGAAAAUUCAUGUACGGUAAGACUUAAUUCUAAUCUUAAAUCCACUAAGGAAUUAGGGGUUACUUUAGAAUUAAAGGUUUUGUUAGUAAGACAUUAGAGCAAGAAUAAUAAAGAGAAUACGAAAAUAAUUCAAUAAAGGAACUAAGUAAGUAGGAUCAAAUUAGACCAAAUGUUGAAUUUUAAAUAAUAUUUAAAAUGUUAACGGUAAUAAAAUUGAUCCUUUAUAGUAAAAAACUGAGUAUAUCUAUUGGCCACCAAGCGAGAAGUGAGAAGAUGUCGUUGAAAUCCAACCCAAAAAACUGAGUAUAUCUAUUGGCCACCAAGCGAGCCUUAAAUCGAUCAAUCUUACCAUCAGGGUCAACCUUCACGUAUUGAGCCAACAACCAACUAAAUACUUCCCAUUACGUAAAAGAACCAGUUCCCAAGUAUCACUGCUUUGUAGAACACACGUUUCAUCAAGCAUUGCUUGCCUCCACUCAGGAUGGGAUAAUGUUUCACCUAGAGAUUUAGGAAUAGAAACAAAAGACAAACAAGACAAGCUAAUGAGGAGAUGGAUUACGUGUUGUGCGAAUAACCUUACGAAGAGAAAUGGGAAGGUCAUGCUCAAGUGGCAGGGCCGAAUCCGGUGGUGACGUCGGAGGAGAGUUUGUAAUGGGAACAAGAACAUGCACAACGGAGGGUGGGCGACGACAAUGAUAUGUUUGUAGUGGUCGUGGAGUUUGGGGGGCAGACUCAGCAGGUUCGAUAUGAAUAAGAGUAAGCGGAAUAGGGAUAACUACCUAAGGAGGUUCGGGAUUAAUGUCUUGAUGGGCCUCAAUAGUUAUAUGGGUCGGUUCAAAAUAGAGUACAUACUUGAAAAAGGUAACAUUAGCCUACGUAACGUAUCGAUGUAGUGCAUGAGAAUAACAACAAUAGCCCUCUUGGGACCGAUGAUAUCCGAGAAAGACACACUAGAGUGAUUGAGCUGACAGUUUGUCGUGACCAGAAGAUAAAUUGUGAACAAAAUACGUGGACUCAAAUACACGAGGAGGUAGUGGGUGAAGAAGGGUAUAGGGAAAUAGGACCGAAUGAGGGAUAUGGUCAUCAAAGACAGAAGAUGACAUAUGAUUGAUAAGGUAGCAUGUUGUUAAGACUGCAUCCCCCAAAAACAGAAUGGAACAUUACUAUGAAGAAGUAAGGUUCAGGUGGUUUCAAUGAGAUGUCGAUUUUUGGGUUUGGCUACUCUAUUCUGUUGAGGAGUAUGAGGACAUGACGUUUGGUGAAGAAUACCAUAGGAAGCCAUAAAAUUUUGAAAUUGAUAAGACAAAUAUUCCUAAGCAUUAUCCCUUCGUAAAGUAGGGAAUAGAAACACAAAAUUGAGUUUUAAUUUCUUGAUAAAAUUGCUCAAAAAUAUAAAACAAUUUAGAUCUAUUUUUCAUUAAAAACAACCAUGUACAACGAGAGUAAUCAUCAAUAAAAGUAACAAAAUAUUUAUACUCUAAAAUAGACACAAUACGAUAAAAACCCCAAAUGUCAUAGUGAACUAAAGCAAAGGGUGACAAAACUCUUUUAUUGACUCGAUCAGGAAAAUGAUUACGAGUGUGAUUCCCUAAUUGACACGACUCGCAAUGUAAAGUGGACAACUUAAACAAACUAGGCACCAAUUUUUGAAGUUUAGUAAGACUUGGGUGUCCUAGCUGAGCAUGGAUAGUGUGAGGAGAAUUUGUGGCAAAACAUGUCUUAGAUGAUAUAAAAAGGUUAGAGAGGCCUUAAGACUCGUAUCUGACGCCAAUCGUCCAUCCCGAACUCUGGUCCUACAUGGUAACAUUAUGUGAGAACUUAUGACAGGUCCAAAUCUGCAGCGUGGAGAACUUAUGUCCGCAAGGGUAAAAAAGAGAAUAAGCAGUCUAUUAAUGACAGGGCAGAGAAACUCACUAAAUUCUAGGGAUUUCAGUUACACAUAGGGGAAUAAAUUAAGGAGGGUAGGGGAGUAUUGCCCAUGAAUAAUUAUAAUUAUCAUUGAAUUAGGAGAUACUAUUUUCUCUGGAGGAGCUUUGCUCUGGGUUAUACAUUGUAUCAGAAUUUUCCCUUCUUCCAUAAAUCAAUAAAUUUCCAUUUUAUCUAUCAUUUUACGUUCACAGAUCCCUAUUUUUCUGUGAUUCUAUCAUUGGUCCGACCUGCCGGAUCUUCGAGAACUACCAGUGAUUUUUGUACGUUGUACAUGCCACCGAAACUGUCAGAUCAAAUGGAAGUAGUUGAAGCAAGAAUCACAGCGGUGGAAGAAUCUGUUCGCCAUGAGUUGAGGGAAUUUCGCGAAAUUAUGAUGAGCGAGUUCACGAGGUUGCUAGAGCAACGACCAAUUGGAACGGGGGAACAAUAUGCACAUUCUGAGGACUCAGUGACAGAGUAUAAGAUGACAGUGAAGAAAGUUGAGUUACCAUCAUUUGAUGGUGACGAUCCUGUGGCCUGGAUCACGCGAGCUAAAACGUAUUUUGAAGUUCAAGGGACGUCGGAGGAGGUGAAAGUCAGAUUGGCGAAGCUAAGCAUGGAGGGCACAACAAUUCACUGGUUUAAUUUGUUGAGUGAGACAGAGGACGAUUUGAAUUGGGCGAAACCGAAACGAGCAUUAAUUGAAAGGUAUGGGGGAAGACAAAGUGAUAACCCCUUUUAAGAGAUGAAAGAUUUGCAACAAACGGGAAUAGUUGAUGAAUACAUUACCACCUUCGAAUAUGUGUCGUCACAAGUAGCAAGACUACCGGAGGAGCAAUACCUUGGGUACUUCAUGGGAGGACUCAAGAACCCAUUCGCUUGGAAGGUGCGUACAUUGAAUCCACAAACCAGAUUGCAAGCAAUGAAGAUUGCUCGUGAUGUCGAAACAGAAUUACGUGGGUCUCUGAUUUCAAUAGGUGGUAGUGUGGGUGGGCUUCGCAGUUGGAAGGGAAGUGGGCCAAGUGGAUCCCAUCAUUUGAUGGUGACGAUCCUGUGGCCUGGAUCACGCGAGCUGAAACGUAUUUUGAAGUUCAAGGGACGUCGGAGGAGGUGAAAGUCAGAUUGGCGAAGCUAAGCAUGGAGGGCGCAACAAUUCACUGGUUUAAUUUGUUGCGUGAGACAGAGGACGAUUUGAAUUGGGCGAAGUUGAAACGAGCAUUAAUUGAAAGGUAUGGGGGAAGACAAAGUGAUAACCCCUUUUAAGAGAUGAAAGAUUUGCAACAAACGGGAAUAGUUGAUGAAUACAUUACCACCUUCGAAUAUGUGUCGUCACAAGUAGCAAGACUACCGGAGGAGCAAUACCUUGGGUACUUCAUGGGAGGACUCAAGAACCACAUUCGCUUGAAGGUGCGUACAUUGAAUCCACAAACCCGAUUGCAAGCAAUAAAGAUUGCUCGUGAUGUCGAAACAGAAUUACGUGGGUCUCUGAUUUUAAUAGGUGGUAGUGUGGGUGGGCUUCGCAGUUGGAAGGGAAGUGGGCCAAGUGGAUCGGGGCCCAACGGAAAGAAAGGAUCUGGAUUUCAUUACAACCCAGGUUCGACCAGAUCUGGAAGUGGGUUUAAUAAUAACUUAACCGGGUCAGAGCACAACAAAACCAGUUCGACUCAAUCUGACUCAAAUGCAAACUCAAACAUUUGUCAUAAUACAACGAGAUCUAGAAACGAUGAGGGGAGAAGAAUCAGCAAUGAGCGCAACUGUGGCCUCAAGCAUCUGCCGUAUUCGGAACUGAUGGAGCGGCGGACACGAGGGUUGUGUUUUCGUUGUGGGGAAAAAUACCAUCAUCUUCACCAGUGUGCUGAAAAACAGCUCCGAUUGAUGAUUUUGGGAGACGACGAGACGAUUAACGAAGAAGGUGAGGUGAUUUCCAUAGAAGUUAUGGAGGAUGAGGAUGAUGUUCUUGAUUGCAAUUCCAUGGGAUUGUUUGAUAUGAUUGAAGCAAAGAAAAAUUUAGAUAAAACGCCUCCAACUACUUUGCGCCUCAAAGGAAGUCUAAAGGGGGUUUCCAUCGUGGUUUUAAUCGAUAGUGGCGCCAGUCACAAUUUCGUUUCACCCCGUGUUGCUACUGCGUUGGGAUUAACAGUGGAACAAGGAAGAUCGAUGGGAGUAAAGUUGGGAGACGGCCACCGUGUGUCUACUAGGGGGAGGUGUAGAAAAUUGCAACUACAAUUAGAUGAUUUCAUCACUAAUGGUGAUACUUUUGUUUUGGAAUUGGGUGAUUUGGAUAUGAUUUUGGGGGUGGCUUGGUUGCAAAGAUUUGGGAAGGUGACUUUUGAUUGGGAGAAAAUGACCAUCAAGUUUCAAUGGGAAGGAAAAAUAGUGGAACUACAUGGUCAGUUCUUUACCAAAAAAUACUUGGCUAAUUCUAAGGCUCUUCAAGGGUAAAUUGAAACACUGUAUAGUUUGUUGGAAGAAGAAUUGAGUCAGACUUCAAAUGAAGAAUUACAGGAGCUAACCCAAGACCAACAACAAGAGCUUCAAGACUUGUUGGAGAAUUUUAAGGGGGUUUUUGAAGAGAAUAUUGGGCCGCCUCCUGAAUGAGAUAUAACUCAUGCAAUUGAAUUGAAGAAAGAUGCAGGUCCUGUGGCUGUUAGGCCAUAUCGUUAUCCUCACCACCAUAAGGAAGAGAUCGAAAAACAAGUUCAAAGCAUGCUGACCCAAGGUAUAAUUCGAAACAGCUCUAGCGCAUUUUCUAGUCCUGUCAUUUUAGUUAAAAAGAAAGAUGGGUUAUGGAGGAUGUGUGUUGAUUAUAGAGAAUUGAAUAAGGUUAGAAUGCCAGAUAAAUAUCCAAUUCCGGUAGUUGACGAAUUAUUGGAUGAACUACAUGGAACGAAAUUUUUCUCAAAACUUGAUUUGAAAUCCGGUUAUCACCAAAUAAGGGUGAAAGAAGGGGAUGUGCAUAAGACGACAUUUCGAACUCAUGAAGGGCAUUAUGAGUUUCUAGUGAUGCCAUUUGGGUUGACGAACACACCAGCCACUUUCCAAUCCACCAUGAAUCAGAUUUUCAAGCCACACCUCCGUAAGUUUGUCUUGGUAUUUUUUGAUGAUAUCCUAGUAUAUAGUAAGGGAUGGGAAGAACACUUAGCACAUUUAUAUCAAAGUGAUGGAGAUUUUACUAUACCACUGUUUUAUCGUUAAUAAAAAAAAAUGUAAUUUUGCUAGUAGGAAGGUGGAAUAUUUGGGUCUUGAAAUAUCGGAACAGGGUGUGGUUGUGGAUCCACCUACGAUUAAUAGCAUUUUGGAGUGGCCAAUCCCUCAUAAUGUCAAAGGAGUGAGGGAAUUUUUGGGGCUGACCGGUUAUUACCGAAAAUUCAUUGUUGGCUAUGAAAAGAUAGCUAAACCAUUGACAGAACUAACAAAGAAGGAAGGAUUUCAUUGGGGUACAGAAGAGUUGAAGGCCUUUGAGAAUCUUAAAAGAGUUAUCGUGCAAGCCCCAGUUUUAACACUACCAGAUUUUUCACAACCUUUUGAGAUUGAAUGUGAUGCAUUCGGAAGAGGAAUAGGUGUAGUUUUAAUGCAGAAAAAGAAGCCUAUAGCCUACUUCAGCAAAGCAUUGUCCAAGAAAAAUUUAAGCAAGUCUGCGUAUGAAAAAGAAUUGAUGGCGUUGGUGUUGGCAGUUCAGCAUUGGCGUCCAUAUUUGUUGGGAAGAAGAUUUGUGGUGUACUCCGACCAAAAGAGUUUACGACACUUGCUCGAACAACGCAUCACUACGGCUGAUCAACAGAAUUGGAUAGCAAAAUUAUUGGGCUAUCACUUCGAAGUGGUAUACAAGUCAGGUCCAGAAAAUAAAGCUGCUGGCACUCUUUCAAGAAUGCAUGAGGAGGCAGAGUUGAAAGGGAUAACUUCUUUUCCCAUAUGUAUGCAAGAGCAACAAAUUCAGCAGGNNNNNNNNNNNNNNNNNNNNNNNNNNNNNNNNNNNNNNNNNNNNNNNNNNNNNNNNNNNNNNNNNNNNNNNNNNNNNNNNNNNNNNNNNNNNNNNNNNNNNNNNNNNNNNNNNNNNNNNNNNNNNNNNNNNNNNNNNNNNGAAGUGGUAUACAAGCCAGGUCCAGAAAAUAAAGCUGCUGACGCUCUUUCAAGAAUGCAUGAGGAGGCAGAGUUGAAAGGGAUAACUUCUUUUCCCAUAUGUAUGCAAGACCAACAAAUUCAGCGGGAAGUUAUGAAUGAUCCCCAAUUGCAGAAGGUGAUAACAUAGCUACAACAAGACCCUACAUCCCGGCCAGAUUUCCAAUUAAUCAAAGGGAGACUUUUCUACCGUAGUAGACUGGCGUUAUCUUCAAAUUCUGGUUUUAUACCUUUAUUGUUGAAAGAAUUUCACUCGUCUCCAACUGGUGGCCACUCAGGUUUUCUACGCACGUAUCGAAGGAUGGCAGGAAAUCUUUAUUGGGUAGGAAUGAGAAAGUCAGUUAUGGAAUUUGUGCAGAGUUGCGACGUGUGUCAACUUCAAAAGUACGUUGCGUCCUCUCCUAUGGGUUUGUUACAGCCCCUCUCAAUUCUGGAGAAAAUUUGGGAUGAUAUUUCGAUGGAUUUUAUCACUGGUCUCCCAAAAUCGAAAGGGUUUGAAGCAAUACUUGUAGUGAUGGAUAGAUUAUCCAAGUAUGGAAAUUUUAUUCCCUUAAAACAUCCAUAUAUUGCGAGGAAGGUGGCUGAAAUAUUUAUUAAAGAGGUGGUGCAUCUUCAUGGGGUGCCACAAUCCAUUGUUAGUGAUCGUGAUCCACUGUUUGUGAGUCUAUUUUGGAAAGAGUUGUUUCGCUUACAAGGAACGAUGCUGAAUAUGAGUUCGUCAUAUCAUCCGGAGACUGAUGGGCAAACGGAGGUGGUGAAUCGGUGCUUAGAAGCAUAUCUUCGUUGUUUUGCAUCGGAGCAACCGAAUGAGUGGUCGCAAUGGAUUCAUUGGGCUGAAUUGUGGUAUAACACCACAUUCCAUGUGUCUACAGGAACUACACCGUUUGAGGCAGUGUAUGGAUGAAAACCACCCAUUGUGGUUAGAUAUUUACAGGGAGAAACGAAAGUAGAAGCGGUAGCAGUUGAAUCGGUUGAUCGUGAUGAGGCCUUACGUGAACUUAAGUAUCAUUUGAACAGGGCCCAAGAACAGAUGAAGAGGUAUGCAGACAAGAAAAGAAAAGCAUAUUCAUUUGAAGUGGGUGAGUGAGUAUUUUGAAGUUCCGACCCCAUAGACAGCAGACAGUGACUAGAAGGAUUAACCAAAAACUGGAUCCACGGUACUUUGAACCAUUUCCGAUCCUAAAGAAAAUAGGGGCAGUAUCCUACAAGUUGAAGCUACCAGAAGGAAGUAGAGUGCAUGCAGUGUUUCACAUUUCACAACUCAAGAAAGCUAUUGGAGACUAUUAUGUUGAAUCUCAACUACCAGACGAGUUAGAAAUGGAAGCAGAAGAGGGGGAAGAACCGGAAGAAUUGAUGGCUGCAAGAUCAGUGAUGAAAGAAGGACAACUGGUGCGACAAUGGCUGGUGCGUUGGAAAGGAAGAGUUGUAGAAGACACAACUUGAGAGGAUGAAUUACUACUAAAAAGUCAAUUUCCAUCUCUCAACCUUGAGGACAAGGCUGCAUUUCCUAAUGGCGGUAAUGAUAGAAUUGGUGGGCUUAAGACUAGUGAAAGGUCUAAAUCUGCAGUGUGGAGAACUUAUGUCUGCAAGGGUAAAAAAGAGAAUAAGCAGUCUAUUAAGGACAGGGCAGAGAAACUCAUUAAAUUCUAGGGAUUUCAGUUACACAUAGGGGAAUAAAUUAAGGAGGGUAGGGGAGUAUUGCUCAUGAAUAAUUAUAAUUAUCAUUGAAUUAGGAGAUACUAUUUUCUUUGGAGGAGCUUUGCUCUGGGUUAUACAUUGUUUCAGAAUUUUCCCUUCUUCCAUAAAUCAAUAAAUUUCCAUUUUAUCUAUCAUUUUACGUUCACAUAUCCCUAUUUUUCUAUUAUUCUAUCAUUAUCAUUAGUGAAAGUAAUAAUAUAGUCAUCGGACUGAUUCAUUCGACUAACUGAAAGUAAAUUAAAAUGAUAUUCAAGUACAUAGAGAACAUAUGCGACUGAAAUAGAAUUAAUAAUUUGAACAGUGCCAACCCCUUGAGACCACGUUUGAGAGCUUUUGGCAGAAGUUAUAGUACGUAAAAAACUAGAUGUAGAGAGAAGAAAAGAGACUCUUAUUACCAGUUACAUGAUCAGACGCGCCAGAAUCAAUAACCCAAUGGUCAAGAAAAGAUGAGUGAGAGAGGUAAACAAAUGAGCUACCAGUGUGUGCAACUGAAGUAGUAGAACCAAAGUUCUGAUGACUUUGAACCCACCGAAGGAAACCUUCAUAAUAUAUCGGGGAGCCUUGUGGAGAUGGUGUAGUCUGAAUAGUGGCAGAAGAAUCAAGUUAAGUUGCAUUUAUCGAAGGCGAAGGUUUACCAUGAAACUUCCAACAACGAUCAAUAAUGUGUCCAAGUCAAUUACAAUGUUCACAUUUGGGACAUGGCUUAGAGUUGGAUGGUCCUCCAUGAGAGCGAAUUUGAUUAUUAUGUCCCAGAGAUGCAAGGGCAGCAGUGUUAGUCAGAGCUGAAGUAAUAGAAGGCUCAACUGGAUAUUUUGUUGGUACUCGAAGAAGGAUCAUUGAGGUAGUAGACAUAUCCGGAAGAGUAUAAGAUCUCAAAAUCUUAUUACACUUAGGGCAAGCAAUAAAGGGCAAGAAGCAUGAAGAAGGUGAUGCAUUGAUCUAACUCCUUCGUUUAAACAACUGGACUACUUGCAGCAUGAGGGAGAAGUUCAUUAAAAUCACGAAGUGCAUUAUGAACAGUGCCAAGAUAUGUACAAAUAGAACCAUUUAUCGUCAUCGGAGUAAUGAUUUUCAGCAAGUCGUGACAAACUCCAUAGAGACGUUGAGUGUCAUUAGUGUAGAGUGAAUUUGUCUGACUCCAAAGUGAUUCACACGUGAGAUGUGCACGAAAAAUCAGUUUAAGGUCAAGUUGAAGUGUAGACUUAAUGAAACUGCAUAAUUGAGCACCUAUAUGCUUCCAUUUUGAAGUUUCAGUCGCAACCACCUUUUCAGGAUAUUGUGUGAGAUGUUCCUCGUAACCUUGACCAAGCAUCCAUAGUUUGAUGUCAGCAGCUCAACUGUCAUCAUUUAAUUCAUUCAAUUUUCAAUAGAGAGAGGGGAUGUGAUGUAGUUGGAAAAGAUGUUUUAUGUUUCAAUAGUAGACAGAGACGUCAUGGUCGGUAAAAAGUAUCAUAAAAUGUGUCUAAACCGAGGAAAUAGAGGAUGUUUGAAUUGGAACGCGUAUAUUUAUGACUCGAAACUAAAAACUCAGGGUGGAUAUGGAAUCAGAAGGCUGGGGUGAGUGCAAAUGGAGAAGUCGCGUCAACAACGGCUGUCAAACGCACCUUCACGCGCAGUGGCAGGAGGUGGCGCGUGGAUCUGACGCGCUUGGAGCAAGGUGGCACGUGUGGGCGCCUGAGAGGUUCGUUGACGAUGCGCCUUGAGGGUGGGCUGAUUUGGGGUGUACGACACUGUUGUAGUGGUCGUUCUCCAAAAAAGUUGUUGGAGGGAGCAGCAACGGUGCAACAGAGCGUGGGUGGCUGGAAAACAAUGAGAAGACAAUAGUGUAGCCCAAACAGGGAGGGGGAAACUGGAGUUGAGAACACAGUUUGUCAGGAAAAAAAAAAUUUCUCAUCGGAGACUGUGGGUCCAUCAGAUAGUUGAAGAUUAGGGUUGUCUCUCAUUAUGCUUUAGGUAUCAUGUUGAAUGAGAAGAAAAUAUUAAUAGACAUGUUGAAUAAGUGUUUCAACUACACAACGGAAAUUCUUUAUAUAGACUAUGAAUAAUAAAUACACAUCAUAACAUAAAUACUUUAAAACUUUCUAUUUAUUUAUAUAUAUAUAUUAAUAUUUUAUUUUCAAACGGUUUUUAAAUUUAUAAUAUUUGAAAAACUACUAAUUAAUUUUUAAUAACGGUUGUAUUUUUAAAUUUUUUAAAACUAAGCAUCCAAACAUCAAAAUUAUAGUACACACUUUUUAAUGUACAUAGCCAAAUGCAAAUAACUCAUAAUAAACUCUUCUUCCUGGUCCAUAAGUGUUAGAAAUCAAUUAUUGAUAUUCAUAAUUUAAAUCUAAGCAUACCUUGUUUCUUGAUUUCUCGUGACGAAGGAAGUUGAAUAAUCGAUUUGGGGAGACAUUAAGCCAAAUAGUAGUACAAAAAACCACUGUUGUUCCAAGAGGCUUAUUUGUAGUACCAUUCAUAUUAUUAUUAAUCAUAACUCUUACAUCUGUUGAACCACGAAAAGGAGCUAAUCGCAUCCAUGGAUUGCUAGCAGUAAGAUUGGCACAAAAACUUCUCAUCAUUCUAUCUGCUAGUCUCAAGAAACUUGUCCUCCCAGUUUGAGGUAUAAGAACUAUUUGCAUCAAAAGAAACAAAUAUAACUAAUGGAAGCAAUUAUCAUGCUUUAUUAAGAUAAAUAAAAAAUAUAAUAAUACUGAUGAGAAUAGUAAUCCAACUCUAUACUUAUUUAUCACUUUAUUUUGUAACGCUUUCACAUGAGACAUUAAAGAUCUACUUAGAUUGGUUUAUUCGAACUUACAUGUCAAUAUAACUUAUGAAAUCAAUUUAUAGAUUAUAUAAAACUCGUUUGAUUUUAUUUUUACAAAAAAGGACAGAACUUUCAACAGCUUUGUCGUUUGGGAACCUUCACAAGCUCUCCACAACCAUUUUACUUCCAAACAUAAAACACGUAAAAUUCUCCAGCUUUGUUUGACAACUCAACACCUAUGUAAUUAAACUAUUAGUUCUCUUUUUACCUUUGAUUGCACACAAGAUGUUUGUUCAAUUAGCUGAAUGAUUUUAUUAGAGAGAGACAGGGCUCUGUUGAUGGCAGAAUUUGUGAAGUUGAGGCAACAACAACGUAUGAUGAUAUUGAAAUUAAAACUACCCAAUAUUGGGUUAGUCCCAAUUGUCAAUGGCCGUGGGAAUAAUCUAUAAUACAUUGACAUAAACAUAAGACAUAACACUAACUUUGAUAAGUUUGACGUCGAGAAUAAUUUUAAAAAAUAAAAUAUUUAAAUGUAAUUUAUGUACAUUAGAAUAGUGUCACAUAUCUACGAAGACACUUUGAUGUAAAGUUUUAGUGCUACACAAGGAGAUUAACUUGAGAUCACAUUUUUUUAACUGAAGACUAUUAUGAAAUAUCGAUAAAAUGGUGGAAUGCAUUGGUAUGCGUUUACAAUUUGAGAGACUAAAUUGAAUUUUCACUCUCUUAGUUUUCAAAAAAGUCUUCAAAUAGAAAGUUUAGGACAAUAAAAAUAAAGUACCUCGAUGAUCUGCAACCAAUUUUGUAGAAUUGAGUGCUUGAGACCACUCAAUGUGGCGAAUAAUGGAAGAAAGCCAACGGGUUGCACCAAAAGCCAAACCAGAGGUUACUAACGGCUUGAAAAGAUCAUUCAAUUGGCUAUGGUCUACUUCCAUAUGCUCCACCCAUAUAACCUAAGUUAAUUUACUUAUUAGAACAUCAAACCAAUUAUUUAUUAAUCACAACUAUAAUAUAGUUGCUUUUAAAAAAACAACAGCAAUAAAUUAAGAGAUUAAUUGUUGUUGGGGUUAAAAGUUUUAUACAAUUACGGAUCACAAUUACUUGUGACUACAUAGAUAUAUGAUUUUAAAAGUAUUAGUUAUCAUUAAAAUCAAUGAUCCGACUAUUAUGAUUGACUAGGAUGUCAUAUACAUUAUCAAUUUUACACUGUCAAUCAAUCACAAUAGUUUGCAAUAGUUAUAUCAUUAAAAAUGUUUGAUUUUUCCUAUAACUACCUCUAAAAUCACAUUCAUGAAUAUAAAUUAUUUUAUGCUAACAGUGCAUGACACUUAAAAGUCACAUUCUUUUGUAAUUUUGUUUACAUUUAUAGAUAAUUAAUCUCCUUGAUUUUAUAAAAUAAAAUAAGUACAUUCACAAGAAUGUACUACUAUUUAUGAUAUUUAUUGGAAACUCAUUCCAUAUCAAUUGUGUGCUAAGUAUUAAUAACAAAGAGUUAUAUGAAUAAUAACAUUAAAAGCUACUUACUGUUUUUUUUUAAAUAGUCAAUACUAGUAUUUAUUUGUUAAUUUUUCAAUCCACUGAACCUCUUCAUGACUCCUAGAAAAGUUACUCAGUUUGGACAAUUAAAACAAAAUAGAGAAAAAUGGUCAUGCACUACUCUUUACAUUGUCCGUAAAUAUUAAUAACAACUAUUGAUUUAAUCAUUUGACUUCAUGAUUAUAAUUUUUAUCGAUCAAAUACUAUAUAGUCUAUGACUCAUGUUAAUCGUCGGUAUAAAAUUGUUUACACGGACUGUGUAUAUCUUUUAAACUAAAAAAUUAAUGAGUAAAAUUUCUAAUAAUCAAGAUUGAAAGGAGUAUAUGUAUAGAACCUGGGAAUAAUCAUUAGGAGGCAUUCCUAUAAUCAUACAGCCUGAAGGUCUUCUUCGAAGAUUGUUUGAGGGAGAUGAAAAAAUGUUCUCCAAAGAUACAUCAACGACAGCCCAAUUGUCAUGAGAAAGUUGCUUGCAGUACCUUGCAAAAUAACACUCCCGAGUUGGUACAGCAGGACUAGGCAAAUGAAAUUCUGCACUCAUCUACAAUAAGAAAAAAUAAGAAAAAGAAGAUAUAUAAAGUGAAAUGAGAAUAUUAACAUUAAUUUUGAAAUUCAAAUGGUCAGCUGAAUAUUUUUUGAUAAAGCCAACAUUCAUUUUUUGACAUAUUAUACGAAACAGCCCAAGACAACCACAAAGCACAAUAUUGUAUGCUCCAUUAAUUGAGUAAAUAGUCAUUUUUGGUAAUUGAAUAUGUGAUGCUCAAUCAUUAUAGUUUAUGAUUGCCAUGCAUCAUAAUUACAAAAUCAUCUCAGAAUGUGUUUUUGAUUAGUUAAGUUUUCGAUAUUAUCUUUCAUUUUAAUUGGUUAACUUAUUACUCAAAUGUUAUACAUUUUAUAAUUUCUCAAUGAAACUAGUCUCAAAUUACUUAACAAAAGAUAUACUCAUAAAUUUGUAGUUUGGAUGUAUUCUCUUUUUUUUUUUUUUUUUUACAGUAAAAAGUUAGGUAAAGGGAAAUAAUGUCACUGUGCAAGAUCACUGAGUCUAAUCUUAAAAAUUAAAUUCUUAAUAAAUAAAAAAGUAAUUUUAAUAAUUAAAAAAUUAGUAAAAUAAAUUUUAGUCCAUAUACACAUAUCAAUUUCAAUUUACAUGAUGCACUCUUCACAUAUCAAUUUACAUGAUAGACGUGAACACACCAACCACAAUUUUAUUUGUAAAACACGCUCAUAUAGAAUUCAAAAUUUAGAUAAAAUUUAAAAAAGAAUUUUAAUAUUGAAAUAAUUCUUUUGAGAAAUUUUUUUUUUCAGAUUUCUUUCUCUAUCUCAGUGACAAUAAGUCUUUCAAGACAUUGUAUCAUUUUACUUUUUCAAUUAGUUUUUAUUCUCUUUUUCAAUCGUUGAGACAUUAUAUUAUUGUGUUAGUGUAUUGUCAACUAGUUUUUAAAAUUUAAAAUUCUAAUUAACUAUUUUAAACAAAUUGAAUUCUUAAAAAUGUUAACACGAUUCAAAUAUUCUACUAUAAUGUUGGGAUUGAAAAAAUGUGAUGUAAUUAAUUGAACGAUUAAUUCAUGAAAUAUGGGAUAUUAAGAGACAAAGAUUGCUUCUUUGUUAGGUGAUUUGUGUUAAAUUGAAAUGCUAUUUACUGAGGCCAUUAAGUAAGUCAUGGAAUCAAUUCAAAUCAUGGCCAUUAAGUCAUGUAAUCAAUUCAAAUCACGCAUCUUAUAAUAAUAAAUACAUUCAUUCUCACAAAACUUUUUCAAAAACAUAAUAUUGAUACGAAAAUAAAAAGUUCAUGAAAAUAGCAGAACAUCUAAAACAUAUUUAUCUAUAUGAAAAUAACAUCUUAAAACUCACCACAUUCAAUUUUCCAUCGAAGCUUUCUUCCACUCCAUCUGAAAAACUACCUAAAAGAGUUGCCUUUGAUACAACAUUAUAAAAUGUUGUCGACCAUUCAUUCUAAUAGAAUUUAUAAAAAAAAUUUAAAGUUAAUCUAAUAUAUUAUACAAUGCAAAAUAUAUGAAAUUGAAUUUGAAUAGAAUGAAUAAUACACAUCAUGGGAAUCCGAUAAUUUCAGUGAUUUCUAAUUUUCGUAACAUUGCUAAUAAAAAAAUUGUAAAUAUAGUGUAUAAAUGAAAUAUAAUCCUAUACCUAGACUAGGGAAUUAGAAAAUUAUAAAUGACAGUAUAUAAAUUAUAAAAAAAAAAAUGAAUAAAAAACACUAACCACGUUCAUUAGUAAUUCUACAAGUUUAAUUGGAGUAAUAUUAACACAUGCCAUAUCUCGUGAAGCUUCAAUCUGCAAAGCAUCGUCACAGUCUCCUCUCGGCAUAAAAUUGGGAUUAGUUUCACAGGAAUCAAAACUAGGUAAAAUUUGAGUUUCUCCAACCUCAACUAAUUUAAUAAUCUCCCUUAAAGUUGCAUCAGCAUGACCAAAUUGUGUCAAAUAUUCAAUAUCAUUGAUAAUUUGGUAUUUGUGAUCUUUGUGUUGAUUCCAUAAAGAUUCCCCUGAAACACACAUCUUGCAUAAUUCUUCUAUUGCCGAAUGGGCACAAUCAAUUAUUUUUGUUUUGGUUGGUUCCACCAACAUUGAAACCCCAAGAAGAAGAUCACUCGCUCGUUCCAUGUUGAGUAGCCGUAAAUAGAGUUUGAGUAAUGUUCCCAGAUUUGGGAUUUAUUAUAUUCCAUGUACUGCAGUGAGAGUUUUUCUAAGGUUACCAGAGAAUUUGUUGGGAAUAAUCCCAACAAUCCCUCCACGUCAAGUACUAUCUUUAUAUAUAAUUAAUUUAAUAAAUUAUUCUACCGAAAAUUAAUUAGAAUUAUUAUAUUUUAUGAUACUCGUAAAUUUUUUUUGAUAAAAUAUUAUAAACUUGUAAAUUAUAAUAAGUUAUCUGCUAUAAACUUAAUUAUACAGGCUUUAUCUACUAUAAACUUAUAAGUUAUAAUAAGUUAUCCGCAUUAGAUAGCACUUUGGUCUUGUCAAAUAGUAUCUUAGUUUUCUAUAAUAUUUUCUUCUUAAUUUUAUUUUUUAUUUAAAUUCUUUUAAUUAUAAUUUUAAUUAUCAUUAGUUAACUAAUUAUAAACAAUUGAAUAUUCAUUCCUAAGUUAAAUUAUAAAUUAAAUUACAUUUAAUACUUAAAUUGGAACACUCUUAUGAAGUCAAAUCUAAAUUAAUUAUUUUUCAAUUUGAUUUAAAGAUAUAGAGACUAAAAUAAAAAUAACAAUAAUAUACACUAAAGUUUCAUAAAAUACUUCAGGAUUUCAUUUCAUCGUGAUGGAUGCUUAUUAUGAUUUUUAUGAAUUUUGCUCAUCUAAAAUUAAAAAUUGACAAAAUAUAUAAUAUCAAAAAUACGUUACACAUUAAUACAUUGAUAGUUGAUUUUAUUAUUCAUUUUAUUUCCAAAAAUACGUUACUCAUUAAUACAUUAAUAGUUGAUUUUAUUAUUCAUUUUAUUUCCAAAAAUAAGUUACAGAAGUCAAUUCCGAUUUUUAUUGGAGAAGAAAAUGGAGAAAGAGACACGUAAGUGGCAAUAGUGCCUAUUUGUAACUUGGUCUAUAUGUACAAAGAAAAUAUCAAUUUUUUUAGGUGGAUUUUUUGUUUCAGUUUUGCUUUUCAUUAAGCAAUUUUAUUAACUGACAAUUUUAUCUUUUUUUAUUCAAUUAAUUAAUUGAUUUAAAAAAGCUUCUAUACUAAACAAAAUUAGGAUACCAAGUGUUAGUGUAAUUUUUUUUUUCAAUUUUGUAUUUCAUUUAAAUAAUUUUAUUUAUUAUUUUAUCAUUCUUUAAUAAUCAAAUAACUAAUUUUUUUUAAUACAAUCGUAUAAAAUUAUAUCAAUAAAAACGAACAAACGGAGACAUUAAUUGGGACACCGUUUGUGCAAAAUGUAAAAUUAAUAGAAAAUUUGCUGAAAAUAAAAUAUUUUUAAACAAUUCUUAAAAUACAUUGACUAUUGAAAUAGCUAACGCACACAAAGCUCCAUUUAAUGAGAGAUUGUGCGAGUUUGUAUCUAGAGUAGCUCUGAGAUGCAUUUUAUGACGAAAAGUGUUGAUGAUUAAUGUGUAGAAUGUGUCACUUUUAAUUAAAUUGUACUAUAUUGGAUGUGUUUAUGUCAGAUUUUUUAAAAAAUUAUUAUGUUAAAAAAAUUACUUUUUUGGUUAAAAAUGAAAAAGUAGAAAUAGUAAUGCCUCACAUUUGCUCCUUGCAUAGAUGAAAGUGAAAAUAAAUUUUAAACAUACGGAUCUAAUUAUCCUUACGCUUUUUAGAAAAUCUAAAAUUAUCCUCCAUCAAUUUUUACUAAGAUUUUCUCCAUGCAUCAGUUUUAUUUUUCUCCUUCCACGAGACUGUGAUAUAAGUAAUUUUUGUUGUUUUUAUGUCUUUUAUUAGAAUCAUUUUAUUUAUACAUUAUCUAUAUGAUACGAAUUUUGUUUUUUUGCUUUUGUAUAUUUAUUUAUUGUUUUUUUUAUGAGUACUUAAGGUACAUUAUUCAAUUUUGAAAUGUGUCUAAGAAAUGAUAAUUAGAAAAGUCAUGUCUUUUAUGGUAAUUUUGUAGUUUAAAAAAUCACUUUUAUAAAAUUAUAUACAAACAAAUUAAAAAUCAUUUUUAUGAUAGUAAACAAACGAAAAUCAAAUAAUCAUUUUUAAACAAAUCUCUACAAAAUAAUCUCUAAAUUUUUUUAACUAAAAAUCAUUUUUCUUUAAAUUUAAACAAAUGCAUCCAUUAUAUUUUCUAGUAUAAUAAUCUAUGAGUAGUCCUUAAGUCUUAGUAGUCGAUAUUGUUAGAUUGGAUAUCAUAUCUUGAGUUUGAGUUUGAAAUCUCAUAGUAGUGUGUGUGAGUUUAUGAUAGUAUGUAUCAUUUUGUCUAUAGAUCCCAAAAAAUUAAUCAAUUAGUAUGUAGAAAAUGAGAUAAAUUGAUUAGUUUAAUGGAGUAAUAACAUAAGAAUAAUAGAUUAAUCUAAGUUAAUGGUUAGGUGCGUUUGUUUGAACUUAAAUAAUUUUUAAUUUAAAAAAUUCAGAGAUUAUUUUUUAGAGAUUUGUUUAAAAAUAAAUUUUUUUUUUCGUUUGUUUAUUAUCAUAAAAAUGAUUUUUUUUUAAAAUGAUUUUUAAUCUGUUUGUAUAUAAUUUUAUAAAAGUGAUUUUUUAAACUACAAAAUUAUCAUUAAUGACAUGACUUAUCUAAAUACAUUAAUUUUUCUCUUUUCUAAAAUUACCAUAAAUAUGGUGUCAUAUUUUCAUUAUGCAUAAUCAUUAAGACAGUCGUUAGUACUCGGUAGAAUAUUUGUCAUGUGAGGUGUCAAUAUCUAAAGCAUUUGUUGCUGAGGACAAUUUCAUAUUUUCAAAAAGGAUAAUUGAGUAAUUACAUCGUUUUCUCCCAUUAGUGAGUUAAGUUUCAUGUUUUUAAAUUGUACGACAUCUUUCUCUCUCAUCUAUCGCAGAGACAAUUGUGAAAAACUACUAUUUUUUACCUUUUUAUUUUUAGCCAAAAAAUAAGUUUUUUAAUAUAAUCAUUUUUCAAAAAUCUAAAACAAACAUUAUUCAAACAAUAAAAAUAAUUUAUGGUUUGAAAAUAUAAAUGUUUUCAUGAAAAAAACUGAAACUAACGCACACAAUAUAGAAUAAUCGAUUAAUUGGAAUUUUAAUUGAUUAGGAUGAUGCCCAUAAUUGUAAAACGUCUAAGUUAGACAAUAAUUGAUUAAUGAAGCUUAAUGAAUCGAUUGUGAUAAUAAUCAAAAUAAAAAAUGACAAAGUUAGGAAUUAAUCGAAUAGAAACUUAACAUUAAUCAAUUAAGAAUAAAAUUAGAAUCCGAAAAGAUCAACGAAAUUAUGAAUAAAUUGAUAAAAGACCUAGGGUUAAUUGAUUAUGUUAAGUAAGAAUGAUAACUCAGGACAUUAGCUAAAUAAUAAUAAAUAAAUAAAGUUAAGUAUUAAAUGAUUGGCUACUAAAUUAGGGUUAAGUUAAUAAGUUUAACUAAUAAAGUUUUUUUAUAUAUGUUUGAUAUACUGAUUAUAAACAUUAGUUUAUUGUAGGACACUCGGAGUGAAGUUGGAUACUGAUAGUUGAUGAUGGUUAUUAUCUCAUUCAUGUUAAGUAUUGUCGUUGUAUAGUAGGACAUGUUGGAGGUUGUAUUGUGAUAAAAUUGAAGUUCGAUGAUCAAGGAGACUUUGAGGGUGUUAUUAGAAGGGAAGUUUGACGUAAAGGAGGAGCACUGCAAGAGUGUUAUGUUGAAUAUCAAAUCACCCUUAUUAGACCUUCUUGUUCGUAGGAUUAUAGGUGGCUUCUCUAUUAGUUUCGAACCAAAGAUAUAUAGAAGGAUUUAACGGGAAGCAAUUGAUGAGUAGAAUUAUGUCGUAUUAUCUUGCAUUGUUGGUAGUGUUUAUUGUUAUAUGUUGUGAUGUUGAUUGUGCAUUUAAUUCACUUUGCUUCAGCUCAUUAUAUCUUUGAAAAUGAUGAUUCACCUUCGUUUGUUUCCAUGUGGCUACUUACACAUAAGUAAUCGCCAUCACGAGGAAGACACGGAGUGAUUGACAUGUUGCCAACAGAUAAGUUAGUUAUUUAUUUAUUCAUGUUGAAUUAACAUAUUAGUCGAACAAUAAAUUAAGAUUAUAUAAUAGAGUCAUCUUUAAUUGGUGUGACAAUUUUUAAUUAAACUCUUUUGAUUAUGUUAUUUUUCCAUAUUUUCAAAUUGUGAUAUUGCUAUAUUUAAAUGCGUUUUAUUUACGAACCAAAUUUAUUCGUGUUUAUAUUAUAAUUAUGCUUUAAAAUAUUUGUGAAGUGGAGGGAGUCAAAAACAACCCUUUCAAUGUCAAUUAACCAACCUUAUCAAUGCCAAUGAAGCAGCCCUUCAAGUUCUUGAAACAAUUUCCAACUACUAUAUUGAUGACAUAAUUAGUGUUUAAUUAAUGAAAGUUGUGGUUAUUGAGUGAUUGCAUCAUCACUUGGAUAUGGUGAGAAUUAUUGGUCUCUAAUUGGUCAAUGUUUGAAUAAUGAAAUUAGUUCUCAUGUUAAUUAAUCUUUGUGAUACAUUAUUCACCCGACACAUAGAAGAAAUGGGGAAGUCUUUGAAAAUAACAACUUUGGACACUCAAUCUUCGGAUAAGUGAAUGUCCAUAUUAGAAAUAUAUUAUGUGAUAACGACACUUAACAUAGUGUCAUUCUAGUCAUGUUAAUUAGCAAAUACCUUUAACACAGUUUUCUUAGGCCCUCCCAUUCCGAGUAAUAUAAGUGUUUUGUUGUUUGAUAACUAUUGUACAAUGACAUGGGAGACUCUUACUUAAAAGAGAGAUGAUUGAAAUUUAAGUGUAACUUGUUUUAUCACACAUCAAUUAAGAAUGAAUUAAAUGAAUAUAUAUAUAUAUAUAUAUAUUAGUACACAUCAACUAAGAAUGUCUUAAGAUUAAAAGUGAAAAUAUAAUGUCAAAGUCUCCUAAUAAUCCAAAUAGUUGACCCAUUUUUUUCUCUCAUGUGCUCCUCUAAACUAUUGAACAAACUCAUGUAAUUAAAACAUCGACGAAUGUUACAGCUAUUACAAACUAGUACUUAAAAGUCAUCAAAAACUCAUUAGAACGAUUCUUUUUGUCUUUAUAGUUGAGACAAUAACUCGAUCAAAGUCAAUUAGAUUAAAUUCAAUAAAAAUAAAGAAAAACAUAUAUGUCUCUCAAAACUCAACUCGUUAAAUCAACAUCAAUUAGAUCGUCGUCUUAAACGCAAAACAUAAAAAGUUGUUAAUUUAUAUUUUUAUUGCUAUUAAAAGUUUGAAGUAAUUUUUAGACACUUUUUACUUUUUACAGUAGGCCUUAAAAUCUGCCUUAAAACAUCACCUCUGACGUUAUAAAGGGGAAUGGGUGAUAAAAAAAAAAGUUCAAUGUUUGUUGAACUAAUUUAAUUUAAUGACCCAAUGCAUUAAAAUGCCCCUGACAUUUGUUAAUCACAUGAUCAUUAUUUCAGUUGGUGUCAUCUUCUAGCUGAUGAAUCAGUAGUGGGAUUCCACCAAAAAAUAAAAGAGUCAGAGAUACGAAAUGUUCAAAUGACAAAGAAACAUCGCCAUGUUUUUUGUCCUUUGACAAAAUAUGGUCACACAACAUAUUGAACUUUUAGAAAUUUUGCAUGUGUUGUUGUGGUCCAUGUUUUUCUUUUUGGUCAAAAUACCUUUCUCCUCUUCAUAUUGAAGUGAUCAUUAUGUAGUUUUAUUUUAAAUUGCAAGAAGGGGUCCUCCAAUUUAAUUACUGAAACUGUUUCAAUGCAAUUUGCAUCAUUUCAUGAAUAUGUCACACUGUUUGGGUAUUGGUACUUUCGUGUUGCCAGAAAGCUACCAACAGCAACUAUAGUAGUGCGCUCAGUUCUAAUUUAAAACUCGUGUCCUUUUGAUUUUAUUUUUAUUUUAUGAAUUAUAUAAAUAAUCCAAAAUGACAUUAUGGAAUGAAUUAUGCAUAAAUAAACGAUCUCUUUUUUACUUUUUUACUGAUCACACACAACGAACACGCACAAAUUAAUAAGAUUAUGUUUAAUGAAAAGAAACGUAGAAAAUAAUUAAGAAAUGGUAUGAAAUUAAGGACAUGUAUAAUUUAAUUAAUGGUAAACACUCUUCAAAUUCAAUUAGUUAGUUUAUGUAUUAUCUACUAUGAACUAAUUUAUCUUUUAUCGGCUAUAAGUUAAUCACUAUCAACUAAUCUAUAUGCCAUUCAGGGUUGGUUCAAUGUAAAAAUUAGUAAAACUAAGGUUUUAGAUUAUCGAAAAAUAAUUAAUUUUUUAUGUAUAUUUAAGUUUAAAAAACAUAAAAAUUUAAAUAUUACAACAAGUAAAAGGUUUUACAAUUAUAAAAUAAUAUAAUCGAUGUGACUUCUGUUAAGCGAUCAACUUACUUUAAAAAAUAAAUUGAGCAAUUCAUUGAGAUGAUUAUAAUAUUAAUCAUUGAUCGACUGAGAUGAAUCAAAUUCAUCAUUAACUUAUUUAAUUAAAAUAUUUGGCAUCUCAUAAAACAAAAAAUAUAUAAUUUAAAUAAAAUUAUACUAAAAUAUUGGUUAUAGUAUUAAAAAAAUAUCUAUUGUUUUUUUUAUCAAUAUUUUGCUUUAAAAUUUAUUUUAAAUCUCAAUAAGUAUUUGGCCGGUAUUUAUGUCAUCCGUCAUUUUUUUACCAAUAGAGAACCUAUAUAUCACUCCCGAAUUGUUUAUUUCGAUAAUUUUUAAAAUGUCUAGAUACGUUGUAUCUAUAUCAUGUUAUCAAAAUAAUAUUUAUAAAAUUUAUUAGUCUCCCAAAAUACUACUCUAAACAGAGUUAGUAAAAAUGACGUACUUUCCACAGGCCAAGAUAAUGAAACAAAAAUAAAGAACGUCAACAAAUACAGAAAAUAAGUACCAAAACAAACGGCUAAAGCUAACAAACGCCAAAGUCAUCAACUUUUUUUAUUCUUUUUAAAAUGAUUCCUACUUCAAUUCGAUGUUUCUUUAUGGCUUAUAAGUCAAUAGACUCAAAUUCUCAAUACAUCAUUUCAUCCAAUGAUAAGUUGCCUUUGUUUAUCCUUUUCAACGGAGAUGAUAGUGCCUCUAAAUAAAUUAAAUCAAAAUAAAAUUAGAAGAAUCUUUUUUAUUAAAAAAAUAUAAACAUACAAAAAAAGAAAAUUAAUUAAUUAGGUGAGCAAAUAAACGCUACUAGUUCUUAUGAAUUUCUCAUAGAGUAUAUUUGAAUGGAGUAAUUAAAAAUUUUAAGAAAAUUAUAAUUUGUUAUUUAAAUAAAUGAAUUGUUCUUUGAUAAUUAGGCUAUUUUUAUAAAUUUUAAAAAAUUAGACUACAAAUUAAAUUAAAUUUAAGUCAAAACUGAACUUUAGGAAAAGGGAGAGACUAUUUUGCAAAUUUUAGAGAUCAAUAGCAAAAAAUAAAAUAUAAACUAAUAUGAAAAUUUUGAAACAUAUAAAGUCAAAACUUUAAAUUUAAAAAAUUAUAAGGACCAUUUCAUGAUUCAUUUUUUAUAAAGUAAAGAAAAAAUUAAAAAAAUUUAAAUUUUAAAUGGUAUUUAAAAAUUUCUAAAUUUAACUUCAACAAAUAUUUUAUAAUAUUCUUUAUUUUAAAAAUUCUCUAAAUUUAUUAUUCAAAUAAAAUAAUUUAUAUUAAAAAAUUUAAAUUUAAAAAAGAAAAUACAUUUCGACUUUAGUUUUUAUCAUUAGAAUUACAAGAAGUAGAUGAUGCCGAUCGAUCGAGGCUUUGGUUUUUAUCCUCUUCUUCCUUUCUUAUGAUAUAGAAAUUAUUUUACAAAAUACAUUAGAGCCGUGCGUGCAAUAUCCCACAAUUAAAUAAAUUAAAUGAUGCAAAAAAUAAGUUUUUAGUAUUUGAAAGGAGCUAGUCAUCACAACGUAGUAAAUUAUUCCAUUUAAUAUAUGAUCAUAUUUCAAAUAAAAUUAUUUUUAAGUGCAGAAAUUUUGUGGAAAAGGUUUUUAGUUCAUGUAAAAUGACUAAAUUUAGUUUUGGUCUUAGUAUAUUAAUUUAGUUUUGUUCUUAGUAUAUUUUGUCAUUUUAUUAUUAUCCCUCUAAAAUAUGAUGAGUAAAUAGUAAAAUUGGUCUAUAAAAUUAAAAACGUCAAUUAAAUUAGUUUUUGAAUUUUAUAAAUUAAUAAAUAUAUUUAUAAAAUUAUAAGAUAUUAAUUAAAAUAGUCCAUAUUUAAAGUUUUAUCAUUAGAAAAUCUGAUGUGAUAUUUUAAUUGAAUAUACGAUUUGCAUGAGUUGAUUUCAUAUUAAUAUCAUCACAACAUAAAUUAAUUUUUUCUAUAAAAUUUAAAUAUUUCAUGAAUUAAUUUGUCAAUAAUCAGUUUAUAUAUAUAAUUACAAUUAUUCACAAAUUUGUCUGUGAGAUUAUAAAAUUUCAUUAACAUAUUUGUCUUCGAGAAAAUGACAUUAACGUAAAAUCAACAUUGAUAAACCAUAUAUUCAUUUAUAAUACUAUAUCAAAAUAUUUAAUAACAAAAAUUUAUUAAGAUUAUUUUGAUUAUUAUUUUAUAAUUUCAAAAAUAUAUUUAUCAAUUACAAAAUUUACAAAAUAAUUUGAUCCACAUUAAUUAAUUUAUCUAGUCAUUCAAAAUAUGACUGUUUAUUUUGGUCUACUAUCACUUAACGUUGAAUAACUUAUUUAUUUUUUCUUUUUGGUGCAAACAUUCAUUAUUUAUUUGUGUCUUACUAAAGCUCGUGUGGUUGUCCCAGAUGGCCCACAUUUGCAAAUGUGACGUUAGCAUGUAAGUACUCUCUAAAAAUUCGUUUGACAUAUUCCUUAUAUAUCUUUUUAAUUAAAAUUCUUCUUCUUAUCCUAUAUUAAAAUUUAUAUACAAAAAUAUUUUAUAUUGAAGACACUGAUGCAAUCAAGAUUUUUUUUUCAUUUAGGGAUUACAUCCUGUCGAGGCGAUCAUAUGUUGUCAUAUUUUUUAUAUUUUAACAAAUGAUUAAUUAUUAAUAUAAUAAAUAAAUAAAAUUAAAUGAAAAAAUAAUAUAUUAAAGUUAAUGCAGGUGGAUAGAUAUGUCAAAUAAAAUCAUAUGCUAUAAUAUUUUAAUAAUUUUCUUUUAUGUUGUACCCUAUUAAUUGUAAAAAAAUGAACAACUUCAUUUUAUUAUUUUUCCUCUUAUUUUGCAUCCUAAUAAAAUAAACAUAAUUAUAUUAAUAAAUCAAACAAAAUACAUGGAAUCAAAAACAAUAUAAGCCGACUCAAGACUUGUGUCCAAACAAAUUAAUGUAUUUUGUUUGAUUUGAUUAAUAUAAUAUAAUUUUUUUAUUUUUUUAUUAGGAUGUAAAAUAAGAGAAAUUUGUUAACAAAAUAUAAUAGAGUUGCCAAUUUGUUUGCUGCAAAAUAGGAGAAAUAUGUUAAAAUAUUAUAGCAUGUUAUUUUCUUUUGUACAUCUAUUCAACCGCAUUAAUAUUAAUUUUAAUUUAUUUUUUUUAAUGUAUUUUUGUUUGAUGUUAUUAAUUUAGUUUAUUUUAUUAUUAUUUAUUUAUUAAACUAACAUCCCUACAUUCUGACCUCUUAAAACUAAAAAAAUUUCAUAUGAUUGCAUACUUAUUGUGCAACUCUCAAGAAAAUGAGAUAUUUAUAAAUUUCAAUGUAGAGUAUAAUUGAGGAUUUUAAUUAUAAAUAAAAUAUAAUAAAAAAAUAUUAUUUGUUUAUGCUCUUAAAAUAAAACAUACUUAUUAGAAUAGGAAGAUAGUACUCCGAGGAUAACCUUAUUAUUAGAUUUCUCGCAGAGACGACUAAUGUGUGUUCUUCUUUUUACUUUUAUAAAUAAAAAUAAUAGAUUUUAUAUAUAAUUUUAAAUAAAGUUACUUGGUUAAAAAAAAGUACAAAAUUGUAAACAAGUAAUUUAAACAAAGAGUAAAAUUAGUAGAAUAAAUGUCACAUUAAAACUUAGUAACCUUUGCUAAUUUUUUAUUUACAAAAGUAACCUUUUGUAUAAAGAUAUAGACAUUUGAAAAAUUCAAUUAUUUAAUUAAAUUUUGUAUUCAAUUAUUGUUAGACAUUGACAUAAGGAAAUGAGUUAGUCGAAAGAACAUUUCCAAACUUGUAUAUGGUGACUGAAUGAAUGACUAAUUAAGUAUUAGUAGAAAGUUUAGUCCACGAUAAAGAAAACUUUGGCAUAUCUUUGUUGGCGCCUGCCUCAUCUGUCACCAUAAAGGUCAAACCCCACACUCUACUUAUAAUUUUUAGGUGAGAAUUGCUAUGGUACUCGUAAAAAAUAUAUCGAUAUUUUUAAUUUUUUUCUACAUGGGUAUCUAUAUAUUAUAUAUUUAAUUAAUUAAAUUAUUUAUAUUAAUAUAUUUAUUUUUUAAAAUUUAAUAAAAAAUAUUAUUUUUUUUAUUUUAAUUAAAAUUAAAAUUAUUAUCAAUUUCAGAAUUUCUUUUUCUUUUUCGAAACAAUUUUAUCUUUCUUAAUACACUAACGACAAAGAUAAACGAUGCAUAAUAAAAAAGAGAGGCGAUGAAAAACGAUAAAAAAAACUAGUGCAGUGGAUAGACGAAAUUCGAUUAUUUUUAUAUACAGUUUAAUAAAUAAAUAUUAAUUAUUUUAAAAAUAAAACAAAAAUAUAAAAUAUCCAAAAAUUCAAUGAUAUUAAAUUUAAAAUAUGAUCAAACUAUUAAAUAACAUGUCAUUAAAUUAUUCAUGAUUUAAUUUGAUAAUACUAAAAUAUAUCAAUUAUGAUUUAAUUCGACAAUACUAAAACAUAUCAAUUUUCAAUUGUAUCACAUAAAUCCCCUUUUUAACUUCCCCAACUUCUACUACUUCCCACCCAACAUUCCAACAUAUUUCAUCAUCAUAUUUAUUAUUAUUAUAUAUAUUAAUUCUUCAUUGUCAAUUUAUUGUUAUAUAUCGAAUAUACGCUCUUUAGUACUAGUCACCAAACUCCACUAAUUACAAAUAUCACAUUCAUUCUUCUUCUCUUUUGCUGGAUUUUCAAACAAAAAUACUGUAGCUUAAUUCAAUGAGUUCCAGAAGCAAAACUCCUUCCAAUUACAUAAUCAGUUCUGAAUCCUCAGAAGAAAGUAGUUGGACUAAGUACUUUGAGGAUUUCUUCAACAAUCAUAAUAAUAUUGAUAUUAAUCAUGAUGAUGAGAAAUGUUCUGUUUCUUUCUCUGAUUUUGAUGAUGGCUCAUCCUCUCUUAUCUCUGAUGCUGCUGCAAAAAAAUUAGCUGAUUGUGCCCAAGAUGGUAUGAGAUUGAGUUUCAAGAAGAGGAAGAAGAUUAAAACUAGAUUGGUUGAUGAUGAUUUGGAAGAUACUGCAAGUUCUCCUAUUAACAGCCCCAAGGUUUUUGUUUUUAUCCUGUUUUUUUUUCUUCUUCUUCUUUUCCUACAUUUGAGUUAUAUUUAUAAUUAUUCAUUUAAUUUUUAUUUAAUUAUUUUUAUUUUGGGCUUUAUAUAAGAACCAGAUAUACAAGGCAAAAGAGAAGGAAGAAAUUGACCAUCUUUAUCAGGUUAGAUUAAUUCAAUUUGCAUUGAUGAUUUUUUUUUUUUUUGGAGUGGUUGUCUUUUGGCAGCUUGAUCUAUUGUCGUUGUUCAACCACAUACAUUUAACAUCUAUUCCUCAAUUAUCGAUUACAAACAAACAAAUAUUUAACUUUAACUAUAUAUAUAUAUAUAUAUUAAAAAAUUUAACUAAGUAUAGUUAAUCUUCUUGAUUUCAUUAAAAUAUGUCAUUCUCAAAAGUAUUUGUUAACUAUAUGAGAAUAUAUUUUAGGAGAAUAAAAGAGUCGUUAAAAAAUAAAAUAUAUAUAUUAUAUAUUACAACUAUUUUAAAAACUGAAUAACGUUAUUAUAAGUAGUUAAAUUUAAGACUUUCAAAUAUAUUUUUUUGUUUUUUUGUUUUUUUGUUUUUUAUAUUCAAGAACAAAUUGAAUUUGUUAAAAGUGGUUUUUGAAUUUAAUAUAGUGUGUGUUAAAACAAAAGAUAAUUGAGUCUCUUAAACUUAUAAUCAUAAAUUUAAUUCUUGAUUAGUUUGCAUAAAGGAGCACAUGUUAUGAAAUAAGUCCCUUGAAUGAAUUUUCAUAUCUCGAAGGAUUGGUCUUCAAUUUUCGACCGAAAGAUACCUUUGACAACAAAUAUAUAAAAAAAAUAAAAUAAAAUAAAAGUGGUUUUUGGCUAAAACUAAGUGUGGUCCUUGUCUACGCUAUGAAUGGUUUUUUAGAUCCUCUUGAUUGUAUUUGUAAAAAGUAGUGUCGGGAGGCUUUGGUGAAUUGAUGAUUGAUUUCAUGUUCCUUUCUUGCUUUUCUCAUUUGAUGUUUAUGAUAUUGGGUAUUCUACUUCUAUUUGUAUAGAUGAUCAUCACUCUUUUUCAAGUACCUAUUGAGUUUGAGUAUCUCUUCUAUUAAAUAUUUGAAAAGGAAAAAAAAGUGAAUUAUGCACAAUAAAAAAAUUUAAGAAGCAUGAUAAUUUUAGUUUUUUUUUCUUAGUUUUCCUUUUCUAGUUACCUAUAUAUAGACUGAAAUAGUGUGGUUUCAUUUAAUUAAAUGGAGUUGGUAAAUUCACAAAUUGAAAUAUUUGUUUGAUAAAUUAAUAAAUUAAGGAUUAUUUUUAUAAAUCUAAUAGCUAUUUGUUAAUUUUUAUAUUUUUGAAAAGAUUAUUUUGUAAAAAAGAUUAUUUUAUUAUUUAUAAAUGUUAUACUAAUUUUUUUUAUUUUAUCGUAAAAAUAUUUAAUAUUCGCUAUUAUGAGUAAUAAAAAUUUCAAUAAAAUUAAAUUUUAUGUUACUGAUAUUUUGAUAAAUAAUAUUUAAUUAUUAUAAUGAUAUAAAUAAAUUAUUAUAUUUAAAAUAAAAUAUACCAGUAAAUAUCGAAUUGACUAAUGCAAUGUAUAGGUUCUCCUAUGUAAUUUAAUUCCGCGGUCAUGUUGAUUGUGAAGUGAUUUAAUUCAAUGCAUUUUUUUUUCUUUCAUCUAACAAGUGGUCAUUUUAAAUUGUUUUGUUUUUUUAGGAGAAAGGAAAUACCCUAGGAGAAAGAGACGAGAUGAAGGAAGUGGGGUUUAAUGAAAUGGACACUAGUAGGGACCAUACAGAACUGAAUAAAAAAGGGCUUUGCUUAGUUCCUUUGUCUAUGGUAAUGAACUAUUUAGGUUGAAUAUUAUAAGUUUCAUGACAUGUACAAGACCUUUAUGUAUGUAUUCCUUUCUCUUAAUUAGCGCACGCUUGCGCUGUGUAUAUACAUUAUGGGUUGAAUAAUUAUUUGUAUAUAGACUUUUAUAGAAUUUAUUUUUUUUAAGUUUUAUUGUGGUUACACUCAUAAACCUUUAAGUAGUGAAGUGAAAAUUUUUAGAUUAAAACUCGAUUCAUGUAUGUAUAAUAAUGUAGUCGUCUGAAACAUUUCAGAAGACUUGUUUUAAUUUAAAAAAUUAAGCUCAUAAUAAAAAAAGUAUUAAAAACUCAAAAUAUUAUUUUUUAUUUGAAUUAUAAAUAAUAUUAAAAAUUUGUUAAUAAUAUAAAUAAGGUAAAAAAAAAUUUUGCAAAUAACAUCGAAAAUCUGAUUUUUUUUUGCCCCUACUUUUUUGGUCAAAAAAGUAUGGGACCUUUUUUUCUUCCUAAAAUUAUAUUAUUAUGUUUCUGGAUUCUGAUUUUUUGUUUUGUUUUGAAUUCUUAGUAUUUUUUGAUUUUAUAGUACUCUUUAAAAAACUAGAUAUGUUGUUGUUAUGUAAGCACAUACCAAAUUUAGUGUUGCAUAUUAAUCUCCUUGUAACUACUAACUAAAAUAUACUUACUAACGAUGUUUGCUGUUGUUAAUUAAGUUGCACAACUAAAUUGUCACACGUGAUUUUAAAACGUUCACUCAUUUUUACUUCAAAUGCAAGAUUCAUAAUUGUCUUCUAUAACUUACUUAAAGAGAUCCCACAAUUCACCAUUUUUUGUUUUAAAAAUGUUUUAAUGUGAGAACACUAUUGAAUUUUUUUUCUAACAACUAAUACAAUAUAUGGCUCACCAUGGACUAAAAUUUAAAAAAUAGAUUGAUAAGUUCGAUCUUUACUUUUAAUAGAUUAACAUAAUAUAUAGUUUAUUGUAGAACAACACUUUAACAAAAAAAAGGAUACUUAAAAUGAUAAGAAAAAUUCAUUGCGCAUCCAGGGAAUCGAACCCUGGUCAGUACCGUGGGAGGGUACUAUGAUACCACUACACCAGAUGCGCUAGUUUAUUCUUUUAAACUUUAUCAUGAAUACAUAAUAAACCACCAGAUGCGCUAGUUUCCCUUUUUACACUUUAUCAUGAAUACAUAAUAAACUAUAUAGUUAAAUCUAAUCAAUGGAAAUGAACAAAUGCUUCGAGUGUGCUAUGUAUCUGAAAAAAACCCAUGGCAUCGUAAAUUGAUUUUUGUGUGUACAGCCAUACUAAGACCUAUACUUGUGAAUAUGUUGGGUGAUGAAUAGUUAAAAAAAAGUAAACUCUAGUAAAGAUGAGAUUGAGUAAAAGAAAAUGUUAUAGGUUAAAAAUUAAUUGUAAGAUAAAAAACUUGUAAUAGCUCUCGUUAAGCGAUUUGGAUAUGAGUAAAGAAGACUUGUAAAAAUAGUUUGUCUAUUACAUAAAGUGAUCUAUAUAAUCUACAAGUAUUAGCAAAAAAAGUUAAUUAUAUAGAUGCAUCUUUUUGUUGUACUUCGUUUUGAUUUAUAAUAAAUUUUAAAAAAACUAAUAUAAUCAUUUUAAAAAAAUGAAACAUCCAAUAAUGCUUGGAUGAGAUAUUAAUCUUCUAAUUAUUUCAUUAAUCUCGAAUUUAAAUUUAGCAUUUGAAUAUAAAAAAAUAUAUAUAUAUUUAUAUAAUUACAUGAUCUCAACUGUUUAAUCUUAAUCAAAUCAUUCACUAUUAUUUUAAUUUUAAAAAUGGAUUCUAAAUCACAAAUUCAGUGAGUAGUAUCUAGGGAUCAAAUCAAAUAUAUCUAUAACAACAUGAACGUAUAACUUUUAACAAUUCAUUUAAUGGUUCGAGAAAUUAGACAAUAGGAUAAACUAUAAACAAACACAAACAAAACAUAAGAAAAAAACUAAAAAUAUUUUAAUAUUUGACAAACGGACGCAAUCCAAUAAUUUAUUAAUAUUUUAAUCAAAGCAAAAAAUAAAUUAUUAAUAUUAACAAUAAAUAUAAAUAAAUUAAGUACGUUAGUGCAUACGGAAAGAGAAAGCAUGAGAUGAGUGAGAGCUGAAUAAUGCAUACUCACGAAAACGCUAACAGUUGAAGAAAAGCUCUUUCUUCUCAUUCGAUCUAUCAAUCACCGUUACAUUCACGUUCACAUUAUUUCACCACUCAAAUCUCAAUCUUCCUUGAGAUUUGAGCUUUCUUAUUCUCUCUCUCAUUUUCAUUUUCUCGUGAAAUUGAUAUCACUUUCUCGCAGCCAUGAUUACUGCAAGCAGACUCAAAUCCGUCGAUUUUUACAGGUCAUAAUCAAAUCUCACUCUCUUCAUCAUCAGCAUUAUCACUUUCUUCCGCAUUUGUGCAUUUUGGCGUUUAUCGAUCAUUUUAUUCGUUCUUUCUAUCUACGUGAAAAAUGCACCGAGUCGCGUAUUCUUAUGUGAAUCUUCAGUUUCGAUGCUGUUAAUUUGAUCAUAAACGUAUUUUUACAAAUUGCAUUUCGUGCGUCGCUGGUUAUUCUUAACCCUAUACAUUGUCUUGGUAGCAUUUGCAUGUUUCGAUGUGCCUGUAAUUUAUUUUGUUUUGAUCUUUGCUUUUGGCUUAAAGGUUUUUGUAUUUAUCGUUAAGCCCCGUGGAUAAUGAUUAACGCUGAGGACAAAAAUAUUUGUAUACGAAGGAUUUGAUAUUUAUUUACUGACACUAUAAACUCAUUUUAUACGAUCGGUAAACAUGUGCUACCAUUUAUUUAAUAAUCUAUUAAUUUUAUUUAAUGGAAGUCGAAUGACUUAGUAUAAUAAUGUGACAUUUCCUUAUAUAUUGAAAGUGUCCAAAUUUUUUUACUUGGUUUUAAAUCGUGAACUGUGAUUAAGUUGCAAACUUUUACAUUACGUGCAAAUGCCUCGAUGCGGCUUAAAUUGCAAUUGCAAUGUCGUUAGAGAGACUUCAAAAUCCGUAAUAUUGCAGCUGCAAUUACGUUUACAGACUGCAAUUGAAAAUCAUAAUUUGCAGCUGAUCAAAUUUAGAAUUGUCAAAGGAAUGGUGGUAUCAUAGUUCUUAAUUGUGGUUGCGGUUUCGCUGCGAAUUUUUAUGUGCAGAAAAAUUCGUACAAAUGUGGUCACAAUUGUUAUUGACAUUUUUUUGCGUAGACCUCUAAAAUCUUUAUAUUGCAGCCACAAUUUAGAUAAAUGGGAGGUAUAUGUGGUCUGCGCUCAGUAUUCGGUAGAAGCAAUUUAAAUUUCAAUAUUUAAUAGGGAAUACGCCAUGUCAUUUUUACUUUUUUCUAUUUUUAAAUUCAGCUGGAUUCUGGGAAAAUAUAGAUUAAAAACAGAGAAGAUGUUUGAGACCGCAAGGAGGAUAUGCCUAGUUAAAAUGAAAGAUAUGUGUAAGGACUCAAAUGUAUAAUAUCUCAUUCUUUGGGGGAGAAUGGAAUAAGGCAAUAAGUCACCCAAGCAAAUUUAAUAAAUAAAGGUGGAUUUGGGAAUGCGAAUGUGAUAUUAUCUUUUUUAUGGAUGGAUAAGUCUCUAACAGGGUUAUAUCUUAUGUCAACAGAAAAAUCCCGAGAGAUUUAACGGAGGCAUCAUUAUCUGGAGCAGGGUUAUCCAUAAUGGCAGCUCUCUUCAUGGUGUUUUUAUUUGGAAUGGUCAGAAGCUUUUACCACUUCUGUUUUACUCCUAUGUUUAUGCCAUUUCAACCCUUCACAUAUCAUGUAUGCAUGUGCCGUGGGUUGAUAUAUACUGUUUAUGCCUCAAUUUAGUUUUGUCAACGUUUAUUGCAUAAUUAGUUGUCAAGUAUCAUAUAUGUCACGCAAACUUGUUGCAGGAACUUAAUGAAUAUUUAUCUGUCAGCACCUCUACAUCUGUGAUUAUUGACAAGAGUUCUGAUGGGGACUUUUUACGUAUAGAUUUCAAUGUCAGGUAAAAGUCUAAAUAGGUAGUUUCGAUCUCUAUUUGAAUAUGAAUAGGAUGUUUCUCUAAUGAUAUGUGUGUGAGAGAGGGUUUUGGAGAGAAAGGAAAGCAUGGAAUAACAGGAUAAGUAUUUAAUUUCAAGUAAAUACUCUAUAAUUUUUUAGUUUUUAGAAUGAAACCUAAUAUCUUAAUCCCUUGUCCAUUUUUAUAAAUACUUUGUACCCCUCUCUCUUAGUUUAGAAAUAAAAAUCUUACCCUUCAUUUCUUUUCCCUCCAAAACCCUCCACCAGUACACACCCUAAGGCGCCUGCAUGUGGUUGUAUAUACAAGUUAUUUGUGGUAUCAUGUUCUCUUAAAAUGAGCUUGGCAUAGUACAAAGAACUUGGGCUAUGUAAUAUUUGUGAGUUAUGGCUGUUAUUGUGAAUGCAUAACUCUAUUAGAUAAAUUAUAAGGAGUACCUGCUUAAGUGUGAUAAGUUGUUCACUGAAAUCUUGGUUAACAUGUUGACGAAAAUGGUUAUAAGACUUCUUAUUUGACAGAAAUUAUUGUCUUCAGGAAAGUGGUUAAAACUUAAAACUUAACUUUUCAGUAUUAAUGAUGUUAAUAUAAGUAUCUUCUUUCUUCCUUUCAGGGUUGUUUCAACUGGGGGUGGAUAGGAUGUUAAAACACUGAAAAACCUGAUUUUUAUUUUAUGUAUUGUGAUGAUUUAUGAAGUUGACAUAAAAUCCAUUCCAGGAUUGCCAAUGCGAUAUUUGUUAUUUCUCAUUUUUCAUAAUUAUUUUCUAAGAGUUUCAAUUCCUUGAUCAAUUCAUGUAGAUACUGUAGCUAGAUUUAGUAUUUGACUAUGUUCAAUCAACUUUUGGCUAUUUAUAAGCUCUCAGUUGUUUCUUGCUGAUGGCUUCUACUUAUCUUGUAGUUUUCCUGCACUCUCAUGUGAGUUUGCUUCGGUUGAUGUGAGCGAUGUGCUGGGAACAGUAAGUUUCAAUUAUUCCAUUUGUACCAUCUGAUCAUCUCUAGCAAUAUAUAUAUUUGUACUUUUGCUUAAGAAAUUUUGCUCACUUAGGUUUUUUAAAUUGUUGAAUGAGUCUUUUCGUCCAUGCAUUGACUGUAAUGCAGGUAACCACUAGAAAGUGCUGUUUAUUGGUUCUCCUGGAAAUUUAUAUUUUGUUUCCUUAAGCUACCUACUUCUAGUCUUGGGAACAGUUAUUCAUUAAUGGACUUUAAAAGUUCUGUACACAUCCUUGAUAUAUUUUGCCUGUGAAGUGUGAGGCCAAGGCAUUGAAAUAUUCGAAGUAUUUGAUAUGGAUUCUGUGCUUCAUUCAUGCACUAUUCUUUAUAUUCAAAAUGACAAAAUCUUCAUUUCCUCAUGCAUUUUAUGAUUUUGUAACCUAUUUUACCUCUUAAUUUGUGACUUCUUGAUUUCAGAACAGGCUGAAUCUUACAAAAACAGUUCGCAAGUUUUCUAUUGAUUCAGAUUUAAGACCCACUGGGUCUGAAUUUCAUUCAGGCCCAGCUACCAACGUCAUUAAGCAUGAUGAUAAAGUGGAUGAAGAAUCCCUUGAAGGUGCUUUUGUAUUCACAUCAGACAAUUUCGAUAAAUAUGCUCAUCAGUAAGUGGGCCAAUCAUGUAGUUCAUUUCAUUCAUUUGAUUUUUAUGAGUUUCAGUUGUGAGAGAGUUGAAGAGUUCUUUUCCCUUCUUUUCUCAAAUUGCACUAUAGUUAAACUUCAUUACACUGUUUUGAAUGAUCUUUUGGCAGAUUUCCAAUUACUGCUGUAAAUUUUUAUGCUCCUUGGUGUUACUGGAGUCAACGCUUGGUAAUUAUUUCAUCUUCAUUUCUCUCUUUCUCCCCACUUUAAUAAAUAACGUUGCUGAUAUCCUUACUGUUGUCCAGUUACAUUUACUUAUCUUUUUCUACUAUCAAUAAUUUCUUAUUCCUUUUGUGCGUUUUAGGUAAUGAAUUUUAAUGAGAUAAUGUAGGAUUUUAAUGACUGAAAGCCAAAUAAUUUGUUUAGAUAUAUACAGAAAGAAAUUUUGACAUUACUUGAUAACUUUAUUGUAUAUUUUUUAAUAGAAAAAGUGAAUUUGAAAGAUAAUAGAAACAAAAGUUAUAUGAUGAAAUCGGUGUAUUACACAUCAGAGCUCUGUUAUAUAUUUUAUAUACACACUGAGUUACAAUAAAUACAAAGAUUACCAUUACCUUACUUACCAUAUAGAUCAUAUGCUCCAAGGUUGUUUCAAAUGUAGCUUGUACAAGGACCCCACAAUUACUUACUGACAAUAUUUAUCAAUUGAUUAUUUGAACUAAUAAAGCUAGUGGUGGUGUCUCCAAAUAAAAUCAAUUUUUUCUCUAAUGAAAUGGCGUUUGUCUCAAUGAAUGUGUUUGGUACUCCCGUGAAAUACUGGGUUUGUGGCAAUUUGCAGGGCAACUUGAUUAUCACAGAGUGUUAUCCAUGUAACCUCUCCAAAACUAUUCUCGUUAAGUAACUAGUUGAGCCAAAUGAGCACACACAAGUAGCCGAUGUCAUGACCCUUAGAUUCAUAAUUUGUUUCUGCACAUCACCUUGCAACAAUAUCACUUUUAUUUCUUUUUAGAGUGAUAAGGUUUCUUUUCUUCCAAUGAAUAUACAAUACCUGGAAGUAGAUUUCCUAUCAAUAGGAGAGCUUGCCCAUUCAACAUCUAAAUAUUCCAUAACAUGAGUAUCCUUAUCUUCAUAUAGACCUUUUCCUAGAGUUGAUUUAAUUGAAUAUACUUCAAGAUGUGAAUUAUGAUAUCCCGAUGUUCUUCACAAAGCGAGUUAAGAAAUAGACUUAUCGAGGUAACAACAAAGGAGAUAUCUUAGUGAGUGACAAUGAGAUAAUUUUGUUUAACUAAUUUUUUUUGUAUCUCUAGAUCUAAAACUGGGCUCCCCUGAUUUGCUAGAAUCGUGGCAUAAAUGUUUAGCAUUCAUCAAACCUUAUUUAUGUAUUACUCUUAUAUCUUUCCUUUCACUCUCUUAUGUAUAAUGACUGAAGGUGGUUAUUUGUAUAUCACUUUUAUCUCUUUCCUUUCAGAGACCUUCAUGGGAGAAGGCGGCUAAAAUAAUGAGAGAGAGGUACUCUUCAUUUUGCAAUGUUUUUCUCACUUCCUAGAAACCACGCUUUGGAAAUUCUACCCUUUCAUCUCUUUAACUUGACAUCACUUUACUAAUUCAGUGCCUUGUAUGUACAAUUGCAUUUUUAUUUAGAUAUGAUCCGGAAAUGGAUGGUCGAUUACUUAUGGGGAAGGUAGAUUGCACUCAAGAAGGAGACUUGUGCCGGAGGUGCCUAUUUUUCUUAUAGUUUUUGUAAAAAUAACAAGAAGUUCAUGAUCAUUCUUCAUUAUAACCAUAGCAAAAUUUGUAAUUGUAGUAUGCCAAAUUCUCAGUUGUUAAAUCUUUCUCCAUUAACUUUUCAAUCCACCUGCAGAGAGGUUGAUUUUGAUGAAAUUUAGUUUAUAUAUUCUCAGUUUAUUUUCAUUACUCGUACAUUCCUUUUGAUUUUCAAGCAAGGCAAUGUGAUUUAAUCUCAACUCUUUUUAUUCCUCCAAAAUAAUUCCCUUUUCCAUCACCUCAUACAAACAGAGUGCUGACACCAAAAAUUAGGAAAGACAUAAAUUGAAACAGCUGACAUUUUCAUUGUUUCUAGAAUUGUAGACAAUUGUUCACUUUAAAAAUCUCUUACCUCCUUAUUAACAAAAGUAAAAUGAACACAAAUUUUAAGAAAUAAAAACAGAAAAUGUUUUCACAAAGUAAAUGCCCCUAUGCUUUGUAACAAGUAGAUUUCAUGAUAUAGGUUCAUUGAUUUUCUUAGCUUACUGUGAAGAUGGAGAUUAGCUUUAAUCGUAAGUUGAGCAUUAUUUGAAGUGCAUGUUCUUCAUUGUAAUUUGAUAUUUUCUUUUUAUCACUUGCUAAUUUUUCUAUUUUUUUCUUAUCAUUUACCAUAUGUGCUUAUUGCACUAUUUUUUUGUAUCUCAUUACCAAUAUCCAGGCAUCACAUACAGGGGUAUCCAUCGAUUCGUAUCUUUCGUAGAGGAAGUGAUGUCAGGUAACAAUGAAAAAUAUUUUUUAUGUGGGAAAGAAUCAAUACCUACUCACCUGCUUGUGCUUUUUUGGAUAUUAUGUACUUUUUUAUUUGCUUAAAUAUAUUACAUUUUCCCACAAGAAUGAUAUAAGUUCUUUUUUCCUUUCAAAAAAAUUAUGGGAAUGGUCAUCAAAAUCGUGUCUAGAAUGGGAGUAGUGAUCAAAGCCCAAAGGUUGUGGCAGAGACAGUCGGAGGAUGUAAGGAUACAAGUGCUAUAGGUAGAUCAGCUUAAUAUUGAACCAAAUAUAUGGGAUGUGAAUUACUCUAACCUCUGUAGUCGUAUCGAAAGAUGACUUUGGGCUGUUUUAUUACUCCUCCUCUACGAACUUGCCGAUGAAUCAAUUUGAUAGGCUAAAUCAAUUCUAUUUCAAUAUGUGGUUCUCCCUUGUAAUUAUUAGUAUAAAUUCAUAUUUUGGUAAAACCUAUGUGAUUAGUAUCUGGAUAGUUUUUGUAUAUGUUCCAUCCUGAAUAUUGUAUCACCUGUGAUUGGGUUUCUAGAGUUUUGGAUUUUUGAAUAUAUCUAGUUUUUUUAAUCUUUAUCCUAUUUCAGAAAUGACCAUGGAAAUCAUGAUCACGAGUCCUAUUAUGGAGAUCGUGAUACAGAUAGCCUUGUUAAGGUACAAAUUAAUUUUAAUUUAAAUUAGUAUGAUUUGAAUCAACUUUACUUUGAAGUGUUUAUGCCUUUAAAUGUAAUUGAACAUCACUAUUUAUCAUUAGUGUGCAACUUACGUGAUAUGAAAUGUCUCCACUGCAGACAAUGGAGAAUUUAGUGGCGUCUCUCCCUGCAGAGGCUCAGAAGCUAGCUUUGGAUGAUAAAUCAAAUGUUACAGAGAAUGCUAAAAGACCAGCACCAUCAGCUGGGGGUUGUAGAAUUGAAGGAUAUGUACGUGUCAAGAAGGUAAACACCAAUAGGCAUAAAAGUAGCCUUCUAGCGUAAUGUGGAAAAACUUCCUAAUUGUCAAAUGUGAGGAUGAACCAAGAUUCUUUACAUUGCUCUUGUUUUUAAAAUGUCUUUUGAAUUUUAAUAGAAGCAUCAGUUAUCAAUAAUAUAACAGCAGAAGUAAAUGAAAUAAGGCAUAUGACCUCCUAUUCUUUUUCUUUCUUUCUGUAUUUUAAAUAUUAUGCUGAAAUGUAAGCUAUUUUGCACUCUGCAGGUUCCUGGAAACUUGGUGGUCUCAGCUAGAUCUGAUGCCCAUUCCUUUGAUGCUUCUCAAAUGAACAUGUCACAUGUCAUACACCAUUUAUCUUUUGGAAGGAUGGUGUCACCUCAGGUUAUGAGUGAUGUCCAGCGCUUGAUACCUUAUGUUGGUAGCAGCCAUGACAGGCUGAAUGGUCUGUCAUUCAUCAACACAGAUGAUUUAGGAGCAAAUAUUACUGUAAGUUAACAUUUUGCAUAAAAUUUCCUAAUUUAGUAACUUUUUUUAUUUGAGCUUUUGAAGUUUUAUGGUUGGCAUCAGGAAGAUUUAUUGUUAAUGGCAGAUUGUAUUGACCGGCAUCUGCAAGAGCCAGAUGCAAUAGAUAGCAUCAAUAUACAUGGCCAGAGAUGCUUUAUUUAUUUUUGGAGGUUAUAAUUGUCCUCUAAAUCUUUCUUUGAAAUUGAUACCACAUGCCACUCCAACACCUUUGUAGGACAAGAUUGGCCCUUCCCCCUUAUCCUCUAGUGUUAAUUCAUUUGGAAAAUAAUUUUGAUACAUUAGAGUCCCUUCAACAGUAACAAUCUUAGGAACUAAAAGCUUUGCUCCCUAUGCAUGUGGAAGUUACAUCAUUAAAAGACCUCCCUUAUUCUUCAGGCUUCAAUACUCUUAAUCUUUAGUUGCACUAUUUAAAAUAUGCAAGCUUGUUGAACUAAAUAUGUUUGUGUUGCACUCUUUAGGUGUUAAUGUCCUCUGAGAUGAUCAGGGACGGAGCCAGACUUUUGAGUCUAGAGGGCCCAAAUAAUAUGUAUAAAUACUUUAAUUUAUGAGAAAAGUGCAAACUUAAAUUAUUUCAUAUAAAUUAAUUUAAAUUUGGUAUUAAUAAUAUCCUAAAUAAAUAUUCUUUAUUUAAUAUAUUAUGAUUUUUUUUUAGUAACAUAAUAUGAAAUAUUGAAAAAAAAUAAAUUAUAUAUUAAUAUUAUAUGAGUGCAAGGAAAAUUAAGGAAAAGAGCACAGGUGCUUUCAAAAAAAAAAACAUGGGCUCCAUACUUGAAUUUAACAAUUAAAAUUAAAAUGGAUUAUAUGGUAUUUUUGUUGCUUGUUUCAUAAAACUUUGUGUGGAUUAAACAUAAAAUAUAUAUAAUAAAACAUAUAUAAAUUUUAAAAGACAAUAAGCAGAGCCCCUGGAGGUCGUUCAGCCCCUGGAGAUAACACAACUUCUCACUAACUAAUACAAUCUCUGUUAUCAUUGCAUGGCUUUGAUCAUGGUUAAUGUCUUUUAUGUAUGGAUGCUGAUAACUACAGAAAGAUGAGCAUCUCCAAUGCUUGCAGAUUUAUUGCUGUCAAAGUAUUGCACAUUAAUCUGACUUCUGUGUGUGCAGAUGGAGCAUUACCUUCAGAUAGUUAAAACCGAAGUGAUUACCAGAAAAGAUUAUAAAUUAGUUGAGGAGUACGAGUACACAGCGCACAGCAGUGUGUCACACAGUUUACACAUUCCUGUUGCUAAGUUCCAUCUUGAACUCUCCCCUAUGCAGGUAUGCAUAUUGGAGAUUAUCAGCUUCAAUGAGUUUCUACUUUCUUUUUAAUUUCUUGUUAAUUGACUCUGUGUUGUGAGCAGGUCUUGAUAACAGAAAACCAGAAGUCUUUUUCGCAUUUUAUUACAAAUGUCUGUGCUAUUAUUGGGGGUGUUUUCACGGUAUGUAUCUCAGAUACUGUGGCUCUAUAUACUUGUAUUGUUCACUAAUUGUUUUGUUGAUUAGUCUUCCCUAUGGUUUCAGGUAGCUGGAAUUACGGAAUCCAUUUUGCACAAUACUAUUAGGCUAAUGAAAAAAGUUGAGCUGGGCAAAAAUUUUUGAUAGAUAGUUGCAGAUUUUUUCUAGGGUAGGGCUUUUGAUUAACUAUACCUACUUCAAUGAGGAGGUCUUUCGGCAGAUUUUUAUCUAUAGAUACACUAUAUAUAAAGCAUAAAAAUGUAGUGUUUUUCUUUUCUGACAAGAAAGUGUUUUUCUUUUCAUUCGGUUUAAUGAUUAUGAAAUGGAUUGCGAGCACCACUAAAUUUUUGUUCUUGGUAGCAUUUUGGUAAAUAGAGUAAUUAAGAGCUUAUACAAUAAUCACAUUUUAUGUGACAUUUUAUAUCAUAAAUACUUACAUUCAAUAAUAGGCUGUUGGUGUUUGGAUAUACACGUUGAAAAUCAACUUCUUUUUUGCGUGUGAAAAUAGAUUUUGGGUGUAUUGGAAAAGGAAGAUUUUGGGUGUAUUGGAAAAGGAAAAACUUUAUAUAAGUUAUCAUAAGAAGUUUACCAUAACUUAAAAAACAAUUUAUAGGUAUAACUUAUAAGCUAUAUUUAAAAGAAUGAUAUAGUAUAAAUUAAUUAGUCAUAUUUUGAUAGAUAAACAUUUACUUUAAAAAUUUAAUUUGUAUCUAUGGUCAGUUAUAUCAGCUGUGGUUUUUUUCUGACUUGAUUAUUACUUUUCUACUGCUUUUAGCAUAACCAUUUUUUUAAAAACUAUGAUAAAGAAGGAAAAUAAACAAAUAACAUCUGGCAUAUUCACCCACUCUACCAUUCCUGCAUAAAAUGGCUUUAUUUAUUUCAUGUUCAACUUAUUGAGUAUUCUUACACCAUCAGGUAAGAAGCACACAAAAGGGUACAUAACUAUAUAUUCCCAGCUUAUUUCUCAGUUGUCACAACCAAAUAUCAGACAGUGCCUCAACUUUAGACCAAAGUCCCAACUCAAUAGUAUAGAAAUCCAUGAGAAGUAAAAAACUAAAAAGAAUUUAAAGAAAAAAUAUAUAUAAAUUAUACUCAACCACUCAUACUUUUUACUUGGAAACAACCAGAGCUGAAACCAUGAGUGCUCCAACAGAACCAACAAAGCUGACCAAGAUUGAAGAAGCAGCAUUAGGAGGAGGAGGUUCUGUAACAGGAGCUGGAGUUGGAGUUGGAUUUGUUACCUCAGUCACUGGUGGUGGAGAUGAACCCUCUAUCUGAGGAGGUGGUGGGGAUGAACCUUCUAGCUGAGAAGGUGGUAGUGAAGGAGCUAAUGCAUCUGAUGAAUGUGAAGAUAAAGGAGAAGGAGAAGGAGAAACAAAAACAGAAACAGAAGGAGAAGGAGAAGGAGAAGGUGAAGUUGUUGUUUGGUUGGUGUUUGAGUUUCUGUUGGUUCUGUCAGAAAGCACAAUCACCAAUAGCUUCUCAUUCUUGAGACAGCUAUUUUUGUUUCCACUAAUGAAGAAAUGAGGCCCUGAUUGACUGAGUUUUAUUACUGUGUGGCCAUCAGAGAAUUUAUCAGAAGAUGCAUCAGUGUUGCAACUAUCAUAGUCUUGUUGGCUAUUUACUUGAAUUACUGAGUCUUGACCUGAAUGGUAAUUGAACACUGCAAUCGGCAUAUGUGUAAAUUGAAAUAUUAGUGCACAAUUCUUUUAUAUCAACAAAUGAUUUUUUUUUUCUUUUCAUGAAUGAUUGUAUCAUUUUAUUUACUAAAGAUAGUAGUAACACCACUAUAUAUGGUUCUAACAAAUAAUUAAACUAUAUAAAUUCAAGUAAAACUAAUAGUUUUAAAACUAGUUAAAAAUGUUCCAUUUUUCCCCUGCCUUUGAUAAAAACAAUGAAAUAAAAUGUAGGAUAACUCACCUAGGGAGUCUCCUACUUGAAAUCUGCUCUUUUCUGCCCAUUGAUUAUAAGGGUUGCCAUUAGGGUCACUUGGAACACUCCAUCCCUUUUGUCCUCCAACUACAAAUUCAUAGGCAUCACCUUUGUGCAUCAACACCAAGAGACAUAACAAGACAAAAGCAUGAACUACUUCAUUAGACCUUAAAAUAAUACUAGCCAUUGGAAAAGGAUCAAUGAGGAAAGGACUAUUGCAACCAAAAUGCUGGAAAUGUUAGAAGAUAGAGUGAUGCAAUAAGUUGGACCAUCAUUAGGGGUUUUUGUAGGUAUCAGAUGCAUGCAAACUUUACAAACUGUGGCAGUGAAGCUUUUGAAACUUUUUGUUAUUCUCUCAUAUAUUUGGUUUACUUUGAUUCUGGUGCAAAGCAUAAGCUGUCUUUCAUUGUUAAGAGUUUGAGUCUAUUUGAAUCUUUCACUUUUAUAUAAAAGGGUUUGGUGCAUAAGUUUUAUGCUUUGCUUACAGAAAUCUUUUUUCAAAAAAUAUAAUAUAAUGUAAUAUAAAUUAGAGCUUAGAUUAUCUCAUCAAUAAUUUCAAUUUCAAAAUAUGUUACUAGCUAAGAUCAACAUGACCUUCUACUAAUAAAAGAUAUAUCAUAGCUAGGAAGACUGCAGUGUUAGAGAUGCUUUUGCAGCUUAUAUACUCAAAGACUCUGCAACAAAAUUUAGAAAAAUAGUUGGAGUAAUAAUUUUGUCACAAAUGUGUGAUAGUGGUAUAUAUUUACUUCUAUAAUUAUUGAUAUUAAAAAAAAUUAUAUAUCUCAAUAAUAAAUUAAAUAGCGACAUUUCUAUAAAAAAAAUAAUUAAUCCACGUGGAAUUUUGAAAAUAGUUUUAUAGUAAGGGAAGAAAGUGAAAAAAUACCUUAUAAUUAGGAAUGAAAUGAGUAAUAGGAAUAUAACCUAUGAUUUGGAUUUGGUAUAGGAACCAAGCUACACAAAUUUUAAUGUCAAGCGUCCUAUAUCAAAUUAAUGGUCGGAAUCAUUUUUAAAAUGAUUGUUAUUGUGUAAAUCUGAAUUACCAAUAUCUCAUAAACAACUAAGAUUAAGCGUUCAUAUAAUUUGAUGUCUAUAUUAAAAUUUGUGUGGAUCCCAUACAAAAUAUUUGUCGCCCCCCUAUUUCUCUUGUCAAUCAAAUAGACUCAUUUAUCCUCUUUUCAAUUUCUCUCUUCAACAUUUCUUGCAUACCCAAACAUUCUACAAUAGUCUGUUUUUGUGACUUAGCUAUGUAGGUGGUAGAUUGACACUGCUGCAAUAUAUUUUCUAUGGUUUGUUGGCGGAAGACAAAAUAUAGACUUCAUAUUUUGUAUCAAUUCAGUAUUUAAUAAACUAAUAAAAUAUAAUAAGUUAAUAAUAAAUAUUUUCGUAUUUUGUAUCUUUAAUUAUAAAUUUUAUUUCAAAUAUAAGUAGAGUUUAAAAUCAGUAAGAUAUGAUAAUAACAACCAUUUACUUUUUUACUCUUAUAUAAUAUAUAAAAUUUAGAAAAUAAAAGAAUUUGAUAUUAAAUUUUUAAAAAAAUAUUAAUAAUUGAUUUUAAAAAAUAUAUGUAUGAUUUUAUCACAAGGGUAGUUUUUCAUUUUAUAUAAUUUAGUAAAUUAAUAUUUAAAUUUUUAAAAUUAAAAAAAAAUUAAAUAAAUAUAAUUUUUUUACCAAGGUAGUUUUUUCAAUUACAUAGUAUAUAUAAUUUACAUCCACUUCUUUUUAUAAAGGUGUAAAUUAACAACCUACACCUUUUCAUUUUGACAACAAAAAAUAAAUCAAUUCUUGAAGGAUAGUUUUGUAAGUUUAAUUUUGUUUAUUAAUGUUUAAAAGAGGCUAAGGUUGUUAAUCUACAUCUAGGUGCAAAUUAACAACACACACAUAUUUUUAUUUGAACAAAGAAAAUCUUAUUUACUAUUUUAAAUAAGUAAAAUUAAAGGAUAAUUUUUUAUAAAUUUUAUUUUACAUGAUAAGAAAAGAAACUAAAUUAAAAGAUAUAUAAAUUACAUUUUUACCUCUCGUUGAUAUAAUUUUCUAAACAGAUAGUUGGAUUUUUUUGUCUAAAAUAAAAAAGAGCAUAUUGCUAUUUUACGUCGACUAAAAAAUAAGUUCGCAUAAAUUAGCAAAAUAUAUAUCAUUUGUUUGUUUAACUUAUUUAAUAAAUGAAAUAGAAUUAUUUUAUUAUUUAUAAUUCUUUUUUAAAUUUUAAAUUAUUUAUUUAAUAUUAUCUGAUGAAUUUAAGAAAAAAGUAUUUUAUUACUUUUUUAACUCUUUUAUUAUAUUUUAUUAAUUUAUAAUAUUUAAAUAUGUAAUGAUAAUUUGCAUCACACUGCUUAUAAAUUGUGUUAUUAAUGAUAAAAUUGAGAAUUUUAGGGAAUUUAAAAUGGUAAGAAAUUCAAUAGCUUCAAUUAAACUUAUUCACUUUUUUUGUCUAGAUUGGCAAGUUCAAAAAUAAUUAGAGUUGCAUAAUAUAUUUUGUCUUCUCAAACUAACUAAUAAAAAUGCAGGUUAUGAUAAUUGCUUCAAUGGUUAACCAUUUUAAAGAAAAAUAGGGAAAAGAAAAAGUAUUUUAGUUAAAAUGAUACUACUAAUCAAUUUAUUCCGUUUUUAAGAGAAUUUGAAAUAUAUUCUGUGAUUUGUGGUACUUCAUCUUAUAAGUCAUCCUAAAGAAAGAUGGGCCUGUUCUUUUUUAAAGCAUGUUUAAUAUAUACCGUGUUUGAUUUAAAUAGGGAGAGAAGAAUGAAGAAACAUGAAAAGAUUUUUAAUUAAAUAAUAGCUUAAUAAUUAAUGUCUUGCACGAGAUUUAUAUAUUUCUAUAUGUUUAUUUUAUUAGAAAAUUAUAUAUAUAUAUAUAUAUAUAUAUAUAAAAAUUAAAAUAUUUUUAUGUCUAGAAUUUCAGUGUAUUUAAUAUUGAUUCUUACAAAGGAGGGCAGAAGGCCCAAAGAACAAAAAAAAAAAAUUAAGGAAUUAAUGUACAUUUUUAAGUAUACAAACUCUGUAAAAUAUUAUUAAAUCAGAGUUGCAUAAACUCGCUAGGAGGGAACUUCAAAACAACAAUGUUCUAAGAAAUAAAUAAGUUAAGGUUAAACCUAAUUAGCAAGGGCAUCUAUUGCUUUUGCGUCAAGUGUGAGUAAAUUGAAUGUGUUAAUUUUCUAAAGAAAUGUUUGGAUAUGUCGAAUCACAUGAGGGGCAUGCCCUUUGAAAUUACAAUUGAUUGUGAUCAUCUUAAUAAACACCUUGAGUUGUUUUCCACAUUCAGGUGAGAUGAACCCUCUUCAUGAUAAGUCUCAGAUACAUACUCUACAAUUCAGCAUGCAAGAUAUGAUCACAAGCUUCCAUCUUUUGUCUAAAACCCUAAUCCAUUUAUCAUCUGAUCUAAGUUAUAAAGAAAACCGCUGACACGUCCGUGUCUCUCUCUUUUUUUUUAAAAUAAUAAUAAUAAUAAUAAUAAUAAUAAUAAUAAUAAUAAUUAAUUAAUUAAUAAUAAAAUAAAACAAACCCAACUCCACUCACUUUUCCCCCACUUUCUUGCCAUCCCACUUUUCCCUCUUCUUCUCUCCCGGCAACCCCACUCCCACUCCCCCAUUUUCAUUUUUGUUUCUUUUCUUUUCUUCUUCUUUCUCUCACUUAAAGCCACAAUAAACUCAUGGAAAGGAUAUACAUUCCCUAAGCAAGCUUCUUCAUAUUUUCCCACACUACGCCAAAAAUGACAUUUUAUAGCGCGUCUUUUAUAACGCUUAUUAAAUACAAGCGUUGUUGUAUGAUAUUUUAAAAAUAAUGGAGGAUACAACAGCGCUUUUUUGACAAGCGCUGUAAAAGACUUUGAUUUCACAUAAUUAAAGGACCUAUUAGAGCGCUUUUCGGAAAAACGUUGUAAAAAGGUUUUUUAAAAAAAAUAAGGAGGUCUUUUACAGCGCUUUUGGACAAGCGCUUUAAAAAGUCUGGAAAAAAACGCUGUUAUAGACUUUCAAAAAAUAAAAUAAGGAGGUCUUUUACAGCGCUCUUUAAAAAAGCGUUGUAAUAGGCUUUUAAAAAAUAAAAUAAGGAGGUCUUUUAUAGCGCUUUUUUAAAAAGCGUUGUAAUAGGCUUUUAAAAGUAAAAUAAGGAGGUCUUUUACAGCGCUCUUUAAAAAAAACGAUGUAAUAAGCUUUUAAAAAAUAAAAUAAGAAGGUCUUUUACAGCGCUCUUUAAAAAAAGCGCUGUAAUAAACUUUUAAAAAAUAAAAUAAAGAGGUCUUUUACAGCGCUCUUUAAAAAAGCGUUGUAAUAGGCUUUUAAAAGUAAAAUAAGGAGGUCUUUUAUAGCGCUUUUUUAAAAAGCGCUGUAAUAAGCUUUUAAAAGUAAAAUAAGGAGGUCUUUUAUAGCGCUUUUUUAAAAAGCGCUGUAAUAAGCUUUUAAAAGUAAAAUAAGGAGGUCUUUUAUAGCGCUUUUUUAAAAAGCGCUGUAAUAAGCUUUUAAAAGUAAAAUAAGGAGGUCUUUUAUAGCGCUUUUUUAAAAAGCGCUGUAAUAAGCUUUUAAAAAAUAAAAUAUAACAGUAAAUCGCUUCAGUUUCCUCUUUAUUACAUAAACUUCAUUACACUUCAGUGUCCUUCUCCUCCUCAUUAUCCUUCUCAUUGCGAACCAUAAUGUCCCUACGAACCAUAUUGUUUAUGAACUCUACGUAUUUCUUCGCACUCUUCAGGUAUUGUAUUCAUUUAUUCAUUUAUUUCUUAUAUAUAUAUAUAAUGUGUCUGUUAAUGCUAAUAAUCACAUUUAUUUGAUAGUGUUUUACAAGUUUUCCGAGCUCAAAUGGGUGCUACAGUGUCGAAGCAAAAAUCAAAUAAAUCACAUGGAUUCCAAUAAAGGUUUGAAAUGUAUGGCUUUAAAAUUUCAUUAACAAUCAAUCCACAAAUAUUUAUUGACUUAUAUGUUUUAUUUUAUAGUGCUAUCGUCAAACUAACAACAUAGACUGCGGAUACUGUAUAUUACGAUUUAUGAAGGAGAUUGUUGUUAUAAUCCCAAAAAUAGAUCUAAUUGAAAUAAAGGAAUGCAUAUUACAGCGCUUUUUUUAAAAAGCGCCGUAAAACUAAUACAACAAGCAGCGCGUUUUUAGAAGAGAUUUACAACGCUUUUUUUUUUUUUAAUUUUAAAGAGCGCUGUUGUAUCUUUUUACAACGCUGGAUACUACAGCGCUUAAUUUUUUGAAAAAGCGCUAUAAAUGGCUUAAAAAAAACGUUGUAAAAUACCAUUUUUCGCGUAGUGCCAAGUUCUUGGGUAUAAUUUUUGAGUUAGGGUUUGUCCUCUAAAGAAUGAGAAGAAUACCCAUCUCUUGAGAGUUGUUUAUUGAGACUCAAUGAGGUAAAUGCAUAACUCCAAUGCUAGUAUGAAUAUAUAGAAAAAUGUAGUUUUGAGUAAAAACCUUAUUUUAUGCUUAGAGUAGAUUUAAAUGAUUUUUUAGGGUUUCCUAGAGUUAGUUAAACUUUAGAAUAAUUUUUCUAAAGUCUUGGAAAUAUUUUUUAUACUCAGAUUUGUUAGCUGAGAUCCUACCGGCUACUCUGAGAGUUGUUGGAGAGCAAAUUUAGACGAUUCUACAUAGAAGUGAGUUGACGACGACCAUCGUCAUAUAUUUUUUAUAUAAUGCUAUUAUUAUUAUUAUUAUUAUUCUUAUUAUUAUUAUUAUUAUUAUUAUUAUUAUUAUUAUUAUUAUUAUUAUUAUUAUUAUUAUUAUUAUUAUUAUUAUUUUACUUGUUUUCUAUAUUAAAGUAUUUAUUGAAAAAUUUGGGAAACACAACAUUUGAAAUUUAUCUCGAUUUUGUCAAUUAUUUAAUUUAAUGGUCGUUGUUAUAUAAUAUGAUAUUAGUUUGAUUUACGUAUAAGUUAAAGUAUUUAAAUAUUAAAUUGUUAGGCGAUUGAAUAUAUUUUCCAUGAAUUACGAUGAAGUGAUUUUAAAUACGUGUUUUGAGAAAUCGUUGUUAUAAUUAUUAAAUCGUUAAUUGCGUUAGGUGCACCUAGUUACCUCGUUUUGAUUAGGGAGAGUUACCCAUUAGAUGGAGCCGCCUCUAUGAGAAAUGUCAUCUGUAGGAGGAGAGAGUUAUCAACGAGAUGUAACUUCCCUAAUUGAUACGUGAUUAUGCGUUGCGGGAUUGAGAUGAGAGAACUAUCCGUUAGAUGGAGCCACCCCUAAGGGAAAUGUCACUCUUAGGAGGAAAGGGCUAUCAAUAAGAUGAAGCCGCCUCUUGGUUCUAAAAAAAUUGUAUUUUUACUUAUUUGAUUUUUAUGAUGAUUUUAAUGUUGUUCAUUUGGAUUUCGCUUCGUUAUUAACUGAAUUCUUAAAAUUUAUAUCUGAACGGUUAAGUUAUAAGUUUAACGACUUGAUAUGUGUAUAUUUUAAAUUUAGAAUUUUUUAGAUUUUUAAGUAAUAUUGUUUAACAUAACGGCCGCCCAAUUGUAAAGCAGUUAUUCGUGCCUUUUUGUAUUUCCCUUCUAAUUGAUGGUGAUUGUUGGUUCCUCACUAAGUCUUUGUGACUUACCCCUUUAUGUUGCUUAUUUUUUUCAGAUUCGCAGACAAUUGAGUAGAAAUCUAUUAUUUGAUUCAAGUCUCGACUAUAUUUCUUUUUGGUAGGCCUAUUUGAUCGAGGACUAUUUUUUUGUAAAAUAUGUCGAGUCUAAUGUAAUUUGCAGCUAUUUUGGAGUCUAGAAUUUUUUUUUUGAAGUGUAUUAAACAAUUAGAUUAUGUUCUUUGAAUUGUAACUGAAUUGAAAAUUUAACAGGGAUUUUAUAAAUUUGGGAAUGUUGAAGUCACAGGGGAUACUCUGUCGAAAUUUCGGGAAAAAGUAUAUAUAUUUUUUGAAAUGGUUAGAGAACGAUUUAGUUGUUUAAUUGUUAAUGGUUAGAGUAUGGUUAGAUUAUGUUAUUUGAUAGGCUUGUCAGGCUGAGAGUAUAGCUUGUGCUCCGGUCACGACAUUUAAAUUUCAGGUCGUGACAACCGCAAUAUCUUAUAAUGUCACCAUACUCCUUACAUGCCCUAUCACAAUUAAAUUUCAUAUUAAAUGAUAUACUAUUAGGGUUUAUUUAAAUAAUUUUAAAACACAUUAUAUUAGUAUAAUAAAUUUAAAAUAUUUGAAAUGAACUAAAUAUUUAUGAAUAAAAUUUCAAUGUAUUUUAUAUAUACUUUCAAAUCAUGUAUUUUUAAAUUAAUUUUUUUUAAUAAAUUAUUUGCUCCUCUAUAAAGCCAUAGCUGUCAAAAAUCAAUAUUGAAUAUCAAUUUGGUUGGAUAAUCCUAAAAAAAAAUAUUAGUUAUGACAUGACAUUUGAUUAAGAAAUGUUUAUUAAUAUAUGUAAGGCAACAACUUUAAUAAACUCCCUAUCUUGCCAUAUCUUACCUUAAUUAGCUAACAUGACAACAACAGCAUUAACUAUCUCUAAGGAACAGCCCAUAAAAAAAAAAUAGAGUUAUGACAUGUCAUUUUAUUAAGAAAGUUUAAUUAAUAUAUGAAAGUUAGACAAGAUUAACGUAUUAAAAUUAAUCUAUUAUAAUAGUUAAAUAACAAUAACAUAUUAAAAUUAAUAUUAUGAAAAACAACAAUUAACAAAUAUUAAUUAUUUUAAAAACAUGUGAAAUUAAAAAAAAAAAAGAUUUUAUUAAAGUAACAAGUAUUAUUAAAAAAAUCAACAAAAAAUAGAUCAAUACAACAUCUAUCACUAAUAAUAAAAUUGACUAAGUUACAUCCGCGGUCCCUUAACUUAAUUUCAAGUAACGUUUUAGUUAUUUAUCUUUUUUUUUCUUCUCGAGUUGGUCAUUUAUGUUAACUUUAAGUGACAAUUUGAUAUUUUAUGUUUUAAAAUUUCAACAAUGUUAUCUUUUUUUAUACAAAAAUUCAAAAAAAUUAUCAAAAUUUUCAACCAAAAUCCAUAAAAUUAAUAAUCAUCUUCAAUAUAAUGCACAUUUUUUAUCAAAUCCAUAACUCAAAUAUUCAAAUACACUCAUAUUUUCAUCUCCAACAACAUCAAAUAAAGAAUGAAAAAAUGAGUUUAUUCCAAGAUUUAAGUUAUGAAUUUGAUUAAAUUUGUAUUUUAUUGAAGAUGAUAAUGAAUUUUAUGGGUUUUGUUUUAAAAUUUUGAUGAUUUUUUUGAAUUUUUGUAAAAAAAAGGACAACAUUGUUGACAUUUUAAAACAUAAAAUAUCAAAUUGUUACUUAAAAUUAAAAUAAAGGACCAACUCGAGAAAAAAAUAUAAAAGACUAAAAUGUUACCUGAAAUUAAGUUAAAGAACGUAAUUUAACCUAAUAAAAUUAUAUUAUUAUUAUUAUUAGAAAAAUAUGUAUGUAGUUGGACCCGAUUUAGUUGAAAACAAAAUAUUCAAAAUUCCAUCCACAUAAUUUUCACAAAAGAAAAAAACAUUCAAUAAGAAUCAUGUGGUUGAAUUUUUUUUUGAUUUGAUUUAUAAUUUUUAUUUAAAUCAAUUUAAAUAUAGACACCGCUGAAUUGCUCUCAACCUAUUCUACCUACUUGUUUUCAACAUGAACCCUACAAUCUACUUCUUUCAAGUAUGACAUAAUAUGACACCCACCACUAGCCGCAUUGGGAGGGUCGAGAUUAAUUCACAUGCGAUAUCUAAGUCAUUGGUUAACUCAUACCCCCUACCAGAUAGUAAGGUGACAUUUUUAUAAAAAAAACAUAAUUUUUAUUUAAUAAAAAGAUUUUUUAUUUUAAUACUUUUAAAAUUAAAAAUAUAUUUUUUUUAAAAUUUAAUAUUAUCUCAACACUAUUAAAUUAGUUAAAAAAAAUAUAUUAUAUGAUAUCAAUUAUAUUUAUUUUAAUGAUGUCAAGUUAAAAUUUAGAAAAUUCGUUUUAGAUCUCAUAUUAAAAUUCGCUUGAAAUCUCGUAUUAAAAUUAGCUUCAGACAUUCACAUGUGUUGGAUCAGUUCUAUUAACUGAUUAAUACUAAUUUGUUAAAUUUAUGUCUUGCUUUAGGCUUUAAUUUAGAAUUUCAUAAUUGUAUGUGAAUUUAUAAUAAUAUUUACUAUCUAUUUUACAUACAUAAAAUAACAUAAAAAGAUGGGAAGACCAAAUGAGGGAUAAGGGCAAGUUUUGGAUGAAUUUUGUAAGGUAUUGGUGGGAAUUAGUUGAUGAGAAAACUUAUUUGAUAAUCUAACUUUAAAACAAUUUUUUAUUAGAUAAUUAAAAAUAUUGAAAAAAUGAGAAGUAAAACAACAUUUACUUGUUUUGCUUUUCUAAUUUAAUAAAGUAUAAUAUUAAAAAUAGUUUUACAAAAUAAUUUUUAAAAACAAGUAAUCCAAAUAAAAUUUUUAGUUUUUAAAUUUAAAAAUAAAAUAAAAUAGAGUUUUUAGGACUAGAAUGAAACCCUUAAUCUUUAUAUUUUGUUUGGUUGAUAGAGUAAAGAUGGAGAAAAUGAAAAGAAGAUAAAAAAUAUAAAAAAUAAAAUGACUAUUUAUUAGUUUGGUAUAAGAGAAAAUAAAAAGAAAAAUUAUAUGAAAUAACUAUGUGAGUUUAUAAAAUGACAAAUAUACAUAAGGAAAAAUUAGAUAUGAUAACAAAAUACAAAUAAAUUAAAAUUACCAUAAAUAAAAAAUUAUAAAAUAUAAAAAAUAAAUAAAGAGAAUAUAUAUAUAUAUAUAUAUAUAUAUAUAUUUCAUAACAAUUAAAGAAAAUGUUUCAAUUUAAUAAACUAUAAAUAUUAUACUCCAUUCAAAAUCAAAUAUAAAAAAAAUGAUAGCUAAAAAAUUGAUGUAUCUAAUUAAAAAUUUAGUUCGAAUAUAUCAAUUUUUUAAUAAUUCUUUAUAUAUAUAUAUAUAUAUAUAUUUCAUUUUAGAAUAUUACUUUUAUUCUAUUUGUAAUUUCUAAUUUUUCACUAAUUGAAAUGAAAUACUUAUUUUUAUUUUUCUAAUCAUAUCUAUAUUUUGUUUAAAAUAGUUAUAUCAUUUUAUAAAUAAACAUAUAUAUUUUUUAUUUUCAUUUAGAGUUUAAAUUUAUAUACUAAAAAUACAAAAUAUUUUAGAUUAUCAUUAUAUAAAAAUUGAUAUUUUUGACACGUAAACUUAAAAUAUUUUAAUUGAAUAAAAAAAUAAAAAAAACCUACCCUAGAUGGGCAAUAACUCAAUAUUAACCAUUAUCAUCGUUGUCUCACACUUAUGCUCUUGAAUCUCUCCUACCACACCCUACCUUUCCCUUUCUGUCUUUGUUGUUUAUCAUAUUGCGUCAAAAAUUAUUUUAUUGUGCAACAAAUUUUAAAACAAAUGCAAAUAGUUUAUCAUAAUGGUCAUGUUAUAUCUCCCAAAUUAAUUUGCAAAAAUCCCUAUUUGUUUUUUAAAGAAUCAUUUAAUUUUUGUCUAAAAACAAAUCAUCCAACUUUUGAUGUGCUUUUCAUUAAAUAAAAACCAUUAUUGUUUAUAGUUUUUUAAUUUUAAUUCCAUGGAAGUAUAUUAAGAUGGUGUAAAAAAAUGGAUUAUUGUAAUUUGAUCUUGUAAAUGCAUAUAAAUUAAAUUGUUUCUUUAAUUUUUUCUAAAAUUUUAAACUCUUUUUCUAUAUUAAACUAUUAAAUUUUAAACUCUUUUUCUAAACUAUUAAACUCUUUGUCUCUUUAUUUAAUUUUCUCAAAAACAAAAUAUUACUUUAUAUUUUCAUAGUUUAAAUCGAAUCUCAUACUUUUUCUCGAAGUCUAAAACAUUUCUUCAAUCAAAAAAUUUUAAAAAAUUUGUAUGUAUCUUCUUUACAAAUUAAGAUUAUUUCACAAUAAAUAUCUUUAAAUAAAUAAAAAAUUAAUUUUCAAACAAAAUUUAAUGUUCAGAUCUUUACCUAAUCUUGAAAUCUUAAUGCUUUAAUAAUUAUCGAAUAUACUAUUUUAUGAUUAUUUUAAUAAAAAUAUAACAAUGAAAAUUAUUAUAUUAUUUAUAUUUAGUUAAAUAAAUACACAUUGACAACUUAUUUUCACCUUUAUCCAUCCAACAAAAUCAUAUUUAAUGGUUAAUUAAUAUAUUGGAGUUGGUCAGACGUUCUCGAAAAUUAAUAUUCAAAUAAUGUUGAAGGAAGAAUUUAUAUUUAAUAUUGACAUAUCUUGAAUAUAAUUACUUAAAUGAAACUAAUAACUAAAUAUUAUUAUGGAAAAAAAAAUUAUUUUUAACUAAUAACUAAAUAUUGAGUCAAAGAAACUAAUAAUAAUUAAAUGUUAAAAAAUAUGUUUUUCAGUUUUCCCUUUAUGGUUGUUCAGUGCAUAGGUUUAUGAAGCUGGGACCCAUUCUCUUGAGUUGACAAGUUUUUGUUUCUGGGUCUGCUUCAUCUUUUCAAAGGGCUCAUUUUUCUUGGUACCUUCUUCAUACCAAAAAUCCUUCCUUUUUCAUUCCUUAGUGUUUUUUUUUUUGUCUUUUCUUCCUGUAAGCUCUUUCAGUUGCUUGAGAUGUGGAGAGAUCAAGGAGUUUCAGCUGAUUCUUUCUAUGAAAUUCGACCUGAUUGCACCGAUGUUCCCAUUACUCGAUUUAAGAUCAAGGUUUAUUUUUUUACUCCCAGAUUUUUUUUUUGAAGUAAUGUGUAUCUUUAGUUAUAGGUGAAUAGGAAUAGUAUUGGAUUGAUGGAAAUUGUUGAAUUUUUAUGAGCAAUGUAUGUAAUUUAAUUUAAAUAUGAAGUUUUGUGAAUGCAUUUGUUCAUUUGAAAAUGUCAAAGUUUUUCUUUUUUUAAUUUUUUUAAAUGUUUAUGCUGAUAACUGAUAGUAACUUUUGUUUAUUUUGAGGGAUAGCUUGUGAUUUCAGAUAAUUGAUACAUGAGGGUGAAUUUGUUAUAUAUCUUUUGGGAUAGUGCCCCUCUUUUUCUUGUUAUGAAUUUCAAAUUCAGUAAUAUUGAGUAUAAAUGUUAAUGGAUGAAAUUUGAUUCAUGGACAGUAAUUUAUUGUACAAAGAUAUUAUAUCAUAGAUUCAAAGUUGAAUUUAGAUCUUAUAACGAUAUGAAUGUGUCUAUUGUUGUGGAGAGAAUCCUGAUUCUUAUGCUAGUUGCAUGAAUUACUGGCACUUAGGAGUUAAAUCAUCAAAUUUAACACUUCUAUUUAGCAGUUUUGGUAUUAAAGAAUGCAGCAUACGGUCUGGUUAUUAAUUGGUUGAUUGCUUAAUUAGAUAAAGUUAGAUCUUUCAGAAUUAGAUCUGAAUAUACUAUUGGUAAUUUACCUUGGAUUACAAUAACAAAUCCCAAAUGAUUAACUGUCCUUGUUGGGUUUUCAUCUUAUGAAUCAUUAAAUGACAUAAUUCAAUUCGACGAUUUUACACCGUAACACAAAAUCAGUUCCAUUCAGAUGACAACUUGUACAUUUAUUUGGAUUUUCAAUCUCAUUAUGUUCUUUAUUUUUAACUUCUUGUUAUUACAUGGCUCAGGCUGGUAAAACACUAAGUCCAAGAAAAUGGCAUGCUGCAUUUACUCCAGAAGGGUAUCUGGAUAUAGGCAAGACUCUGAGACGAAUCUACCGAGGGGUAUUUGCUCUUAUAUAGUUAAAAUACUAGUUCAUUAUGUUUGAGGAAAUAAGGAAAUGAUAUGUUGAUAUUUAGUGUGUCUCCCUUUUUUAUGUGUUCAAUAGUGAAUCCUAACCUUGUGCAGUGUUGUCAAAUAGCUGCAAUAGUGCUAUAGUGUAGUGGAAUUUGAAAAAAUCACUGUUGUUCCGUGAUACACGAUUUAGUACAAAGUGUUUUUAAAUAGUGGCACUAUAGCACUAUAGCGUAGCAGAACUUGAGCAAACUGCUAUUUUAUGAGAUCCACAAUUGACAACACUAGCUUGGUGGAUAAACCUGUCUGAUCUCUAGCUAUGCAAGUGCUACGAUGAUCAUAUUGUUGGUUUUCAUACACCUGAAUUAUUGAGGAUUAUGUUUUUUUUUUUUUUUUUUUGUGUACAAGUGUAGAAAGACAAUAAAUUUUCUGUAUAUGUGGCUUUCGGUUGGUGCUUAAUUUAUUAAAAAUUUCAAACUAGGGAAUCCAUCCAUCAAUAAGGGGAGAAGUUUGGGAAUUUCUACUUGGUUGCUACGAUCCCAAGAGUACAUUUGAGGAAAGAGAUCGGAUAAGACAACGCCGAAGGUAAUCAGUUUUGAGUUUCAUAAUUGUUUCAUAAGAAUCUUCUUUUUUUCAUCUGUAUUGUUGUCAUAUAUUAUAACAUGUGUAGCAUUGACACUUCAUAUUGAAAGUGUGUUCAGUGUCUAACAUCGCACAUGUAGUUACAUACAUUCAAUUUAUUCUAUUGUUCAAAUUAUUAUCGGUGUCAAAGUGUCCUUGUCAAUGUUGUGUAUAGUGUUCAUGUUUGUGUCAAUGCUUCAUAGAUCAUAACAUCCUAGAGCGUUUUAUAAUUUUUAUGGUGUUGCACUUGUCUUUUGCAUAGGCCUUCCUUUUAAAUAAAACAGCAAUGUAUAUAAUAUGACAAUAUGUAAUCACAGGCUCGAUAUGCCUAAAAAAAUAGCAAGAACUGCAUCCGCAUCCUUUAUAUAAGGAUAAUACAUAAUACUGUGCAACUUAUUACCGCUGUUUCUGAGUUCUAUAUCUAAGAGAUCAUUACUUGAAUUUCACUUUUUACGAUUAUGUCAUCAGGCUGCAAUAUGCUACAUGGAAAGAAGAAUGUUGCCAAUUGUUUCCUCUUGUCGGAAGUGGUAGAUUUAUCACAUCACCUGUAAUUACUGAAGAUGGCGAGCCAAUUCAAGAUCCAAUGAUUCUGCCACAAACAAAUCCAGAAAAGGGAUUGGCUGCACUUCCUCAAGAUAACAAUAAUAAUAUGUCUUCAAGUAUAGAUUCUGCAAAUAAUUUAGAAAACAUGACAGACAAGAAAGUAAUCCAGUGGAUGUUAACUCUCCAUCAAAUAGGUUUGUGAAUUUUUUGUUGUGCAUUGUCUAUUAUAUUUCUUCUAUUUUAAGUUAUUUAAUUUUCCGGCAUGUAUAGUCUAAGUUUUAGAGGAACCUACCUCACAAUUAUUUUCUUCGUAAAUCCAUUAUGCCUGAAAUGCAUUGUUGUACAAUUGAAAUUUGAUUUGUAAAUGACCCUUUUCUUGCUCAUAACACAUUUCAGGUCUUGAUGUGGUUCGCACUGAUAGGACAUUGGUUUUUUAUGAGAAGCAAGAAAACUUGUCGAAACUAUGGGAUAUUCUUGCUGUUUAUGCUUGGAUAGAUAAAGAAGUCGGGUAUGCUCAAGGUGUGUUUUUAGUUGACUAAUCCAUUUAAUGUUACAUUCUCUUUUUGAGAUAUACCAGUACUAUAUUUGGAGAAAUUCUGAGAAAUUUCACCAUUUAAAAUUUCUCUAAGCUUCCAGUCUUAACAAUUGACAAUUCUGAACAGGAAUGAGUGAUCUAUGCUCCCCAAUGAUAAUACUUCUUGACAAUGAAGCAGACGCAUUUUGGUGCUUUGAGCGUCUGAUGCGCAGACUUGUAAACAUCUUAUCUCUAUGCUCACUUUUAUCUUUGUUUCUUUUUGGCUUAUUGAAAAGAUGGAAAAAAAAAGUAAAGAAUUCAAGUGUUCGGUUAUGAGAUUUUCCAUCUUGCACAGGGUUUUAGAGGAUUAAGUACUGCGAUUAUGCCUUGUGGCUGAAUGAUAGAAAUUUUAUUAAUAAUAUUUAGACAUUCAUCCUUUUCUCAAUUUCUUAUUUUUUGUGUUGAAUUUUUCAAGCGAGGAAAUUUCAGAUGCACUGGUCGCUCUGUUGGGGUGGAGGCUCAACUAAGUAAUUUGGCUUCAAUUACUCAAGUAAUUGAUCCAAAACUUCAUAAACAUAUAGGUAUUAAACCGCAUAUGUGCUUUUGAAUUUAUUUAUGGUCAAAUAUGGAAUAGAAUUUUCUAACCCUAGUUGGGUGGUUUUAUGUGAUCGUUGUUUUAAUAUAUAUAAUUUAUGACCAGUUUUAUUGCCAUUGAAAGUUGUUGAAUAAAAUCCCUGUUAUGUUUAAGAAAUGGAAAGUAACAAUGUGCUGUCUUAUAAUUUUGGAGCACAGAACAUAUCGGUGGAGGCGACUAUGUGUUUGCUUUUCGGAUGCUAAUGGUUCUGUUUCGUCGAGAAUUUUCCUUUUGUGAUUCAUUGUACCUAUGGGAGGUGCGUUUAGCUUCUUUUGUUCAUUUUUUAUAUAUUCUAUUUUUUGUUUUGCCAUCCCUUGUUAUUGUUUCAGAUUGUUUACAUUAUUUUCUAUUAUAAGUUAUUGGAUCAAAUAAUUAUUGCUAUAUUUAUAGUAUCUUAAAUUAUGCGAUUGUUUUAGGUAGUUCACUUCAUGUUAAUAUGGAUUAUGUAUGCAUGGUGUGAGUGUGUGUGAUGAUUUUUUUCCCACAAAACGGUUUAUGAGAUAACUAUACCUCAAAUUUUCUGAGAAUCUUUGUAAAUUGAUGAUCGAUAAAUAAUAGUUUGAAAUUUUUAACAGAUGAUGUGGUCUCUAGAAUAUGAUCCUUACUUGUUCUUGAUGUAUGAAGAAUCUCAAUCGGCUUCUGGAAAAGCUGAGGGAUUCAAAGGAAAAGCAAAGUCGAUACAACAAUGUGGAAAAUAUGAGAGAGAAAAUCUGAAAAAUGGAGCGAAGAAUGCUGAACCUCCUCUCCCUAUGUCUGUCUUCCUUGUUGCUAGUGUGUUGAAAGAUAAAAGUACAAAACUACUCCAUGAAGCGCGAGGCUUGGAUGAUGUUGUCAAGGUUAGUCAUGUGACAUCUUUGGAUGAGUGGCAAGUUCGACAAAAUCAUGGUGACACUGUGAUUUUGUUGAAACUCCUAAGUAUAUAGUUUCUGCCAAAAUCAUGGCGGUUCAUAGUGAUUCUGCUAAUCUCAUUGCGAACCAAAUGUGCACUAAGUGUAAGUUGCACUGAAUUAUAUGUAGCAAUCAUUGAUACAAAAGAAUGAAAUAUUUUAUUUUCCUUAUUUGGUGAACUUAACUAUUAUAAAAUUCAGUGCUACUUCACUUAUUUCAUAAUGACAUUUGUGCUUAAAACAUGCCUUUUUUUUAUUUUUAAAUUGCUAUAUUCUUGUUACAAAUUUUCCUAUGCUUUUUACGUAUCCAUUAACUUGUUCCUAUGCUCCUCUGAUCUCUCUCAUACAAUUUUACUCAGAUAUUGAAUGAUACAACAGGAAAUUUAGAUGCCAAAAAGGCUUGUACUGGGGCUAUGAAGCUUCACAAAAAAUAUUGGAGAAAGGUAAUGUGUUGUUCUCUACAACUUUUCCACCCUAACAUAUUUUCAUGUCUAUAUUAUUAUUUUUACUCUAAUGUAUAGUUAUUAAACACUUGUGAUCCUCCUUUUUUAUGUCCUAAAUAUACAAGUAAAUAUAUUAAUUGCUGCAGGCCAAGAAAGCCUAGCACCAAACAUAUCCUAUGAUAUAUUUUUUUCUUCCAUUUGGGAUGAUUAAAUGAUGUGAUGCUUCUUGCAUGCUGUCCAAUGUUAUUCCUUGGGAGACAAUAAUGGAGUCCAUCAAAUUUGGAUUGUGGUUUGCUGAAUUGAGUAAAGGAUCCAAGUUUCUGACCAUUAAAUUUCCUGUUGUAUGUGAAAUUAAUUUCAUUUUUUCUUCUUCUUAUUCUUGUGUAUGAAAAUAGAAUGCUGUACAACCAUUGUACUUUGUAACAUAUUUGUAUUGUAUUACAAAAGGGGAAACACAAAUUGUUUGUUAAUAGUCUGUUAUCACCGAUUGUACUAAAGAUAGUUCCCAUAAUGUUGUUGAUGGUGAUCAACAAAGUCCUCUUUCUAUUAAUAAAAACACACUUUAAUAUUAAAUUUAAUCUAUGAUCUGAAUAGAUGUGAUGUGAUGACUAUGGUUGAAACAGAUUUAGUACUCUAAAAUAAGUAAUUCAUUUUAGAAAAUAAAAUAAGUAAUUUGAACUAUUCAUGAACGAAAACAUUGGAUGGACAUUCUAUGCACAUGCAGAACAACUCAUUGAUGUAUGUCUAUGAAUGAAUAGCCUAGUGAUUUCGAUUUUGUUAAAAAGACAACGUAGGAGUUAUAUGUAAGAGGUUUAGGGUUUAGUCUUUGUUAAUAACUUUUUCCCCUCCCCUAAUAUAUAUACUAACUACUAAUAUUUAUCUAUAAAAACAAAAUUUAUUGAUCUAUGAAUUAGAUUAUUUAUCCAUGAUUUUUCAUACACAGUUGAAAUUAUUUUUUAUAUUUGAUAUUUAUAUAAACUUUUGAAACAAAAGUAAGAAAUCUAAUAAAUCAAGGAAAAGAAAAUCCUAAGAUUGAACCUCUAGGUAGCAUUAGUCCCCUCCAUCCCAAAUUUUUUUGAAUUAAAAUCAUAUGAUCUACUAAUCUAUGAGAAGAUUUUAUUGACAGUUCGAAGAAAAAAAAAAAAAAAAAAAGAAGAAGCUAUCAACUUGAACUAAUAAUUCAUACACAAAAAGGCCAUCUAAUUUGUAAAUAUGAACUAGUUAUGUACUGAACUUUAUAAGUUCCACACAAUCUUGUAUGAGAUCAUAUAUACUGUUAUGUACUUUUACACAAACACAUGCUGCAUCACUCAUCAUCUGGUCUUAUCCAUUGUUACCAAUCUUCCCCCUUUUGUAUAGGCACACAACACCAUCUUUGAUGAGACUCAAAAUGUAGUUCCAUGUUUAGACAAAUCGAUAACAUCAACAAUGAUUCAGAAAAAGCGAUCUGUCAUGAGGAAGAAUGUCAUAAAAGCAGUGAAAAUGACUGCAAUCACACUGAUAGAAGAUUUAUGUCCUGAGCUUUGAGUAGGUCUAUGUGGAGGAAUUGAACAUUCCAUUCCAUUGAAGAACACCUUAGUAGGAAAAGCGUCGCGCACCACGUUGAAGUCUCUCAUGUGUUUCUUAUGAAAAGAAAUUACAGAUUGUUGUUUCCCCGGCACCCUUGGAUCGUUAACAUGAGUUCCAUUAGUCUCUCCAGAUAAGAAAUUUAAACCCUUCAUUCCUUGAAAGAAAAUAGUUUUGAUACCGGGAAUUCUCGUCCCGUUAAACGAAUAAACAUCUUGAAAAUCUUCGAAAGACCUUGAACAAAUCUUCAAAAGCAAAAUCUUCCCAAUUGAAAAUGGUAAUUCUAGCCGUCCAUCCUUCCUUAUGAUCAGAACUAACGUGCCAGUUAAUACUAACAGGACAAUUAUCUCCACAAGGCAACUUGUUAGGAACUUUCAUAUGUUUGAGUUUUGCCCAAGCGUGUGCUUUCAAAGUUCGAUUGACAAAAGGUACAAGAAGAGCUUCAGGCGGAAGAAGUAAAGGUGAAGCAUUAGCAUUACAUUUCCUUGUGUCAUCACAACCACAAGCACAUGUGUUACAAGGGAUAGCAGAUUCAUUGUAGAAAGCUGAGAAUGAAAUGCAGCAACGAUUCUGUUGCGGCUUUGGUUUGGUAAUGUUGCAACUUAUUUGCCAACUAGCAACAGCUGUUGAAAUUGCUUUAAGUCCACUUGGAUCAGGAAAUUGUUGUGAAUCAACCCUAAUUGGUGGUCCACAAGUGUAUUUAGGGUUAAUAACACCAUCAAUGUGCCAUUUCAUUGGUGGUGUAAGUGCUGUUCUGUUAUCAUCGGGUGGCAUUUUGAAAACUUGUAACUGAAAAAGUGAUCUAGCUCUGUUCUUAUCCAUAAUAGGUGGUAAAACAGUACCAUUCUUACAACACCAAGGUAAUUUACCAACUUUUUCAUCUUCUGCUCUUUCAACUGGAAGAUCAGAGAGAAUAGGCCUUUUUUGACAAUUUGCAACUUGUGAGAAAUCUAAGUCACCAUAGUAUUUACCUGCAGGACCAUAUAAACAUUCAGAAGGGUCUUUUAUGCGAGCGUAAGCGCCUUUUAACGAGUAUAUGAAUUCGCCUCGUUGCCAUUCCCAUGUUAAGUUCCAAUGAUCAAGGCGACCUAAUGGAUGAUUGUUGUCUAUGGUUAUUUGUGCAUAGUAGUUGGUUUGGAAGGCUUGAAGCACGUCGUAAGCUAUGGUUAGAUCCCCAUAGCGACGAGGAAGGAACUUUGUUUUCUUGUCUAUUUUGGCUUUUGCUUUUGGGUCUUUUCUGCAGCAUACAAACAUUCUUGAGCCUGCAUGAAAAUUCACAUGAUCAAUUAACAAAAUCUCAUUCUCUUAAAUAUUAUAAAACUUCAUAUUUCUAUAGACAAAAAUUGUUCCUAAUAACACAUCAAACGCAAUAUUGGACUUGGAUUAUCGCAAGCUACUCCACAAUAGUUGAAUUAAUCUAACAGCUGAAAAGAAAUGCGGGGAGGAUCCAAGCACCAUCAUAUUUAUCCAAUCAAACUUAAUUAGUUCAGUAUCAUGUUUUUUUUUUUUUGUCAAAUGUGCUCAGUAAUUUAGACAUUAGUCCCAUUUUUUAACUAUCAAAUUCAACUAAAGUAAUUUAUAUGCUCUAUUUAAAGGGAUAGGCUUAGACUGGUCUCGAGUUCUACCUCAUGAUAGAAUAAUUUAACUUCAAACUUUACUUGUCUCUCUCAACCGAUACAUUAGCUCUAAACCUAUGUUUUAAAAAUCAAAACGGACAUCAAGUCGACUACACCAUAUGAUUAUGAUUCAACUUUUUUAAAUGUCUAAACCAAGACGAAACCAUGAUUAAAUCGUUUAAAUUUUAGAUAGUAUUGGUUCAUGAUUCAACUGAUUAAACUAUCUAAGUUAUUUUUUAAAACAUUUGUUGAAAAACCUUUCUCCCAAAAUAAUAGGGUUGGAAAUUAAAAUGAGAAAUGCAUGCAUGCAUGCAUGAAGAGAUAAGAAAUAUAUUAAUAAAAUACCUUUACUACUAGGUUGGGGACAUUUAAAACCAUCAUUAACAAGUUUAAUAGUCUUAGGCAUAGGUGUAGCAUUAGCACCAAGGCCAAAUUGAGUCCCACUCAUCUGAACCCUAACAGCCAUUUGAUUAAAAUCACCCGCUGUUUCUAUCGCCGUCUUCAAGUCCGCCAUAGGGUUCCCGGAAAGUGUAGUCCCAUUCCCUACCUCCGCCGGAAAAUCCUCCGAAUCGAUCGGAACAGCGCCAUCGGCCGAGACAAGAAUCUCUCUAUGCUGAAACCCAAUAAACAUCUUCCAACCUUUCAAUUCCUCGUCUCCAACGUUCAUUAACGAUGCUUCAGCUUUAAAUGCCCAUGCUUGUUUCGACAUGUUUUUCACGUGCGGAUAUUCCUUCUCCCUUCCUGUCAAACUGUACGUUAGAAAUAUUCCAUCGCAAUUGUCGAGUUCCGUCGCAUGUGGUGGCGGCGGAGACGUUGUCGGGUCUGGAAAUGUGCUAUCUUGUCCCUGGCAUAUUAUUUCCAAACCCGACAAAACAAAUAACAACAACAAUAAGGAAGUCUUUGCUUCCUUGAAAAUUCUCAUGUCGUUACAAACAACAAUCACUAUUAUUUUUUUAUUUAUUUUCCUUUUCUUUUUUGUAUGAAAGAGAAAGAGAGAAAGAAGAGUUUUUGUGUGUUUUAUGUUUUUGUUUUAUUGGUGUGAAGAGAAAGGUGAUGAUAAGAAUAUUGCGGCCGCGGUAAGACGCCGCGGCUGGAAGGAGGGAAACUUAGAGGAGAAAGGAAGGUAAAUGUUGUGAAUUAUUUAUAUGAUGGAGAGGGAAAAUUGGAAGAGAAGGUCAAGCUGAAAGUUAUAUUUCGCUAGUUUUAGCGAUAUUUUUGGAGGGACAGGUAAAAGGUUGUCCUAUAUUUGGAAAAGGAAAGGAAUUAUUAAGGAGCUUGUGUUUGUAAGGUUGUUUCUUUGUAUUAAUAACUUUGUUAGUUGUUGAAACAAAGAAGGAACAAAAAGAAAGUUAGUAAUAAACUAUUUUCACUUUCAUGGUUAACUUAAUUGUUGAUAUGUGAACUUCCAUACUAAAUUAUGGUGGUGAUAUUUAGUUAGUUUAAACCGUUAACUAUACUCUUAUCGAGAAAUAAGGUGACAUCAAUUAAUACUUUGUUUCUUGUAAAAAAAAAAACUAAUAAUUUGUUUAUAUAAAUUAAUUAAUUAAACUAAACUUAGUAAGUUAGUUGUUUCAAUGAGGAAUAAAAUAAGGUUUCGAUUUUUUUUUUAAUAUACAAAAAACGGUUUGGUUUAUAAUAUAUCGAUCGAAAUCUUAGUGUAGUGUCUCUCCAAAUUGGUCCAUAAAGUAUUUAAAUAUACUAAAGCUCUUUGAACUAUUUAGUACUUAUGAUAAUAAUACGUUUGAGUGUCCAUCAAAAGUCCUAAACUAUGAAAAUACAUCAUCAUAAUCCAUAAUGAAUCAUAAACAAAAAUUUAGUUCUUCCAACAUUCAAAAAGCUAUUGUUAAAUGCCCUAAUUCAGUUACUGGUUUACUGGACUGAGUCAAGGUACUCCCUUUGUCAUAUUUAAUUUGUCGUUUUUUAUUGUGAUAUAUUUAAUUUUCGUUUCAAAAUUAAAUACAACAUUAACUAUUCUUUAGAAGACAAUGCCCUUGACUAUUUAUUGCACAAAAAGAAAACUUGGUAGAAUAACACAAUAAGUAGUUAAUGAUAUUCUUGUUAAAAAAGACAAAUAAUUCAAUCAAAAGAAUCAAAAUUUAUCGCUCGUCUAGGAACUUAUAAAUAACCUUAAAAUUAGCAAAACACAUAUCCGUUCACACGCGUUUUGAAUAAUUGAUAAUAUUGUUUGUGUACCAAAGUUACAUUCCAUUUCUUUUUUGUUAUCAAUGAGAACGUGUACCAUAUAACAGUUAUUUUGAAAUGUAAUGAGACUUAAUACAUUAAAUUAGGGCGAAGUGUAUCUGAAUGUAAAAGUAUUAUUUUAUUAUUAUUAUUAUUAUUAUUAUUAUUAUUAUUAUUAUUAUUAUUAUUAUUAUUAUUAUUAUUAUUAUUAUUAUUAUUAUUAUUAUUAUUAUUAUUAUUAUUUGACUUUAUUUUAGGGUUCAAAGGCAACCUAGGUCUCUCCUAUUUUCUAUUAUUUUGAUUUUCUUUUCUUUCUUUCAGCUUUUCUUCAUCAAUCAAAUAAAAUGUAAAGAAGAUAUGAACUAAGUUGUCCUGAUUUAAUUUUCUUAAAGAAUAAAAAUCAUCUUUAUUUUUUCUCGAUCAUAGACUAAAUUGAAUCUUAUUGUUUUUUUCAGAGAUUAAAAUGAUUUUUUUUAAAUUAACUAUAUUUUAAUGGUUAGUUUUUAAAAAUAGUUAAAUAAGUUUUUUUAUCUCUAUAAAUAUAUCAUAUUUUGUUUUUAAAAACAAAUAUAACACACAUAAGUUGAUGUAAAAGCCGAGACCAAAAUUAUUGACAAAAAAAAUUUGAACGACCAUUGUUUUAAAAAAAAAGUUUAGAAUAACUAAUAUAAAAUAUAAUACUAUUUAUUGUGGCUAAAAAUUAUUUAAUCCAAAAAUGAUUAAUUUUUAUGUGUAAUUAUGAUACAUAUUGGCACAUCCCCUUUGUUUCUUUUAUGUGAAUAUCCUCUUUAUCCGCAAAAAUGGAAAAGAUAAACAAAAGAGGAAAAAAUCAUAGUUGUGCAUAGAUAGAAACACAAAACGUAAGAAAAAGAAUAAUCGAGCUUUUGAUUACUUUCCCGAGUAAAUGUGAGCUUAGAUUUGGAAGAGAGACGAAACAAUUGAGCAAAAAAAAGGUAAACAAAAAAUACUUUAUUAGUUUCAGACGAAAAAAAAUAAGCGUGAACGAAGUUUAAAAUUGGAGAAAGAAGUUAAAAAUUUGCCCACGUGUGGUGGUGUUGAUCGUCACAUUCAAUGAUGUCUACAAGAAGGUAGAGGAAGAAAAUUGAGUUUGGUUGUCCUGUAUAUCUCCUGAAAAGUGAGUGACGAAAAGUGAGAUUUUUUUUAGAGUGUUGAGAAAUAUGUAAUUCAAAUUAGUUAGUUAGGGCUUAAAAACUAUAAAAGGCAAUGUAUAUGUAAGUAAAUUUAGUAAGACAAAUACAAAAAGUUUUGAUUCUCAUCUUUCUGGUCUUGCAUUGUUACAAUGUGAAUUUAAGUUUUCAAUUUCUUUCGUAAUUUGUUCCCAUAAAUUGGUAUCAAAGCAAGGUUCGAUUUUUGGCCAAAAAAAGAUGGAAAAGAAUGGUCAUUUUCCAGCAAAUCUUCCUAUUUUCAAUGGAAAGAACUAUGCGCAUUGGUGUGCUCAAAAGAAGGUGAUUUUCUGGUUUCAAGAUGUGCUUGAAGUCGUUAACGAUGGUGUUCCUGAAUUGGCAACAACUACCACUAAUGCGUAGAUGGCUUUGAAUAAAGAACAAAAGAAAAAUUAUAGAAAUGGCUUGUUCAUUAUCCAUUAAUGAGUCGACUCCAACAUUAUUGAGAAGACCAUAAAUGUUGAAACUGAAAAAGAAGCAUAGAACAUCCUCAAGAGUGCAUAUGAAGGUGUUGAUAAGCCGAGGAAGGUGAAAUUACAAAGUCUUUGAAGGCAAUAUGAGUUAUUGCAAAUGAUUGAGUUGGAAACCAUUGCAAAGUUUCUUACAAGGAUACUACAUUAACAAAUCAGAUGAAGUCGUGUGGAGAAGCGAUAACUGAGUUGAUGAAGGUAGAGAAAGUUCUGACAACUUUAAUUCCUAAUUUUGAUCACAUUGUGGUGGCUAUAGAGGAAUUCAAAGAAUCUCUCAGAAAUGAAGUUAGAAGAACUCCAAGGUUCUUUGGAGGCUCACAAAUUGAGGAUCAUGCAGAGAAACUCGGUGAAAGUGAUUGAGAAAGCUCUACAAGCUUAGACAUCAAAGAAGAAUUUCAUUGAUGGAGAAAAGUUCAAGAAUGGGAAAUGGAAGAAUCACAAAGGAAAAUGAUCAAGUGAAGGUACUAGUAUACAAGGUGCUCAAGAAGGAAGCAAGAAAGGAGGAAUACAAAAUGCAAGAAAAGAUUGACAAGAAAGGAAUUCAGUGCUUUAAUUGUCAAAAAUAUAGUCAUUUUGCAAAUGAAUGCAAACAUGACCAGAAUCCUCAAAGGAAUGAUAAUGAGGUGAAAUAUGCAAAUGAUGGAGAUGUAAAUUCACAAGAGGUGUAUUGUUGAUGGCAGUAACCAAACCAAAAGUAGAACAAUCUGAUUUUUGGUACUUAGAUAUAUAGGUUGCUCAAAUCAUAUGACUUGUGAUAAAGAUUGGUUCAAGAAUUUGAACAUGGAGGUGAAAAGAAAAUUCAGGUUUGCAGAUUGCAAUAGUGUCACUAAUGAAGGUGUUGGUAGUGUAAAUUUUUUGAGUAAAGAUGGAAAAAGUUUCUACAUAAAUGAUAUGCUUUGUGUUUCAAACAUGAAGAGUAACUUACUCGGUCUUGGACAAUUGUUGCAAAAGGGUUUUUCUAUGAGGAUGGAGGAGAGUCAACUUAAGUUGUAUGAUGCAAAUUGUAGACUAAUCUUAAAAGUUCAUUUGUCAAGAUAUAGGACUUUUAAGAUCACAUUGCAAGUGAUGGAGCAUAUAUGUUUGUCAACCACAAUAGAAGAUGAAAACUGAAGAUGGCAUAAGAGGUUUGGUCAUUCGAAUUUCAUAAGCUUGAGUUCAUUAGAAGACAAAAGGAUUGUAUAUGGUCUUUCUAUCAUAAAGGUACCAACUCAAGUGUGUGAAAGAUGUUGUGAGUCAAAGCAGCUCAUAAAUGUUUUCAAAGCAGAAACAACAAGUAGAUCAAGGAAAAAGCUUGAAGUCGUAUUUUAUGAUGUGUAUGGUCCAAAUGAGGUCAAGUCAAUUGGAGGUAACAAUUAUUUUGUUUCUUUUAUUGAUGAAUAUACUAGAAUGAUGUGGGUGUAUAUAAUCAAGAAAAAGAGUGAAAUAUUUGAUGUUUUCAAAAAGUUUAAAGUAAUGGUUGAAAAACAAGGUGAAUAUGUGAUUAGGACUCUUAAGACUAAUGAAGGUGAAUAGUAGAAAUCAUCGGAGUUUGCAAAAUUCUGUGAAAAUGAGGGAAUUGUUCAUGAAGUAAAAUCAUAAUAUACACCUCAGCAUUAUGGUAUUGCUAAGAGAAGAAAUCAGACUAUCCUAAAUAUGGUGAGAAGCAUGAUGAAUGAGAAGGGAAUGCCUCGUUAUCUAUGGGGAGAGGUAUGAAGUAGCAAUGUCAAUCACAAGGUAUGAAGUAGCAAUGUCAAUCACAAGAAAGUAGGAACGAAUUGUGAUUUAACCUUUUUAAAAUUUCCUGUUGAAAACUUAAGAAAAUAAUUCAAGAUUGAUCUUGGUUGUGAAAACGAAGAACGUUCUUGGUUAGUUAAAAUCAACAAUUUAACUUAUCUAUUUAACUUGGUAAUCAAAAGGACUUAAAGUAAAUAGAGAAAAGAGAAUAGAUAUCACACAAUGAUAUAUCUUGGUUCACCCAACUCGGGUUACGUCCAAUCCUUACAACCGUGAGAUUUUCCAGUAAGUGCUCAAACGAAAAAUGUUCUUGAUUUUACAAUAUUCUUGGUUCUACACGGUUUUUGUUAAGAUCAACCUUGAUUUGUAACAACAAUUCCUUUCCACCCAAAAAUGAUUCAAUUAAGUCACCUAUCAAUCUUGAGAUGAUUUUACAAUUCACCUUUUAACCAUAAAAUGAUUUUUACAAAAACUACUCAAACUAUAAACAACCCUUAUAGUUUUAAGUUUACACAAUAAUGAUUUAUAGAGAUUGGUAGAAUCUGAGUAUGCUCAACUCGUGUUUGAGAAUGGAUUCUUGACAAAAGAAUUCAGUGAAAUGAUUAUGAUAUUUGAAGUUAUCAAAUUUCGGCUUAGAGAGGUGGAAGAAGUUAUCAAAUUUAAUAUAUGGCCGUGUCUUGAAUAUAUUUCUCUAGUUACUAAUAUAAAUGAAAGCUCAAAUUAUGGUCAUAUUAUAAACAAAAAUUAACUUUUUAGAUCAUUUAAUGUUAUUAUUUUUAAGAGUUAAAUAUAUUUUUAAUUCCUCUAAAUAUACCAACUUUUAAUUAUAGUCCUUCUAAAAUUUCUUCAAACUUUAAUCCUUUUAAAUUUUCAGUUAUCAAUUUUAAUCUUUGUUUUUUAACAAAAAUUCACAUUGUAUAUUCGAAAUAAUUAUUUUUAUGACAUUUCACUGUUAAGACUUUAAAAUAUCAUUGUUAAAAGUACACCUGAAUUAACUAAAAUGCAAGGACCAUAGAACGUUGUAAAUAAGUUAUCCACCACCAAUUAAAAUUAUCACAUGUAUGUACUUCAUUAACUAUGUCAAACUUUAAAUUCUAAAAAAAUAAUUCAGUACACGUCAAUGAUUGAAAUUAGUUGUUAAUAAUUUAUUCAUAUUAUUUUAAAGUCAGCAUUUAAAAAGAUGGGAAAUGAGGAAAUUUUUAUUUAUCAAAUUAACACUAAUGACAAAUUCUACAAGGGUCUCCAAGGAAAUUUUAACUCGUACCGUGAAAUGAGCUAUCACCUCAAGUAUAUAGGGAAACAUUUUCCCCAAACUUAUGCUUUUAUAGAUAAUAAAAGUUCAGGUAUUUGUAGCAGGACUGAAAAAGUUAAGUUCUAAUACCCACCUUCACAUGUCCCACUCAAUUUUCUUUAGAACAAUCUUAAAGAUCUCUCAGAAAAAAGAACAAUUUAAAAGACUGGAACCAAUAUCAAGUUAAAAAGAAGAGAAAAGUUAUAAGGCAUUAUCAUUGCACACUACAUCUUGCUAUGAAAAGGCGACUCUCUACCAAGCAUUCAGGCUAAGAGCUGAAGCUUGAAUUGGUCUCUUGUUUAACAUGCUCUUGCUUCCAUCUGUCUCUUGUUUCAGAUUGUUGAGGAAGCCAAAAAUACGAAAUAACUUUCUAAAAUUGUCUUUUGAAUUAAUACGUUCUCUUUAAUACAGUAAGUACACUUUUUAGCAGAAAAUUGUGCAGGAAAAUUUUGAAAUUGGGGUAAUAUGCUAACGCUGCUCAAAGCCAUGUACCAAAUCCUAUUCAGGCCAGAUCAGUGCAUUCUUUUUCUUAUGUACAUAUAUCACAUGAUUUUCCUCCACCCAUAAGCCAAAAAACAUGUCAGUUGACAGUUAUCUCCUCCAUGUUACUUAUGUCCUCAGUAUAAUGAGUCUUUGGCUCUAAAUCAAUGAACUGGUUUGAUUUACUAGCUAAAUGGGAAAUGCUAACCCUCCCUUGCCGCUUAAUAUAAUCAGCAACAGCUUUCAUCUCUUCUGGUGAGAUGUAAAUAAAUUUCCCCCUAUCAUCCAUGACACCCGAAAGCCGACCUGACACAUAAAUAAAUCAUUAUUUAUGUUUGCCCCUUGAUUGCACAAAGUGAGAUAAAAACUUCCAUUUUUGAUACACCCAAAACAACAAAAGAACAUGCUUAGAGUAGGCAUAAAUCAUAACUGUUAGAGUAUGGACAGCCCGUAACUUGCAAUAAUGGGGUAUAAAUUAUAACAACAAAAUUAAUAAUAAUAGUCCUGAUUUUGUCACAUAUUUCUUCUACUUAUUGAAGCCAUUGCCAAUUAAUUGGCCAUCUAACAUGGUAAAUUGGCUGUAUAUGAGUUCAAAAGAGAUAGGUGAUGGAGAAGACAAAAUCUAAAAUAAAAAAUAAAGCAGGGGGAGGGUAACAUAUACUUCUUUUGAUGGAUGGAAAUAUAAAAGGAAAGGGUACACGAAAGGCUCUUACCCAUACUUUCCAGAGAUGUGAUGCGAUUGAUACAUUCCUGCAUCAAUUUACAAUGUCAUAAAAAAGGAAACCCAUGGAUGGGAAAUCUAUCACUCAGAAUUUAUUCAUAAAUAAAUUGAUAGAGUACCAAAAAAAAGUGUAAAUAAGGUUUCACUACUUCGGAAGAUUAGAAAAGGAUCUGACCAGUCAGUUUAACACCCAUAAAAUUUGAGUUGUUGGGAUAUCAUCCUAUUGAGAAAUUGUUUAGAUUUGAUUUUGCUGUAUAUUAUCCUUACAUAAUCCCAAAACUUAAGAUUGUUUCUUUUAUCCUGGUAUAUAAUAUAAAUAUUCUACAAAUCAUUCAUGUAGUACAACACAAAUUAUUCAUUAUUCAGACUCAAAUAGGUGCCAAAGCUUUCUCAUCCAGAAAACCUGGUUUUGCCUUUGGCCACUGACCCAUUUCUGUAUUGUCAUUGUGUAUCCUUGAAAUUUAAAGUACUUCCUAAAGAAUACAAGUAGUAAUUAAGUGCUUUGGGAUUAUUAGUUUUCUCAUAGUGCACAAAAAUCAAAUGGUACAAAUCAUGAGUAGCUGCAGUAUAUAAAUAUGUAAUCAUCCAUGAAUUGAGCCAUUGAUUAUUAUGUUGAGAAAAAGGGAUAUGCACUAUCAGUGUAAAACAGUUUUACAUUGUAAAAUAGUUUUACACUGACAUCCAAUAACAACCAUGUAUUCUUCAAAAUCACCCCACUUUAAUGGUAUGAUGACAUGGAGAAAUAGAAAAUUCCCAUUGGUUGUCAAUGUAAAAUUUUUACACUGACAGUGCAUGUCCAUUGAACUCUAUUAUGUUCUCCUCCACAUGUUUUCUUUGUUUCCCUUCCCCAGUAAAACUUGCCUAUAGAUAUCAUAGUGAUAUCACAUUUGGUUCUCCCUAGCUUCAAUUACAAAACAUAAAAAAAGUUCAUAAUACUUUAAAAAAAUAUUCCAUGCCUCCAGGUAGGCUGAUCUUUCUAAUUAAUAUUAACUUUCAUUCUAUAACUUUUGGGAAAAUAAAUUAGAUUUUAGGGGGGAUGGUGGUGAGUGAUCUAAGUGGCUGGUGGUUUAUGGAGUAUAAGAGUCCCUAUGUAAUACUAGUCAUGUUUGUUAAUACAAAUAGAGGGAUUAAUCAACGUGUGUAUAACUGUACAUAACCAGUCUCUGUAAAUAGUGGAAUACUAUGUUCUCUCUAUUACAUCUCCCUUUGUUUUCCCUGCAUCUCUCUUUACACUUGUUUUCUUUCCACACUGCUAAAAAUAUCUAAGACUAAAUAUAUAAGUAGAAAAAUCAAACUAGACACAAAAUAUCUUGCAUAUAAAUCAUAAAACAUAUUAGCAUAGCAGAACUUUUUAUUCUGUUACACUGUUGCUCCCAUAAACUAGCAGCAACAAACAAUAUAAAAAAAUGAAGAGGUGAUAGAGGGAAUAGAUUGGUUGAUUCAGAUAAAGGAAAAGAAUUAAAAAAAAUACCUGUGUACGCAAUUUAAAUUCUGCAGCAAGAUCUUCUAAGGGCACACAUUUGUGCUUCUGAAUGAUUACACAAAAUUUAUGUCUAAAUUAGAACAGUUAUAAAACCUCCCAAAUAGUUACAAUUAUAACCCUAGCUAAUAACAAUUAGGUUUCAAUGCCAUAUUGAAUCAAAUAAAUAAAAAACUUCGGACAAUUUAUCAAGGCAGAAUAAGAAAAGUAAGGAUAUAAAAAGUACAAAACAAAAAAUAACCUUUAUAUAUUCAACAAAAUUGGCAAGCAAGUCUUCAGUUUUAUCCUGCUCCUCUUCAAGGGUACCUUCAUCAUCUAUUGAAAAUUCGCCUUUCCACUUCUCAAACUCUAACGCAGCAGCUUCCUCUUCCUUAGCCUUCUGAGCCUUGGCUUCCUCUUCCUACAUGAACAAGUAUGUGAUUUGCCAAUCAAUACACCAUAAGAAAGCCCAUCCUAUGAUUAAAUCAGAACAGGGAUAUUGACUCACCAACAUACGCUCCUGUGCCUCACGCUCUUCAUCCUUCAACCUCCGCAUUUCUGAAUAACGGUCAUGUUUUGACUGUCUUGACUCUCGUGAUGCUUCUUCAGCCUUCCAAAAAGAUGAACCAAAAUCUAAUCAACUACUUAAACUUCAAUCAACAUAGACUCCCUCCCCCGUCGAAUAACAAGUAGGAAUACAUACAAUAUAUAAAACAAAAAAAAAAAACAUCUAGUCAACUAACCAUUAAAGACACUAGUUCAAGAUUUAAUGCUCUAAUGUAGAACCAGUGAUAAUUAAAUAAUAUUUAAUAAAAAAUUUAUAAAAUAUCCAAACAACGGUAAAAAAUUAUAAUUAUUUAUAAUUUCACAGAAUCAAAACUGACAUUUUAUUUGUAAUAUUUAAAGCAAAAUAUAUAAACCAGAAAUCAGAUAAAAAUAAGAAAAGACAACAAAUAGAUGGCAUAAUAAUUAUAUUUAGGCAAUUGCUAACAAGUGCCCCAAGGGCAUUUGUUAGGAAAACAAAAAUAGAAAUGCAUUGGAAGUUAUGUUUAGACUCUUUAAAAGUGUGAAAUUUGUUGUUUUCAAUAUAAACCUUCCAUUUUUUAUUCCUUAACAAGUGCCCUUAGGGUACUUGUUAGCAAGACCCUUAUAUUUAUUACUAGUGUUGUCAAAUCAUUGUGCCGAGUCUCAGCACACUAAGCAAUAGGGUACUGCAUAUAGCAUAGAGUCAUGGUCGCCGCAAUAGUGUUUUUUAACCACUGUACCUAUUUUCAAUAGAGUAAUGACCUAAGAACAAAAAUUAUCAAUGCCCUCAUAGGACUUGCACUUGCUCUCUCCAACUUGUUUUUGUGAUCUAUUCUCAGUACUUUUGUGAUGUGUUGUGUACACAACAGAUUUUGAUUUUUGCUAGGGGUCCCAUCCAAAUGAAGAGAUUUGGCAAACAAAUCUGCUUUGGUUUUUUUAGCUUGAGAGAGUGAGCAGAAGAAGGUUGUUGCUGGCACUCAUGGCUGCGGCAAAGAACUGCAGAAAAUCCACCAAGGAGGGUGUUGAUGACACUCCCAAGUUUAAUUGGUUAAAACAAAGACAAGAUUUGGAGAUAGAGAAAGGAAAUUAUCUCAAUCUCAGCUAAGUGGGGCAACAAUGGAAGCCAAAUUAAGCAUCCUUGGUGUUAUCUAUGCUACCUCAUUUCUCCUCCUCUUUUGUUCCCCCUUUAUAUAAAAUAUUAAACAUUAAUUCCUUUUGUUUUUUGAAAAAGUCACAACAUCAAACCGCUCCAAACAGGUGAACUGUUGGUAUUUACCAGUUCAUGAACUGGUUUUUUGGCAGAGCAAAUCUAUAGGUUAAUUGGACCGGUUACCAAGCUGAAUUUCCGUCAACUCCAGUUUUGAGAUGAUGUCUUCAAUAAUAAAAUGUUACCCAAUAUCUGAAUGUCAUGUCUGUCUAGUAUUCUUCAAAGUAAUUCUAUCAUGUACAUGACAGUUUAAACAAUAGUUUGCAAAAAUUAUAAAUGUCAGUAUCCUUAUUAAACCUUCAUUACACAUGUAUUUCAUUUCAAGAAACCAUCUGUUUUGGUUAGUCAAAUGCAAAUUACUAUGCUUUUUGGCAGAGGUUAAAGGCACGUUGCAAAUAAAAAGUGGCCACCCAAAAGUAUAUCCUAGUAUCUUUAAUAAUUAAUAAUAUUAAUAAAUAAAUGAACCAGUUUUCAACUUGUUAGAAAAAAGAAUACCUGUCGCCGAGCUUCCCUCUCUUGCCUUUUCAUUUCCUUUUUCCUUGAUGCUUUGGCUUCAUAGGACUCAUCACCACCAGCUUCAUUGUCACUUUCAUCCGCAGACUCUGUUCAAAUGUAUACAGUUGACCAUUUCACAAAUGAAAUUCAGAUUCAAGAAGCUAUCCAUGAACAUUGUUCCCACAAGGCACUAGACAGCGUAUAUUUAAUACUUUAACAUCACCUACUAGUUCAAUAAUACUUCCACAUAACAAAAACAGAGAGCCAAAUAACAACGGCAAGUAGUUGAUUCCACAUUAGAAUUCUACCCUAAACACUGAACAAAAAAAAUCAAUUAAGUACCUAGCGAAAUAGUAAAGUAAGGAAAUAUGCACAAAAACCCCCAAAUUACCACAGUUUUAAUUUUCACGUCCAUCAACCCCUCUAGUAGAAAACAACACAUCUUAACCUAAAUCACAUCUCUUAUUAUUUUUAUUCACCAAGGCGUUGUGUCAAACAUAGAAACGCACAAAUUAAUCCUUAAACCAUACCACAUUUUCAAAUUAAUUCCUGAAUAAUGGAAAUCAUGUAAAAAAUUAUCUAAAUGACCUUCUAUACGUCAAAUUAGUCCAUGAAUGUGUUUUUCAUUGGUCAAAUUAUUCUUCAAAAUACCUAAGAUGAAGGCUAAUUUGACCAACAAACUAAACAAAAUUUCACCAACUUAAUACAAAUCCAGCCACUUCAAGCAUAUUACAUAGAUUAAUUCAUUUAUUUAUUCGAAUCCAACGUCAAACAUUAUCAAAUAGAAAAAUAAAAUUAAAACAAACGAAUUACACGAAUAACCUUGUUGCGUUGCAGACGGAGCCGACGAAGUGCUAGCUCCAGAUGCAGCCGGUCUCCGACGCAUGCGGCGAGUAGCGGUGGCGCGAACCACGGUUUCUCUCUGCGGAGCCUGACGAUUUGUGCACAAUCUAACUAAGAAUUUUUAUUUUUUUUACUUAAAUGUGGUAAAAUUAGGGUUUUGGCGUGGAAUUUGCAAACCUGGUGAGGUUCUUCGUUGGAAGAAGAGGAUCGUGAAUCGUGAUGGCGUUUCCAUAGAUAGAGUGGGAUUAGUGCUGCCACGAGAAGCAUCGAUAGUAUCGCUACGAAUAGUUCAUCCAUUGAUUUGAUGCAAACAAGUGAAACUCUCUCUUUCUCUCUAUGCGGAUUUGCCUCCUGCUCCUCCUCCUCCUUCUUCUUCUUCCUUUCGUUUCUCUCUCUGGAGGAAAUGAUUUCUAAACUGUGCUCGUUCGUUACUUUGUGAAACGAUGUCGUUGUGACUUCCCUUUUCUUCUUGACUCUACGGGUGAUGCAAGAUAAUUUUCGGGAAAUAUAAAAAUAAAUGCUAAAAUUACAAAAUUACACUUUGUUUAGUCCCAUUGCUUUUUAGAUUUUAGUCUAAGUUAAAAAAAUAUAUAUUUGACAUAAUUUUCUAGUUUUUUUCAUUUCAUUUUAAUCUUUUAAGUUAAAAUAUUAUAUUUUUAGUCUUUAAAUUAUUUUAAUUUCUUUUAAUUUUUCAAAUUAUAAAGACUAAAUAUUUUAUUUUUUAAUAAAAACAAUAUUAUAUAUUUCUCUAUUCACUGUUUUAUUUGAAGAAAUCAAGGGUGCCCGACCUCAAAUUUAAUGUUUUAAAUGAUUGUCAUAUUUUAAACUAAUUUUUAAAAUGUAUUUUAAAAAUCAAACUAGAUCAAUUAGUCAAACCAAAUUAAUCUAUAAUAGGACACAUAAUUAAUUCAAUUAAGUAUUUCGGUUACUUUUGAUUUUUGAUUUAGCUUUAGAUAUGGAUUGUCGACUUUUCUCACGUUAAAUUCUUUUAAAAUAUAUAUUUUGUUAACAGUAUUUUAAAAAUAUUGUUUAAGUAUUUUAAAUAAGUAAAUUAUUUUAUUAAAAAGUUAAAGUGGAUUUUUUCUUAAAUAUCCUUUUUUUUUAAAUCAAAAAUACUUUAAUUUAAAGUAAAUAUAUCAAAAUAUUUUACUUUAAAAAUAUAAAAAAUAAAUAAAUAAAAAGGGAUUAUGAUCGAGUAACUAACUUAAUCCGUAUAUGUUGUACACUUUAUUCAUAAGAGUAUAUUUUAUGAUGAAAUAGCUCCAACGGUUAUACUUUCAUAAACUUGAGACAAACAUGGUAGAAUAUAACUGUUUGAGAUAUUCACCAAAUAAAAUAAGUCUACAAUUUUUUUUUUUUAUUAUAACAAUUUAAUAUUUUAAAUCUCCACCCCACCCUUCUCCCAUCCACACUUUCAAACUAUCUUGUUUAUGUUCCAAUGUUCAUAUUAGGUCAAUUAGUUAAUUUAUAUAUGCAAUUUAUUAUGUAUAAUUUUUCCCAUGCAUCAUUAUUUUUAUUUUGCUUAUAGUUAUUUUAUAUUUUUUAUAAAUAAUUUGUUAAGCAUUAAAAUUAAUUAAUGUCUAUUUUUAUAAAUUAUCUUUGUUUAAGUCUCUUUUUAAUUUUAACUGGAAUAUAUCAUGUAAUUAAUUGAAUCUAUAUGAACAAGGUAUAAUGUAUUACGAUACUGCAAUAUAGAGGCAUAUGAAUACUUAAUAGCCAUUCAAAUAGUACUCACAUUAAAAAUAAAAUGGACAUUGAAAAUAAAGUGUACAACGUAUACAAAUUAUCUCAAUUAUUCAGUCAAAAUCAAAAUAUUGGCCGAAUAAUGCAACAAUUCUACUCAAAUUCUUUUUCUUUUUCUUGUAUUUUUUUACUAAUUUUAAUUAAUUUUACAUUAUUAUUAUUUAAUAAUUAAUAUUUUUAAUUAUUUAUUAAUUUUUGUUUAUUUUGUCAUUUAAUAUUAUAGAAUCACCAUGAUGUAACCAACUACUAGUCCCAAAAUUACUUUUAGUCUCAUUGUUGCAUCUUGAACAUAGUAAAAAUUAAAAAAGUAGCGCAUUUUUGUUUGUUUUUUUUUUCUUUUCAAAGCAGAUUAUUUUUAAAAGAAAAUUAAUAUAUAGGAAAAAAAGAAAGUUAAGUAGUUCAAUUUUUAAUGCAUUAAAAACACAACUUUUGAUUAAAAAAAAGUGACUCAUUUUGUUUCAUAAUGAGUUAUUUAAUGUUUUUGUAGAUAUAUUAAGAAAUUAAAUAAUUAAAAGAAAGAUAAAAUUUAAAAGAAAUAGACAAUUCAUUUUACUAAACUACAAUUUUAACUAUUGAUGAUUUUUUAUUAUUAUCAAUGCAAAAUAUAAUAAUAUUUUAAAAUGUGUAUAUAGUAAUCAUUGAAUGGUAGUAAAUGAAAAAAAUAAUUAAAGUUGUAUUGAAAAUUAUAAAUGAUAUUCAUUUCGAGAUAAUUUUUUGUUACUAAAAUGACACUCAUCGUGAGAUGGAUGAAGAACUAUUUAAGAUUUAUUAUAAACAUGUAUUUAUGACACUCGUUACCGUUACAAAAAAAAUGCAAAUUUAGGUCUUGUUACUUUGUGGAAACAUUUUAUGUUUUUAUUUUAAAAAAUGUAAGUUCAUUUUAUCUUGAAGUGAGAUUCUUUAAGUGAAACAUUAUUAUGAAGAAAAGAUCAAAUGCUAGAUAAUAAAGAUGCAUUUUUGAAAUAAUAAAAACAUUUUUUUUUACAACUUAAUUAUUUUUAGAAAUGUAGACAAUUGUUUAUUUUACAAAGUCUCUUACUUUCUUAUCAAUGAAUAAAAUUAACAUAAAAUUUAAAAAAUAAAAAUAAAAAGUAUUUUCACAAAGCACACAUAUUAAAAAGUUUGGAUUUGACUCGGAGUGUGCUAACUAAAUAAUGAUUUGUUUAAGUAUAGUUACCACCUCAUCGAUACUUGUGAGCCAAUGCCAUCUGGAACGUAUGCAAGUUAAUGCAACCCAACAUAGAACAUUAUCAUUUUGAUAUUUAAUUCAUCAAAAAAAUUCAAAUUAAUCAUUGAACCAUUAAAAUGUCAAUCAGUUUAGUAUAUGACAUAUAACGAUCAAUGAUUAUUUUAACAUUAAAUUGUAUCUUUUAGUGACUUUUAUGACAAUAAAUUAUAUUUUUCAUAAAUUAUUUUAAUGACUAAUUUAGAUUUUUUGUUAAAUCAAAUUGAUUAUGUCUUAUACUUUCAAAGUCUAAAAGGGAAACUAAUUUAUUUAGUAAUAUGUUUAAAGUUCACUUAUUUAAAGUUCACUUACUUACAUCUUGAGUUCGUUUGUUUCAUUCUUAUUAUAUGCAACCAAAAUUAUCUCUUCCUCUCAUUUUUUCAUAUGCUAACAACGAGGGUUUUUCAUAGUUCGUGAUUAGUAGCGUGGAUGAACAAUAUUUUACACCAAUCACAAGGAUUUAUGUGCAUAAGAUGAUUUCUUUUUAAAAAUCAACAAACUCUUCUAAGCAAAUCACAUAUCACCGAAAUUACAAGAAAAUAUUUAGAUUAGACAACUCUAUAUCUCAUCUAAGUAUUAGAGCAAAAAAGGAAACAUACAAUUUCAUCAUCCCCGAUUUUUAUAGGCUCAUUUAAGUUUCUUUUUAUGCAAAGUUCAUUUGAGUGAGUUAGUGUCGGUCAUUGACCGUAUAAGACUAAUAAUAUAGGGUUUAGUUUUUUUUAAGAGUAGUAGUAUCUGAAAAUAAUUGCAUCAAAGCCUUCAAAAUGGUUUAAUUUUUUUUUUCUUUGAUGUAAGGCUCUUUUUGAUGUUAUUUAUAAUUUAAAUAAAGUUGAUGUUAGGGUUUAGGAUUUAGGGUUUAGGUUUUUCUAACGUUAUUUACAAGGUUUUUAUGUUAUUUACAAUUUAAAUAAAGGAUAAUUCUUUUUGAGUUUUUUGUGCUUCUUUUUAUUAUGAUCUAAUUUUAAAAAUUAGAACAAGAUUUUCAACAUGUUUGAAAGACUUUAAUUUGAAUUAUACAUGGUCAAUUAUUAUAUCAUCCUCUUUACAUAAAUAUAGUUAAAUAUGUAUUUUAUUAGUAAUUUUGUCUUUGAAUAUGUCUUUCACUAAUUAGUUUAGUCCUCAAAUAUGUUUUCUGUAAAUCAAUUUAAUUCAUAAAAUUACAAUAGAAUAGAGGAUUUAUUGAUGUGUUUAAUUUCAAUAUAUUCAAAUACUAUAUUAAUCACACCUCAUAUAUUUAGAAAACUAAAAUUACUGUUCACUUUUAUAUAAAUAUUAGAAUUUUGGUUGUAACUCCCUAGAUAUUAAUUCAUGUCUCCGCCGCUUAUUAGAACACACUUUGAUAAUUAGAUUUAUCUCUCUCAUCGUUAAAGGGCCGUAUUGAGAUUGCCAAUAGACAGUAGCAAAAAUAACUGAUAAGUGUUAUAGAAAGUUGAGGUAUUCAUAUGUUGUACAAUUGCAUAAAUUAGCUACUGAUUACAUGCUUACAUGUUUAAUUAAUGUGCGGUGCCUCAUGAGAUAUCUUGAUACUUCUUCCAAUCGUAGAGGAUAGACCCAAAUGUUUAUUUUUUUUAACAGAGGUACACUUUUAUUGGAUUCAAACUUGACGACCCUUUUCAUUAUAUUCCGUAAAUAGCCUCAUUAUAUCUCAAUUUACCCUAUUAUACGCAUUACUCGUAUCUAUUUUGAAAGCCACUUCCUCCACCUUACUCCAUGCUUUUCCCUUGGCCUUCAUGUAGUGAAUAAUCACUACACCAUGAGCGACCUAAUGAAUAGAAAGAACACUUCUAGAUAGAACAUAAAUUUUUUUAUACGUUACUAAGAUUUUAUUUACCAGAACCAAAGUCUUCACCACUAGAACCAAAAGCUUGAUUCCAAUGAAAAUAAUUUUAAGGCUUCUAUAAAUCAUCGAGUCCAGUAUUUUUAGGUCAUAAAACUUUUAAUCAGUUAAGUAACGCAUUCUAAAGGCACAUGGUGAGGCUGGUAUAUAAACACUGGUCAAGAUUGACUCCAGUCAGACAAAUCUAGACCAUCCAAUCAAGAUUAUAUGAUACAGAUUUCAAGUUAGAAUUUUAGUUUUAAAAAUAAUAAGAUCUGAACUUAAAAUCUUGAUCAUCCGUUGAUCGGAGAGUGUGCCAAUGUUGUAACUGCACUAAAUCCAAAGUCAUAUAAACACCUAGCACGGUAAACCUAAAAAUUGCGUCCAUGUAUCUGAAAUGUUAAAUGAAGUCGUAUGAAACUCUAUUAAACUCCUUUGAUACAUAUUAUUGAAGCAAAUAGCACAUAAUAUCAUAAAUUCCAUAAUCCCACAUCACAACUGUUGAAAAUACCAGAACACAAGAAAUACCACAAUCACAUAUAUAUACCCAGCUCAAAGUGAGCUAGAUACAACUAACACUUUCAAGUUUCCAGCUGCUCAGAAACCAUGAAUUUUGAUAUGCUCCUUCUUCACGAUACCAGCCUGUUCAAGUCCACAAGUGCAGAAGAAUAAGUAUUUGAUAAAGAAAAUUAGUUUGUCAAUUAAUUAUAUGACAACAUCUCUAGAAAAGUUCCUUAUUUAGAUUUCAAUACAAUGAAAGGCGUGAGUAAAUGUUUUGUCACUGCAAGGAAAAACAAAUAUAUGAAGUAAAACUUAAAGAUAGUUGUGUUUCAGUGCCGUAUCGUGCUAUGUAUUCAGGAUUACUAAAAGCUAGUUUAUAGGGCUUUAAGAACAGACUCAUAAUACCAGUGUAAUUCUGAAUGCAAAAUCAAUAAACUUAAUCUCAGACAACCACUCAUAUAUGUAACAUCGUUGAUUAUGCCACAAACAAAACAAGAUAAAUACAUGGAGCUCAAUAUAGAUAAAAACGAAAAAGGAUAAAUAAUUCAGACAGCAUACUGCAUAAAACUAAAGAUGGGAGGUCAUUAGCUACCUGAAUUAGGAAUGUAGAUACAUUCUUCCUCUGAUCACCUUGAAGUUGAAUAACCUACCCCACAAAAAAUGUUAUUUGAUGCAACAAGGAGUAAAUAGAUCAUUAUAUAACACGAGGACAUCAAGACUGACCUGUCCUUGCUCUGGGUCCUGGACAACUGUACCAUUACAACAAAACUCCUUCUUAAGGUCUUUAAGAAUCUUGUUGUAACUGAAUUCUUUCUUCAAUCCCUGCACAGUUGUCAAGCUUUUUCUACCAUUUCGCUGCUGUAUACGAAUAUGCACAUACUCUUUUGUCCCAGCACCGGAAUCCUCAGCAUUUGCCUCAGCAAAAGGAUCUAAAAUUGAUGGCACACAUCCCACACAGGAAUCACACGUUAAUAAUCAAUAGUUAAGCCUGAUUAUCACAAUCAUAGCAACCAGCUAUUUCUGAUCUACAUAAUGAAUGUUGUGUGAGGAUGUAAGUAUCAAUUUACUUUUUUACCACAACCUUCACAAAGGUUAGUACCCAAGUGUAUCAAUUCAUUAUAAACGCAAUCUUAAAUCACCUUAAGCGCCCCAAAAAACUAUUCCAGAGAAAAGUUCUGUACAAUUCUUGGCAUCUUUUUAGCAUCUUGUUCAAUGAUGGGAAGUAAUAUAAUUGACAUUUGACAGAACAAUAUUAUUAAUAUUCUGGUAAUAGUUAAAAGUGAAAGAUAGGCAACACAUGUCCAAGACAUAAUAGUAAAACCAAUAUCAGUAAGAAAGCAACAACAUUUCUGGAGUAUAGUUGAAGGUAUAAAACAUCUACAUUUCAACAUAAAUGAGCAAAUAACAUUUAUUUGUGAAAUAUUACAUAAAUAUAACAAAAUCAAUAGAUAAUUAAAGUGAGGAAAAAAUUCAAAACAGAACAUGCUAAUGUUAUAAUCUGAGACAGCAUUUCAAAGGAAUCCGAGUACUGUUUCCUGAAGGACUGCAUAUAAUGAACAGAUCAAAUAAUCUGACACACAACACUCAUCAAGAGGUAAAGAUGUUCAAACAUACCGAAGGUAGUAGGAAUUUGUGCGUCUAAUUCAGACAUGAAACUUAAUCUCCAAAACAGAAGGUCCCACCAACCAGAUAGCUCAGACCUGGAUUUAGAAUCAAAAUGUUAGCUGAACUAUAAUAACAAAUUAACAACAAGCUCCACUUUAAUACAACAUCAAAAUCACUGUCAAUAAUCAUUGUCCACAAACCCACCAUAAACAAUCUAUCUAUCAGCAGUGAAGAACAGAAGGAAAAAAAAUCCUGAACAAAUCAGCAUCCAGGCCGAUCACAAACCCUUAGGCAGAGUUCAACAUGGAUUUAAAUCAAAUUAUUCAAAAUCAAAUUCAAUAUUUCUUUAAAACAAACUACCCCCAAAGUUCAUUCACAAUAUAUAUUAAAAUUUCGAAACAAUUUCAUACAACAUGCAUAAAAAUUAAUACACAAAAAACAAAAAUUACAACUAGAUACGUUACGGUUGAAAAAAUCAGCUAUAUCAUCAAAGGCAUAUCAAGUAAUCGACUAGAUCUGAAUCACAACACUUACUCGUCAAAAAAAAACACAGACAAAACUCAAAGACUUAACAGAUAAACAAAUCUCUAAAUUCCAACAAGUCGUGCGAUUUGAAUAGAUAAGAUCUGAUCGAAACAAAUAAAACCCCCAAAAAUUUAGAGAAACUACGAUCAAAUUUAGACAAAACCUAUAAUUAAAAAAUGAAAAAUAGAUCUUUAAAAGGAUAACGCGAAAGGAACGAUAAUCUGAUUAUACCUGAUCUUAGUUUAGGGUUUCGAUGCGUAAAGCAGUGGGGUGAUUAGCGAAGAAUAGAAACCCUAAAAUUGGAUAAGGCAGGACCUUCUCUCAAUGAGAUUGCGUUGUUUGGGAGGAGAGAAAGUAGGGAAGGAUAAAUUUUAAACAGGAGGAAAUAUAGAGAGAAUCGUGAGGUACUUUUUGGGUAAUUGAUUUCUACUCUCGAAAAUGGGCGAGGAUAUUCACGCGCUGUGUAUCUAGUAGGUGGGACCCAGGAUAUGUUCGCAAAUAUCGGCGAGUGGAGUUCAAUUGGUUGGUCGAGACGGUCGGAAUGAUGUUUUUCUAUAAGGACAAAACUGUAAAUACAAAUGAAGCAAAGCAAGUGUCUACUAUGCUCAGAAGCAACUAUUCUAAAUUGGUAAAACUAAUGUACCUGAGUACUUCUAGUAUCCGGGGCCCCGAUACUAUUUUUUCCUACCACUAGAAUCAAUAACUUUUUAUAUAAAAAUUUCGUCUAUUUGAAUUUAUUUAUUGUUAUAAAUUUUAUUGUAAUUUUAUUCAUACUUUUGGUUGAUGUACUUAUGUUUUUAUUCUUAAAAAUAUUAUAUCUCAAAUUCGUAGAUAUGUUUAUGAAACUAAAGUUAGACCUUAUUUUAUAUUUUAACAAUUAAAAUAAGUUUUAGUUUUUAGUAGAUAUGACAAAUAAAAUUUUAUAUGUGUUGAUAUUUAUAAAUUAAAUUUUUUAUAAUAUGAUUAAAAUAAAUAAAUAUUUUAACUGUUGUUAGUGAAUAGAUAUGAAAGCAAACAUAAUAGUAUUUGCAUGUAUGCAUAUCCAUACAUGUUAGUAAAUUAUUAAAAGGAAAAUAAUAAUUGUUAUGAACAAUUUUUUCAAAACAUAAAUAAGAAAGAUACCGUAUUUUCACCACUACCCCCAUGUUUUAUGCCAAAUGUUAAAAAGUUAAUUUUAUAUGAGUUUAAUUGUUAUGCAUUGUUAUUGUAAAAAGUUAUAAAUUGUUAAUAUAUCAUAAUUAUUUAUGAAUGUAUUUAAAAAUAAUUUUAAUAAAAAUUAAAUAUUUUAAUAAUUUAAUAAUUAUAAUUGAUUAACAAUUUAAAAAAAAUUUACACUAACAAUAUAUAUAAAUUAGACACAAACAUUCUUGCAGUUUUAUUUUCCUCUUUGUAAUGAAGAGCACGGCUCUUAUUAAAAUUACUAAGUUAAAAUGUAUUUUAUUUAUAUGUUAAUAUAUUAGUAAUUGUUAGAAUGAACUUUGUGAUACAUUUUUAUUUAUGUUCUAAUGCAUGAAUAUUUUUAUAGGUUAAUAUCUUUUGAAUAUAAUGAUCAUACGUUGUUGAUUAAAAUUAUUUUGCGAGAUUUUCGACUUCUGCUAAUUGAUUUGUAGGAUUUCUAAACAAAUGUUAAUUGUAAUUUCAAGGAUAAAAAUAAUAUAUAUAUUUGGAUGCAACUACUUUUAUAGAUAUUUAACCGUAUAUAAUUAUAUAAUUGAUUAGAAAUAGACUAGAGCGUUCGUCAGAAUUUAUGAUGUAACUUGACGUGACAUAUUUAAUAAAAAUGUUAAAAAAACUAUUUUUAAAGUCUAUUUAUUUAAAUAGGUCAGGAUCAUGUUUAUAAAAAAGUUUAUUGAGCCUAACAGACCGGCCUACAUAUAAUUUAUUAUUUAUUAAUAAUAUUAUUUCCUAUUUUAAAGUCUAUCAAUUAUCAUUAGCCGUUUCAUAUUCGGUAGUCAUUCUAUAUUCGGUAGCAAUUCUAUUUUCGGUAGUCGUUCUAUAUUCCGUAGCUGUUCAAUUAGACAAUUACUCAAUAAUCGUUUCAUAUUUGUUUGAGAGAUAAUAAUGAGUGUGUUUGUUUGAGAGGUAAAAUUAUUUUGCGGGGAUUUUCGACUUCUACUAAUUGAUUUGUAGGAUUUCUAAACAAAUGUUACAAUUACGUUUGCCGCAUAUUGUUCGAUCAUUGUAAUUUCAAGGAUAAAAAUGCUAUAUAUAUUUGGAUGCAACUACUUUUAUAGAUAUUUAACCGUAUAUAAUUGAUUAGAAAUAGGGAUAGAAAUAGACUAGAGCGUCCAUGAGAGUUUAUGAUUUGACCUACUUAUGAUUUGACCUAACCUAUCUAAUAAAAAGGCUAGAAAGACUAUUUUUAAAGUCUAUUUAUUUAAAUAGGUCAUGAUCAUGUUUAUAAAAAAGUCUAUUAGGUCUAACAGGCCGGCCUAUAUAAUUUAUUAUUUAUUAAUUUUAUUUAUCAUUAUUAUUUAUUAAUAAUAUUAUUUCUUAUUUUAAAGUCUAUCAAUUAGGCAAUCACUCAUUAGUCGUUUCAUAUUUGGUAGCGAUUCUAUAUUCGACAGUCAUUCCAUAUUCGGUAGCCGUUCAAUUAGACAAUCACUCAGUAGUCGUUUCAUAUUUGUUUGAGAGAUAAUAAUGAGUGCGUUUGUUUCACGAAAAAAAAUAUAUUUUUAAAACUAAAAAUUAUUUUUUAGGGUAAAGGGUAUUUGUUUCAGAUUUUUUUUAUAUAAAGACAUAGUUUAGCCUAUUUAAAAAAAUAUAAAAUAUAAAUUUUCAUGUGAAAAAGGCUUAUAAAUAGGCUUUCAGGUCAAACCAGACUUUUAAAAAGGUCAGGUCAGGCCGAAAAAAAAGCCUAUGAUAGACCGUAGGUCAGACCUAGGCCUAAAAAACUAAUCGUUGGCUAAGUUCAACCCUUUCAAAACCUGAUGUGCCCUAACCUAUUCUCACCCAUAAUUAGAAGUCACUUAAAAUUAAAAUUUUAUUUUUAUAGAUAUUUCACCGUAUAUCAUUGAUUAGAAGUCACUUUAAAUUAAAAUUUUAAUAUUGAUCGACAAUUAUAAUAAGUAAACGGUCUUUUUAUUUUUUAUAAUUAAGAUAAUAACUCGAUUAAUGUCAAUUUGAUAAAAAUAAAGAUAAACUAAUAUUAUAUAUCUUGUGAAGUUCAAUUUGAUAAAUCAAAAUUAAUAAACUCAACGCCUUUAUUUAUAAAAACUUACUUAUAUAUAAAAACGAGAUGAUUCAUUAAGUUAUAUACUUGCCAAAAUAAUUGCCGAUGGUUAUUAAAGAUUUUAGUGAUUUUUAAACACCGAUUUAAAUUGAAUAAUCUAUAAAAGAAAAAUAGUCCGUAGUUGAAGUUGCUUAUAUACUCCCUCAGUUAUAUAACUAAAAUAUUAGUUCAAAAAUUUAAUAUAUUUAGUUUAAACUUUUCUUCGAUCAAGUUUUAGUUAUAUUUUAAAAAGAAAUAAUGUAUAAUAUUGUAGACACGUGAAAACAACAAUCUCACUUGAAAAGAAGAAAGAAAAAGAAGGGGAAAAAAAAAACCACAAUCCAAAUUAAGUGAUCUAGGUGUUGUACAUGCACCAAUAAAACCACCUUACCCUUGCAUGAAAUCGCUAUACGUGGAAGCUCAAAAACAAGCAAAGAAGCAAACAUAGCCACCCCACCAAUUUCCCUUCCACGUACCUAAUUAACAUGCAACACCCCAACUCCUAAAUAAAUACCACCCUCUAUAAUCUCUCUCAAUACCCAUCAAAUAAUUAAACACCAAAAACAAACAAUCAAUACACACACACCACAUUCCACAAAACAAUGGCCAAACACAUUUUCCUCGUAACUUUCUUUGUAGCUUUAAUUCUCUUCAUUGCUCACACCAACGCCUCAAAGGACGAAAAAGAAGAAAUUCCAGAAAGUUGCCACAAGCAACUCAAGAGUUUGAACCUAAAACAUUGUGAGAAAUUCCUCAUGAAGAGGAUGCAGAAGGACGAAGACGAGGACGACGAUAAUGUUAUAAAAAUGAGGGGAGUCAACUACAUUCGAAACCGCGAAGAAGGACUAAAGGAGAACUGUUGUGCACAACUUAGUGAAGUGAAUUUCUUGGAUUGUAGGUGUGAAGCUUUGCAAAAGAUAGGAGAUAAUUUGAGUGAUAAGUGUGAUAAGAAGGAGAUGGAAGAAAUGGAAAGGGAGUUAAAGAUUUUGCCUUUGAGGUGUGGUAUUACACCACCUCUUGGGUGUGACUUGAGCUUUGAUAACUAAAAAAAGGGGUAAGGGGUCAUGUGAUGGCUUAAUUAUUCUAAACUUAGUUAAGCUAUCUCUUUGCUUUUGUAAUGUGUAAUAAAGAUCAUUAAUCAUAUGAUCAUGAAAUGAAAGCACAUAUAUAGUGUGCUUUGUGGCUCUUUGCCUAUGUUAUGUUUUGUUAAUAUGUUUUUUAUAAAUUAAAUUAAAAAUCUUUUCUUUUGCAAAUUUAUUGGUUUUGCUCUCUUUUUUUGUCUUUUUGGGAAAAGAAAACAAAAACACACGGACGAUUUAACAACAAUAAUAACAAUAAUAUAUNNNNNNNNNNNNNNNNNNNNNNNNUAUAUAUAUAUAUAUGCCAAACUUUCAUACACUCAUUCAAACACUUUAUUUUUAUAUGUUUUUCUCUUUUUAUCAUAUUACAUUAUUACUAACUUAAUAUAUUUAUUAUAUCACUCUUUAUUUAUUUUUAAUAUAUUUACUACAUUUCUUUUUCUAUAAGCGUAUCACUUUUUCUUUUUUACUUUUAUAAAGUGUACACCAAAUAUUUUUUUAAACAAAAUUUAAUAGAAUUUUGGCUUGAGUUGAUUAAAAUAAUAUUAAAUAACUUUUUUUUAGUUGAACUUUGAUUUGAGUUGAUUAGAAAAGAUUUAAAGAUUCUUAGAAAAUAAUUCACACACUAUCAUCGUUAAUACUUUUUAAUUUUUUAAAAUCUCACAUAGGACUUGGACUAUCUUUAGUAGUUUGGAACGAGCAAGACUAUUGAAAUUUAACAAGUGAGGUGGAAGUAUAUUUAAGUCAAUUGUCUAUAUCAACGAGUUAAGAAAAUAAAGUGGUGUCAAUCUUGUGAAUAGAUGAAAUGCGACGGUUAUAUUAGUUACCGAGUUAAUUUUUUUUUAUAAUUUUCUACUCUUCUAUCGUUGAUAUAUAACAAUAAUUUUAAGACGAUGAUAAAAUGAUUAGUAUAUGUGUUCAUAAUUUCAUUUAAAUAAUAUUAUAUUAUUUGAAUGAAAAAAAAUAUACGUCAAAUUCAUUUUUUUUUCUAACGAUUUUUUAUUUCACCUUAGUACAUACUGUUACUUAUUUUUAACAAAUAAUUAUGGAUUAUAGUUGGAUGAAUACUAAUUGUUUGAGUAAGUGUAUAAAUGUGGAUAAAUUUUUACAGCUUAUUUUAAAAAAAAACUUCAUAAAAAUCAAGGAAAAUUUUAUUGUUGUUAAUUUUUAAAUGGAACGGUUACAUUUUGAAGAAAUAAGAAAUCAUUGUAGGAUUUGCCAUAGUUAUACAAAAUGGAUAUGGUAUGAUGAUUUAUUAAACAUGAUAAAUUUAUGAGUGUGACUACUAUGUUAUGUUACAUAUGUUGAACAUCUUAAUAUAGUUGUUUCAUGGAUGCAAGUACGUAAUUUUUUACACGUUGUUAUUGAUUGUAUUUUUUUUAUAUUUGUACGAUGAAAAAUUAUAAGUUGUUAUUGAUUGUAUUUUUUAAUGUUUAAUGAUAAAAAAUUAGGAUUCAGCCGAUAUUGAUUGUGUGUUUUUUUUUCUUCAUAUAUUUGAUGACUCGAGAUGGUGACAAUACGAAGGUUUGAAUUUUCUCUUUGUCUAUUCUUUUUGUUUUUACACACAAAUUGAAUAUUUGUUCACUGAAAUAUUUGCUCUUCUGAUUAGUAUAUUUUUCUAAUCAAUCAUCUUAUGUUUCAAAACAUUCAAACUAAAAAAAAACUUUUUUUUUCCUGAUCUCGCCUCUAACCCCUUUUUUUUUCAGCCCUUUCAAACUUAAAGAAGAUGUAUUUAUAAAGUCUUUUUAUAUGUUUAGUUGCUUUCUUCUUUGUGCCUCUGUUCUCAGAUCCUAGUUUGAUGUUUUGUUUUCUUUGCUCAUCAUCUGCGUUUUUUUGCACUACUGAUGCCUUCACAAUUUUAGAUUAUUUUGUUUUUAUCUGAUGAUUUGCUGAGCUUUUAUUUGUCCUUUAGUUUCUUUUUUUUUAAACUCAAAAAUUUGUCAUUUAGUUUUUAUCAUGUAUACUAAGACUGAUUGGUAAUAAUUAUGUUUUUCUGUUUCUCUAAUUAGUUACAACAGUACAAAUGUAUCAAUGAGCAUGACUUGUGCAUCAAUGGCAGUCAGCAUCAACAUAUCAGGGUUUGGCAGUGAGCAAAGGCAACAAUAGAGAACAAAAUACAUACAAAAUUGGAAACGACUGACUUGAUUUGAAUUAGUUUGACCUAAUUUUUAUUGCAAUUUAAUUUGACUUUAUUUUUAAUUUGUAAUUUGAUUUUAUUAUAAUUUAAUUGUAAUUGUAAUCGGAUUUGGUAUUGUAAAUUGAUGAGCAUAUUCAUUGUAAUUAUUUUAUUUCCCUUUUUGAUUUAUUUUUAGAUAAAUUGGACAAAAUUAGGGUACUACAGCUGCCCAUAUUUAAUUGUAUUUUACUUGAAAAAUAUGAAAAUAUGAAUAAUAAUGAUAUUCAUUUUCAUGUUAUCAAGUAAAAGAUAAAUAAAUAUAAGGACCUAAAUUUUGUCCAAUAACAAACACAUGUAUUAAAGUGCCCUUGAGAUUUGAAGUGAGAAUUAUGCAAAAACAAAAUUUUUGAGAUGUGCAAAAUGAUAUUAGUUACCGAUGCGUAGAUCGACAGAAAUAAAAAUGAUUGUCUACGGUUGGUUACCGAUGCGUAGAUCGACAUAAAUGAAGGUGAGAUCGACAUAAAUGAAGGUGAUCCUCUUUGGAUUGGAUGAUCGUCUUCGGGUUGGUUACCGAUACGUAGAUCGACAUAAAUGAAGGUGAUCGUCUUCGGAUGGUUACCGAUCCGUAGAUCUAUACAAAUGAAAAAUGAUCGUCUUCGGAUUGGUUACCGAUGCAUAGAUCUAUGGAGAAAAAAAUGAUUGUCUUUAGAUUGGUUACCGAUGCGUGGAUCUAUAGAAAUGAAAGUGAUCAUCUUCGGAUUGGUUACCGAUGCGUAGAUCUAUAGAAAUGAAAAAUGAUCGUCUUCGGAUUGGUUACCGAUGCGUAGAUCUAUAGAAAUGAAAUGAUUGGUUACUGAUGCAUAGAUCUAUAGAAACAAAAAUGAUCGUCUUCGGAUUGGUUACCGAUGCGUAGAUCUAUAGAAAUAAAGUGAUCGUCUUCGGAUUGGUUACCGAUGCGUAGAUCUAUAGAAAUUAAAAAUGAUCAUUUUUGGAUUGGUUACCGAUGCGUAGAUCUAUAGAAAUAAAGUGAUCGUCUUCAGAUUGGUUACCGAUGCGUAGAUCUAUAGAAAUGAAAAAUGAUCGUCUUUGGAUUGGUUACCGAUGCGUAGAUCUAUAGAAAUGAAAGUGAUCGCCUUCGAAUUGGUUACCGAUGCGUAGAUCUAUAGAAAUGAAAGUGAUCGUCUUCGGAUUGUUUACCGAUGUGUAUAUCGUAAUUGGUCCAAUCUCGAAGGUAGAUAAAGAGGGAGAAUAAGUAUAUGAUACUUGCAAUUCGAACGAUAAGGUAUGAAUGAUUUGUGUGUUAUGCAUCGAGUAUAGGUAAAGUGUCAAUGAAGAUGCAUGGAUCAGGUGAGUAUGAGUAAAUUAUGCAUGAUUUAUGUGUGUCAUGUAUUAUAGAUCAAUUUUUGUUCAUUUUUUUGAUUCCCCGAUCCUUAUGCUCUUCUCUGUCCCAAGAUUCAAUGAAUGAACAUAACAACCAUUUUUUGCAUGACGACUCCAGUAUGUCUCGUGUGACCGUUUUUUCACACGAGACAUAUUAGAGCUCCCCCAGAAAAAGCUUUUUUCACAACAUAUGGUCAUUCGUAAUUUGGGGUCCAUUUUUCACGAGCAUCUUUUUUUUAUGGGCAAUAUUUUCUUUAACACUAAGUCCCCUUCUUGAAACUCUUGAGGACAAACUUUUUUCUCGUAUGCCUUUUUAAGUCUUUUUUGAUAUAGUUGGUUGGUCGUGGCAUAAAGCUAUCAUUCUUUUUUCUUCUAUGAGAUUUAAUUGGUCAAAUCGCGAUUGAACCCACUCAACCUCUUCCCGUUUUGUUUCUAUCAAGACUCUAAUCGAGGGAAUUUCAACUUCAAUGGGAAGUACCGCUUCCAUUCCAUACACCAAUGAGAAAGGAGUUUCCCCUGUUGAGGUACGAACAUAGGUUAUAUAGCCACGCAAUGCAAAGGGAAGCAUUUCAUGCCAAUCCUUAUAUGUCUCCACCAUCUUUUGUAUGAUCUUCUUGAUAUUCUUAUUUGCUGCUUCUAUAGCCCCAUUCAUUUUUGGACGAUAUGGAGAAGAAUUGUGAUGUUGAAUUUUGUAACUAUCACACAACUCAUUCAUCAUUUUAUUAUUCAGAUUGGUCGCAUUGUCAGUGAUUAUCUUAUUUGGUAAGCCAUAUCGACAAAUCAAUUCUCUUUUGAUGAAUUUGACAACCACACUUCUCGUCACAUUGGCAUAAGAAGCGGCUUCAACCCAUUUUGUGAAAUAGUUAAUAGCUACCAGGAUAAACCGAUGACCAUUGGAAGCUUUAGGCUUGAUGAGUCCAAUAACAUCCAUCCCCCACAUUGAAAAUGGCCAUGGUGAUGUUAAAACAUUCAAAGAGGUGGGCGGUAUAUGUAUUUUAUCAGCAUAUAUUUGACAUUUAUGACAUUUCUUUACGUAACUAAAGCAAUCAAAUUCCAUAGUCAACUAAUAAUAGCCAGCACUCAAGAUUUUUCUUGCCAUUGCGUGUCCAUUUGCAUGAGUUCCAAAAGAACCUUGGUGAACCUCUUGAAUGAUCUUUUCUGCUUCUGCUUUAUCCACACAUCUGAGGAGAAUCAUAUCAUGAUUCCUCUUAUAAAACACAUCACCAUUUAAGAAUAAUGUAACACCCCAAAUUUUUCAUAUAUAUUAUAUAUGUAUCUUUUUAGUAAUUGCUAUUAUUAAAUUAAUAAUUAUUCUAUGUGUAAAUACAUUAAAUUAAAUUUUAUCACACUCUUGUCUACCUAAAUAAUUAUAAUCUACAUUUUUAUUUAAUUGUUUUGAUGUGACAAUUACAUGGGGACUAUUUAUGAUGUCAUUAUUUCAUAAAUGGACAUUUUUUAUUUGAUUAGUUUCGAUAAUCAUGAAAUUGAUGUGUUAGAUAUGUUUGUUUUAUUUUGUUAUGUGUGAUUGAUAUUCUUGUCUUGCUUGAUUUAUUUUAGUUGAUAAAAUAUUAGUUGAANNNNNNNNNNNNNNNNNNNNNNNNNNNNNNNNNNNNNNNNNNNNNNNNNNNNNNNNNNNNNNNNNNNNNNNNNNNNNNNNNNNNNNNNNNNNNNNNNNNNNNNNNNNNNNNNNNNNNNNNNNNNNNNNNNNNNNNNNNNNNNNNNNNNNNNNNNNNNNNNNNNNNNNNNNNNNNNNNNNNNNNNNNNNNNNNNNNNNNNNNNNNNNNNNNNNNNNNNNNNNNNNNNNNNNNNNNNNNNNNNNNNNNNNNNNNNNNNNNNNNNNNNNNNNNNNNNNNNNNNNNNNNNNNNNNNNNNNNNNNNNNNNNNNNNNNNNNNNNNNNNNNNNNNNNNNNNNNNNNNNNNNNNNNNNNNNNNNNNNNNNNNNNNNNNNNNNNNNNNNNNNNNNNNNNNNNNNNNNNNNNNNNNNNNNNNNNNNNNNNNNNNNNNNNNNNNNNNNNNNNNNNNNNNNNNNNNNNNNNNNNNNNNNNNNNNNNNNNNNNNNNNNNNNNNNNNNNNNNNNNNNNNNNNNNNNNNNNNNNNNNNNNNNNNNNNNNNNNNNNNNNNNNNNNNNNNNNNNNNNNNNNNNNNNNNNNNNNNNNNNNNNNNNNNNNNNNNNNNNNNNNNNNNNNNNNNNNNNNNNNNNNNNNNNNNNNNNNNNNNNNNNNNNNNNNNNNNNNNNNNNNNNNNNNNNNNNNNNNNNNNNNNNNNNNNNNNNNNNNNNNNNNNNNNNNNNNNNNNNNNNNNNNNNNNNNNNNNNNNNNNNNNNNNNNNNNNNNNNNNNNNNNNNNNNNNNNNNNNNNNNNNNNNNNNNNNNNNNNNNNNNNNNNNNNNNNNNNNNNNNNNNNNNNNNNNNNNNNNNNNNNNNNNNNNNNNNNNNNNNNNNNNNNNNNNNNNNNNNNNNNNNNNNNNNNNAAAAAAUUAGUGAGUGACUCAUUCUUUUAAACACCUUUAUGACAAGAUUUUAUGACAAUUCAUGAUGUUUUCUUGACAUAAUGUGCAUUAAUUCAUUUUAAACACCUUUAAAUUAUUUUUUAAAGGAAGAUUAUAAAUUUAAUUAUAAGUUUUUUGUGCAAUUAAGAGAGGACACAAAAAGACUAUAGUCCUUUUUGUGUUUCAUGCAUUCAUCUCUUUUAAACUAAAAUUAUAAUUUUAUUAUAAUUGUCUACAAAAAUAAUUCUAUGAAAUUUUUGGUUUCGUAACUAUUAGAUAAAAAAAUUAAAAGGGUGAUGUGACAAUCUCUAAUUUAUUUAUUUAAUUAAAAUUAGUGUGUCACACCCUUCAAUAUAUGGUGAACUCUAUUAGUUAAUCCAAAUUAACCCAUACAUAUAAAUACACAAUUUCAUUUGGCUUUGUAACAACCUAGUAAAAUUAAAGAAAUAGUAAUUAUUGGUAGUAUAAUGUUGAAAUUAAGUGCACUUCAAUUUUAGACAAGAAAUCAAUGGUAAUAGUUCAACGUAAAUAGCUUAUAUGUUCAUACAUUUCCAUUAGGCAUCUUGUUGUCACACCUAUUUGUCAUUUGUACACUCUCAAAAUAAUUUUCUGAGUCGUAAAUUCUAAUAUCUAUCGGUGUUGAAUUCAUUACUGCCUCGUGAGCUAUUUCUCGUGCAAAUUUAGAGGUGUUAAGAAAGAAAGCGCCUAAGGUAAGGGCUUUUCCCCAUGCAAUGUUAGGCUAGAUAUUAAAUUAAUAGUUUGUAAGAUAUUGAUAUAUGUCUUGAUGUCUUAAAAGAAAAAUAUUGAUUUCUGUUUGCCUUAAAGAAUUUAACUAUAAUAUUAUGUUUUGAUGAGUAAUAUGUUUGCUUUGAUAAACUUAAUUAUAAAAUUUCAAUUUUCAUUAUUAUAACAUGAGUAAUAUAUUUGAUGUCAUAUAUUUGAUGUAAAGUUAUUAUUUUUGUGUCGUCUAUGUGUACUUAAUUAUAAAGUUAUGAUUUUUAUUAUGAUCUCAUGAGUAAUAUUUUUUUUUGAUAUCUUUUAUUUAAAGUUUCGAUUUUUGUGCUAUUUCGUUUCAAAGUUUUGAUUUUUUUAGAAAUCUAUAUGAGUCUUGGGGGAAUUGGUGAAAAGUUUUAAUUUUAAUUAUGAUAAGAUGAUUAAGUUGAUUUUUGUGACGUGUUUAACGACAAACCUUGAUUUGUAUGACUAAAUAACAAUUAAUCGGAGAAAAUUUAUAGUAGAAGAAAUAAAAUUUAUAUUUGUAUGUGUUAUUUGAGUUUUGAGUUCUAUUCAAUAACACGUUGUUAAUCCAAUUUUAUAGGUUAUAAAAUGAAAGUUAUGACUGUAAGACAUUUACGCGUGUUUGUGUGUUAUAUAUUUGGGAUAACAAAUUUAUUGACUCUUGAUUGGAAGCGUCCAUGAGAAUAAAACUUUGAUGUCAUAUGUGAUUAAAAUUUUAUCUUGAAUAUUUUAUAUUUGUGGUUGCCUAAUUGUGUUUUAAAUAGUGACAUCUUUGUGGUUGCCUAAGUGGCUGGGGAUUUGUGUGAUUAUCUAAGUGAGUGGUGACAUGUACCUUUGAGCAUCAUUAUCAUUUCAUAACAUAUCAUAUGCAUCUUUGUGGACGCCUGUGUGGCUGGUUUAAUUUUUCCCCAUUGGUAUGGGUGACUUCUGUGUGGACGCCUGUGUGGCUGGUUUAAUUUUUCCCCAUUGGUAUGGGUGACUUCUGUGUGGACGCCUGUGUGGCUGGUUUAAUUUUUCCCCAUUGGUAUGGGUGACUUCUGUGUGGACGCCUGUGUGGCUGGUUUAAUUUUUCCCCAUUGGUAUGGGUGACUUCUGUGUGGACGCCUGUGUGGCUGGUUUAAUUUUUCCCCAUUGGUAUGGGUGACUUCUGUGUGGACGCCUGUGUGGCUGGUUUAAUUUUUCCCCAUUGGUAUGGGUGACUUCUGUGUGGACGCCUGUGUGGCUGGUUAUAUCCGGAUCAUAUAUAUUUAGGAGCAUGCAUAACUUGCAUAUAUUUUAUUGUUAAUUUAUUUUGAUUUAAUUAUUUGCUCUACAGUUGCUACCUGAUUUAUUUUGAUACAUUCUAUGACUUUGUAUACAUCCUUGGGAACUAUUAAAGAAUCAAUUUUUUAAAUCUUUUAUUACGAAAGGAUUUUAUAUUCAUAUUUUAUGGUUGUUAAUUUAUUAUUUAGUUUAAUUUUGUUGUGGGAUAGCUGACCCCUUACACCAACAUUUAGGUACUAAUGAUCUCAAAGAGUUGAAUGAAUGAUGUUUGAUUGGUGCACGCACGUGGGAAAAUGAGACUUUUACUUAAAAAAAAAUGUUUUGUAUUACUAAAUUUUUUGUAGUACAUUGUAAAGUUAUUUACUCUUCAUCAUUAACUUUUAAUAGAAAUGUGGAAGUGAGAUUUUAUUUACUAGUAAAUAAUUGAAUGUCAUUAAUUUCAGUCAACCUUUCUUUUGAAUUUCACUUAAAUAUAAUUUAUUUUAUUUUGGAGCAUAAAUGAAUAUUGAUCUAAUAACUGGAAUAUUAAUUUGCAAAUAAAUGAAUAAAUAAUAUUUUAGUAAAUUGCAUUACAUUCUUUUACAAAAAAAAAAAUAUAUCAAGUCAUUUUCUGACGCAUCUUCAAAUUAUUACAUAAUGAACUACUUCUAAGAAAAAAUAAUUAUAGUUGUUUCUAAAAGAAAACAAAUAUUUUUAAGUACUUUUUGAUAAAAAAUUUGGGGCGUUACAAAUAAGUUCAUUGACAACCUCAUCAAAACCCUUUUAUCGUUCUCUGAAAUACCUGAUGGAUAUUCCCUAUUCUUAACAUAGGAUUUGAUAUCAUAAAACCAUGGUUUGCUAUCAAGCUUUUCUUCUAUCGAUAAGCAAUAUGAUGGCUUAUCCUUUUGUUGAAUUUUUAUGACUGACACAUCCUGACCAACGCUUAUUUUGAACAUUGAUGACAAUGUGGCCAAGGCAUCAGCCAGUUGGUUUUCUUCUCGAGGAAUAUGGUGAAAAGUGAUAUGCUCGAAGUUUUCUACCAAUUCUUUUAUAUGUGUAUGAUACAUAAUCAAUUUGGAAUCUCGAGUUUUCCACUCUCCUUUUGUUUGAUGGAUAACCAAAGAUGAGUCUUCAUAUACCUUAAGAACUUUUAUCUUUGACUAAAUGGCUGCUUUAAUGCCCAUGACACAUGCCUCAUAUUCUGCAAUAUUGUUUGUGCAAUCAAAACACAAUCUAGCCAUAAAUGGAGUGAUCUGGUUAUCCGGAGAAAUCAAAAUUGCCCCAAUUCCAUGACAUAACGCGUUAGAAGCACUAUCAAACACCAGUGUCCAUUUUUCUUUAUCAGGUGAUUCAUUCUCUUCAAAUAAAGUCAUGAUGCCUUCAUCGGGGAAUUCACACUGCAUUGAUUGAUAAUCUUCUACAGGUUGUUGGGCCAAAUACUCUGCUAGGACACUUCCUUUUAUAGCUUUUUGUGUAACGUAUAUCAAGUCAUAUUCUGAUAACAACAUCUGUCAACGGGCAAUCCUUCCAGUAAGAGCAGGUUUCUCAAAGAUAUACUUAAUUGGGUCCAUUUUAGACAUCAACCAAGUUGUAUGACAUAACAUGUAUUGCCUCAACCGACGAGCAGCCCAUGCUAAUGCACAACAUGUUCGUUCAAGCAAUGAAUAUCUCGCUUUGCAGCUGGUGAACUUUUUGCUCAAAUAAUAAAUAACAUGUUCUUUCUUACCAGAUUCGUCAUGUUGCCCCAGUACACAAUCCAUUGACUCGUCAAGUACUGUCAGAUACAUAAUAAGCGGUUUCCCAGGAACAUGAGACACUAAGAUUGGAGGUUUUGACAAGUACUGUUUAAUCUUUUCGAAAGCUUUAUGACAAUUAUCAUUCCAUUCAACCUUUUUGUCUUUGCAUAACAACUUGAAAAUUGGCUCGCAUGUAGCCGUGAGAUGCGAUAUGAACCUGGCAAUGUAAUUCAAUCUACCCAAAAAUCGACGAACUUCUUUUUAUGUGUGUGGAGUGGGUAUUUCUUGUAUUGCUCUUACUUUAUUUGGGUCCACUUAUAUCCCUUUUUGACUAACGAUAAACCCAAGUAACUUGCCUGAUCUUACACCAAAAGUGCAUUUAGCAUGAUUUAAACAGAGUCUGAACUUCCUUAGUCGCACAAACAACUUUUGAAGGUUGAUAACAUGUUCUUCUUCGGUCCGAGAUUUUGCAAUCAUAUCGUCCACGUAAACCUCUAUUUCCUUAUGCAUCAUGUCAUGAAACAAAGUUACCAUUGCUCUUUGAUAGGUUGCCCCAACAUUCUUCAAUCCAAAUGGCAUCACUUUAUAACAGAAAGUCCUCCAUUGUCUGAUGAAUGUAGUUUUCUCCGUAUCUUUGGGAGCCAUCUUGAUUUGAUUAUACCAUGAGAAACCAUACAUGAAGGAGAAAAAAGAAUAUUGAGCAGUGCUAUCUACUAGGACAUCAAUGUGAGGCAAAGGAAAAUCGUCUUUUGGACUAGCUUUAUUUAAAUCCAGAUAAUCAACACACAUUCGAACCUUUCCAUCUUUCUUUGGAACUGGAACAAUAUUAGCAACCCAUUGUGGAUAUUUUGCCACUGCUAAGAAACCAUCAUCAAAUUAUUUUUUGACCUCUUAUCUAAUUUUAAGUGACAUAUCAUGCCUCAUCCUCCUCAAUUUUUGUUUAAUUGGAGCACAUUCAGGCUUGAGUGGUAGCUUGUGUUCAACUAUGUUAGUAUCUAGCCCAGACAUAUCCUGAUAUUACCAUGCAAAGACAUCUACAUAAUCAAAUAAAAGUUUAACCAGCUUUUCUCGUUCAUUUUCUUUCACAGACAUGCCAAUUUUAACUUCUUUCUCAUCAUGUUCAGUCCCUAAAUUGAUUACCUCAAAAGUUUCUUGAUAAGGUUGGAUUAUCUUAGCUUCCUGUUCAAUUAACCUUUCUAGUUCUGGGGGAGGCUCACAGUCGUCUUCACAAUCCUCAUCAGCGUGAUUAAUUGGGGGUUCAAAAUUACAAGGAAGUGUUCUACCGUUGCUAUUUUCAACAUACUCAUUUUCGACUUUGCAUGGUUUAAAUUUAAGAAGAAAAAGGAAAAAAAAAAUAUAUAUGAAUAAAGAUUGCCAAAAAACAAAAAGAAAAACAAUUGGAGAAUUCAAAAAUGCGUUUAUUGAUAAUAAGUAGGAAAUUGGAAUACAUGCGCCCUAACUAGUUAUCCUUAUAGCCUUGGGCAGAGCAAAAGGAGUUAAAAUAGAUAAUUACUUUGAACAUGAAUUAACAAAUACGGGAAACUCGAUGAUCUUCCAAUUAUUGUGAUUGGUGUUUAGAGAACAAGGGUACACCAAUUUGAGGGUAUCAUCAUCAACACGAUCCUCUUCUACAACAGCCACUUGAUCAUCAUAUAUUAUUCCAGUACUUUGAAAGGUUUGAUGAAUGUCACAAAUAGGGAUCUUUUGUGAAUUUGGUACCCGAUUUUCCCAACGAGCUAGCUUGCUUUCUCGUUUUUCUUUUGCAACGUUCUCUUGAUCAGCUUUGGUAGGUAUAUAUCUCAACCCGUACUUAUCCUUCUUUUCUGGUAUUUCUAUCAAUUUCCCGAAUUUAACAAAAGCUCCUCCUUCCAACAUGGAUUUUGUAGAUUUCAAUGAUGUGGUAGAUAGUUUUGGUUCUUUUAAACGAAAUCCUUCACCCAUGAAGACAACAUUGGCGAUUUCUAUUGCUUGGAAGGAAGUCUUUAUGGCUUCCUCUGUGUCUUCAAUGUAACCCGUAGAAGAUAGAUGACUCAAUAUCAUAUCUUCUUCCCCAAAUAUUAUCACCAGCUUAUUGUUCACUAUAAACUUUAGCUUUUGGUGGAGAGUGGAUGUCACUGCUCGAACAGCGUGAAUCCACGGUCUCCUUUAAAGGCAACUGUGCGCUGGCUUAAUAUCCAUAACUUGGAAGGUUAUUCCAAAGUUAUGGGGUCCCAUUUGAAUCGGUAGGUCAAUCUCACCAACAACUUGUCUUCUGGAUCCAUCAAACGCUUUCACCACCAUAGCACUCGGCUUCAAACAAGCUCCAUCAACAAAUUUUUUUGAAAGUGUCGAUUUCGGCAUGACAUUUAACAAUGAACCGUUAUCAACUAGCACUCGUGCAAGAAUAUGAUCAUGACACCUCACAGAGAUGUGUAGUGCUUUAUUAUGCUCCAUCCCCUCAGUUGGUAAUUCGACAUCGCUAAAACUCAACCUGCUAUUGGCGGUGAUAUUAUCGACAACUCCAUCAAACUUUCACCACCAUAGCACUCGGCUUCAAACAAGCCCCAUCAACAAAUAGUUUUGAUAGUGUUGAUUUUGGCAUGACAUUUAACGAUGAACCAUUAUCAACUAGCACUCGCGCAAGAAUAUGAUCAUGACAUUUCACAGAGAUGUGUAGUGCUUUAUUAUGCUCCACCCCUUCAGCUGGUAAUUCAACAUCACUAAAACUCAACCCGUUACAGGUGGUGAUAUUACCGACAACUCCAUCAAACUGGUCCACAGUAAUAUCAUGAGUAACAUGGGCCUCAUUUAAAACUUUCAUCAGUGCUCUUCUAUGUGCUUCAGAGUAUAAUAACAAAGAAAGAACAAAUAUCUUAGAAGGGGUUUGAUUUAGUUGAUCUACCACCUUAUACUCACUUUGCUUGAUAAACUUCAAAAAAUCGUUAGCUUCUUCUUCAGGCACUGUCUUUUUGCAAGUUUCUAAUCCUUUUAUGGCAUGAUACACAACCUCUUUCUCUUUUUCUCCACGACCUUCCUUUUUCCUGAGUUGUUCAGGAGUGUAUACUCGACCACUACGGGUCAUCCCACCAAUCCCUGAAAUAUUGGUGAUAUCAGUACCUUGAGGCUUAAAGAUAUCACAUGAUUGAUGAUUUACUGAAUGAGAUGUGACUUCAUAACUCCAUGGAACCUCUUUGUUAUUUUCAUAAGGAAAAGAGGUUGGUGCUUGAACAUUAUUGCAUUUUUCCCACUAUGAGUUGGCUUAGGAUUCUCUUUUCUAUAGAGGAUUUCCAAUGGUCUUGGAAAAGAUCUAUUUUUUUCCAUGCAUGGCUCUAUGGUCGAUACAUAAUUAUCUUUUGUGUACUGGUCUAUCUCUUCUUCAAUGAGAUUGACAGCAGCAUCUCUGUGACCCGACAAAGGAUUAUUCCCUAUGUUGGGAUCGUCUUCCUUGAAGGUAAGCCAUUUUGAAUUAAUCAAUUCUUGCACUUUAGUUUUUAAGGCUUGACAAUCUUCGACGGAAUGCCCCACGGCUCCGGCAUGGUAUUCACAUUUGGCAUUUGGAUUAUAUAAUUUUGGGAAUGGUGGUUCUAGAGGUUUCAUUGGCCUCAGGACUACCAUUGAAUUUUGAAGUAAGUGAGGCAACAAUUGGCUGUACGUGACAGGAAUUGGGUCAAAACGGAUUAUCCUUUUUCCCGAUUGACAGGUGGUCUGUAGUGAUUUGAGAUUGGAUUUUGGUUCCAUUGACUUUUUUGGGAAAAUACGCCAGGUGGUGGUUGAUAAAAUGGUGGUCUUGAAGGGUGAUAUUGAGGGUAUGAAACUUGUGUGGUUGCGGCCACAUAUGGAUAAGGAAUGUAAGGAUUUUGUGGUAUCGGGGGCUGGAAGUUUGGGGGUUGAUAAGAAUUGAUGGGUGGAAAAUAGGAGACUGUGGGGUUUACCAUUACAGCGUUAUCGUCCCCUUCUUUCUUUUUUGUGAAUGUCGUUUGGGGUCUUUUUAUGCCAGUUGCUGCACAUACGAUUUUGCCACUCCUCAUCCCACUUUCUAUCCUUUCUCCUAUCAUGACAAGGUCAGAAAAGUUUGAUGACAUACUCCCAAUCAUCUUAUCAUAAAAAGGCGACUGGAGAGUAUCCAUAAACAUACCAACCAUUUCUCUUUUAGAUAAAUGAGGUUCUACUUGUGAUGCCAUUUCCCUCCACUGUUGCGCGUAUUCUUUGAAAGCUUCGUUGUCCUUUUUCAAUGAAUUUUGCAAUUGCAUCCUAUCAGGGGUCAUGUCAACAUUGUACCUGUAUUAUUUCAAAAAGGCAUCAGCUAGGUCUUUCCAUAAACGAAUUUGAUUUCGCUCGAGAUGCAUAUACCAACUUAACGAUGCCCCACUCAAAUUGUCUUGGAAAAAGUGAAUGAGAAGUUUAUCGUUAUGAGCAUGAGAAGCCAUUUUUCUGCAAUACAUAAUUAGAUGAUUUUUAGGACAUGUGUUGCCUUUGUAUUUUUCAAAGUCAGGAACCUUGAAUUUUGGAGGGAUAGUCACAUCAGGAACCAAACACAUGUCGAAAGCUUCGAUACCAUAAACAUUAUGCCCCUCAAUUGCUUUUAUUCGCUCUUCUAAGACAUGAAAUUUUUCCUUUGAUUGUGUAUCAUCCCCAAUGUGAGGUUGAUGCCAAUUCCCGUUAGCAUCAAAACGGGGCACUUGAGGUACACUAUAUGAAAUAUUUUAUGUGGGUAUAGUGUUUUGGGGUGGCACAUAGCCCAGAUGAGGUGGGAUUUGUGAUUGGUUUAAGUUUUGGGGGUUAACAACUGAGUGGUUUUGGUUAUUGUCCAUGGGGUUGAUUACUACAGGCGGAGUAUAACCAGGUGGGAGACCAUAUAUAGGAAAUUGCAUAGCCGCUGUGCGAAAUUGUUGGUUAGUCGGGGUAAAAUCCGGUGGGUGAAAAGGAGCAGUUUGGUGUUCUUCAUUCACAGUCGGAGGAUCCCCAUAUGUAUUCUCCUUCCUUGUCAAAGCCUGUAUAGCUUCCAAGAUUCGAUUGACCUUUUUUCCUUUAGUUGGUUGACAUCUGCUCUUAUCACCUCUUGUUUUUGGUCGAGUUCAUCCAUGAUCUUGGAAUUCGUGUGCGUCCGAUAAGGGUGUCGGGGAAACAGUUUUAUUGAUUUUUUCUGUUUUUUUAUUUAAAAAAUAAUAAUAAAUAAAUAAAUAAAAUUUCUAUGAGUAUUGAAAUAUGAAUGUGAUGGAAAUGAAAUAAAUUAGUUAAUUAUGAUUGUUGGAUAGUGGGGCAUCAUACGCCUUAGGAAAUAGCAAGAACAAAUUAUUAGUGAAGAAAAUAUAAGGACUGGAAAUCAAAAUAGAAAAUCCUUCAUUGAUAAGAAAAAGAGUACAUCAUAUUCAAAUUAAAAACUACAUUGACUAUGAGAUUUCAAUCUUAUCUUUUAAUAGGACAACCAAUCUUCUCAUUCAAUUCUUAUACAAAAUUUUUGCAAUAUUCAACGAACUUGUAGAUUUUGACUGGAGUUUUCAACGGAUGCAUUAUCGCAUCAAUCUCUCUUAGAUGCUUUGGAAUUUUUAAGACUGCUUGAUUAGCUAGCAUUGCUAAUUUUGAAAAGCAGUCUUUCCAAUGUCUUCCUUUAUCUUCCAGCUCUUUAUAGAUCUCUUGAUUCUUUAAUUGACCUAGCAACACCAUAAACCGAUCCUCCCAAUAUAAGGUUUCGUCCUUUAGGUCACUAUAGAUCUUUUCUUGGUAAUCAAUGUAAUUCUUUAGCUCACUAGAAUUCUCCAUUUCUAUUCUUAGUGCGUCUUGAUGUUUUGAGAGUAGUUCUUCAAUUUCUUCUUUGUGUUGCCUCUCAUUCCUUACUUGACUCUCAUACUCAGCUACCAUUUGCUUCAUUUGUUUAUUUAAAUCUUCAAACUCUUUUUUUAUCUUCUUUUCAGAGCUUGCUGAUUUUGUCCACAACUGCUUCCACAUAUAGGCCUCUUCGAUAGCUGCAUUCUUUUCUUGCUUUCGCACAUCUAACUCUUCAUUUGCACCUCUCAAACAAUCUUGUAUGUCAAGUUUAUUUUCUUUUUCAAUUUUUAACCUCUUGUUACUUCUUUUAAUAAAAUGACUUUUACAUGUGUUUUCUGAUCGUAAGUUCACAUUCUCUUGGGAGACUUUUUCUAACUUCGCAUGUAGCUCUUUUUUCUCCUCAUCAGAUUUCAAAAAUAAUGCUUUGAGUUCUCCUAUUUCUUUAUUGGUUGCAAGGGUAGGUUCAGAUAUUUCCUGAUCACUCGAGGGUGUAUUGUGGAAAGGCAACUUGAUUUCUUGGACUCUAUUUUUUACCCAUUUUUGAUAGGGUUCUUUUGUGCUGCAACUUCUGCAUCCAAGUACUUUUCCUUUUCUGAUGAUCUUUUUCCAAGCUCGACUUAUCCUUCGCAACAUCGGUAGGUCUACUAUACCCGUAUUAUGCAAAAUAAAUGCUUCCAAUGACUUAUCAUCUGGUUUAUCCAACAUAGGGUAGCCAAGUUGUCUCAAAGCUACCGUUAGAUUGUAAUUAAUACAUCAUUUGGUUCCCAUGAGAGGCACAUUUGGGAAAUCUCCGCAUUAACAUAUUACUUCCUCCACCCUUUACUCUCUAUGAUACCAUGAAAUUGUGUUCCCGGUAAGGCUAGCUAUACUCUGAGCCCAUUCACGAUUAUUUUAAUUCCAACAUGAUACCCUCUCUUGAACAUAUGAGACAUAAACCAAAUAUACAACACUGGAGCACAACACAAAAUUGUUUCCCCUUUCUUCUCAUGUCGCAUAUGUAGAGAGUAGUAUACAUCAGCAAGAAUCGCGGGAACUGGAUUUUGAUUAUGUUUGUUAAAGGCUAAGAAGACAUUGAUGGCAGCAAAAUCUAUAAAAUUAUCAAGGUUUGGAAAUAAAACAAUACCAUAGAUAAUUAGAGCCAAAACAUCUAGGCUUAAUUGCAGUUUUGGUCCCUCUAUUUUAACUGAAUCGCGAAAGUAGUCCCCCCAUUUUGUUUCUCCUCAGGUUUGGUCCCCUAAACAGAGUUUUGGUCCAAAACUUGAUGAAAUUUCAUUUUUUUUGUAUUUAUUUAAGUCACACAAUACCUCAAGAUCUCAUUUGCAACAAUUGUACCUGAAAUAUAUGAUCAUAAAUGGUGUAGUACGACUUUAAAAAAUAAAAUUUCAUCAAGUUUUGGACUAAAAUUCUGUUUGGGGGACCAAAACUGGGGAGAAACAAAAUGGAGGGACUACUUUCGCGAUUCAGCUAAAAUAAGGGGACCAAAACUACAAUUAAGUCAAACAUCUAUAAAAAUACUUCAUUUUUUUUUAACGGCUAAAUCCUGACACUUUUGCUCUAGAUAUUUUCUUGAAAAGCCAUGAACGACUCAUUUUUCCUCUUUUGUACUGGUCAACUCUCUUAUGUCGAUUUUCAAUUCUUCAGAUAUUGCAUCCAAACUCGGUGGUUGUCCAGUAUAUCGAUAAGGAUUUCCUUUCUCUAGGGGGUAACCCAAUAUUCGCUCAAAUUCCUCCAAUGUCGGGGACAACUGAAAGUCUUGAAAGGUGAAACAUCUUAAGAGAGGGUCGUAAUACAGAGCCAACGCCGUGAGGGCCCCUAUUUGCACAUUCACUGGCAAGGGAUUUAGGAUUUCCCAUAUUUGCGAAAGAAACUCUCACGUUGUAUAGUUUUCAUUUGAUUGUUGAUGUCUCUUAAACUUUUCAAAUCAGGUUGCUUGAACUUUAAAAGUAAAGUUUUUCUCUUUUCCAAUACCAUUGUCCAUUUUAAUUUUAACACGUGACUAAGGUUCUUAUGAUUCCCCAACAAUCCUGAAAAAUUGAUGCAAAAUGUCAUUUCAGUUUCCAAAAGAAACAAUGUCAUGUCAUGAGAUAUGAAUGCAAUUAUGUAAAAUGAUUGUUGUGAGUAUAUAACAUUUAGAAUGAAUGUAUGAGGUGUUUUUUUUGCUUAUAUGGAUAUUCUAUGAUGAAAUGAUCUAUUGGCUUAUGUAAUGAAGCUCUUACAAGGGUGGCUCUAUAGUUCUAAACACGGUCCCUAGAGCCAAUAAUCUCAUUUUAGAAUAUUAUCAACAACAAUAGGUAAACUAUUUGGAGUGACAAUAUCCUCAACAAGAUCAAACUCUAGGUGAGAUUUUCAUGCUAACCAAACAGGAUGUACAUCCAGAAGGCUACCACUACACAACUUCGAAACUAAACUUAAGUUUUGUUCAAACCCGGGUGUAAGGUUCCACUCAUAAGUGUGUGUCUUAGUAAAAGUGUAGGGUGUAGAAUAAGUAUGAUUCAAUAACUCCAUAACGAUAAUAAAAUAUAUAAUAAAAAUAAAAAAAUAAAUAAUAAAUAAUAAAUGAUCUAUAAGUAUAAAAAUGAAUAAAUAAAUAAAUAAUAAUGUCAACUAACACUUAUUAAGAAAUAAUAAACACAUAAAAUAAAAAAUGAAAAAAUAGACAAAUAUAGAAAAAGUUAAAAAUUAUGCACAAUUAAUUUCUUAGGCUUGACUUUCUAAAUUGUCCUCAGUGGAGUCGCCAGCUGUCGCGGCCUAAAUUUUCUAGUGUUUCUCGAAUUUAAUGGAGUCGCCACCAAAAUUUAUUUUAAAAUAGGGAAAAUACUAGAAAACCCUUAAAAAUAGAAAAAAUGGUCUUUGAAACCAAAUUUGAGUUCGGGAGUCGAUUAUGCGUAGGAAAGGUAUUAGCACCCUACGACAUCCGUUAAAGUACAAUUACCUAUAGUUAAUUGUGCAAGACUAUUAUUAACUUAAAUAUAUUUAUUUCUCAUUAUCAUUACAUAUGAAUAACAAUUAUUAUUAAUUUUUUAAUAUGAUUUUGGAAUAAAUGUGUGCUUAACAAAUAAAGGACAAAAAAAUAAAUUUUUAUUAAUGUGUUUGACAAGAAUGCGAUAUUGCUCAUACGUAUCUCUCGGUGAGAUGGAGAAAUCAAAGUUACGUAGUUCUUAAUUAGAAAAUAUUGAUGUGUCGAUUUUGUUCAACGAAAAUGAGUUUUGUUAUAUUUAAAAAAUGUAUUGACGAGAAAAGAAAAUAAAUUUGUCGGACUUAAAAAAAGAAAUUGAAAUACGGGUGUUAAGACUAUCAAGUUGUACAACUUGUGUCUCAAAAACUCAAAAAAUAAAAAGAUGUCUCAUCUAAUUAAUCCUUUUAAGAAUAUUUUAAAUUAUUGUUUGGUUAAUAAAAAUUGAGUUCUAAAACAACAAGUAGUACAACUUGUGUCUCAACAACUCUCAAGUUUAAAAUAAAAUAAAAUCACAUGUAACUAAUCAAAUUUUAAAAAGUUGAUUUUUAUAUUUACUUAUUUAUAAAAAUAAGUUUUAGAAUAAUAAAUUUGUAUAAAUUGUGUUCUGCUACUCAUGGAAUAAAAGAUGUUAUCUUUAGUUAACCUCUAAUAAUUUUUAUUUAUUAAUUUAUUUAUAAAUUUUAAUUUAUUAAUUUAUCUAUGAAGAUAAGCUUUAGAAUCACCAAGUUGUCGCAACAUCUUAAUAACUCAAAGAUAAAAAAAAUAAAUAAAAAAACAUCUAAAUAAAUAAAUUUAUAAGUCUUUUUUAUAUUAAUUUAUUAAGAUAAAUAAAUAAAUAAAUAAAACUAAAAUAAAAUAAAAAGUUUUAGAAAAUAAUUUAUCGUUAAUAAAAUAUUUAUUUGUAUUUAUGAAACAAAAUAAUUUUGAAAUCAUAAAAAAAAAAAGGAAAAUAAAUGGGCUGAAAUCUGAAACAAAUAGGUUUGUUUUUUUUUUUUUUGUUUAUAAUGGGCCCAAGUUGAACAAGGUUUAAGAUAACACAAAAAAAUGUUAAAAUAUAAACAUGUAACCCUAAAAUAAACCUAGAUGCAGAACUUGAAGAGAAGGGGCGGCCGCUGUUGAACAGAAAACACAAAUAGGGAGCAUUGGAGAGAAUGAAAAGCAAAGAAAGAAAGAGAAAGAGACAGAUAGAUACCGAGAUGAGGCCGUGAGAAGCAGAAGAGACCAAGGAGGAGGAUGUGGCCGCAAGAUGAGGCCGUGAGAAGGAGAAGAGACCAAGGAUGAGGGUGCGGCUGCUCCAAAAGGCACCGGUUCCAACGGCGAUGGUGACAAUAUGAAGGUUUGAGUUUUCUCUGUCUAUUCUUUUUGUUUUUACACACAAAUUGAAUAUUUGUUCACUGUAAUAUUUGCUCUUCUAAUUUGUAUAUUUUUCUAAUGUAAUCAUCUCAUGUUUCAAAACAUUCAAACUAAAAAAAACUUUUUUUUUUUUUUUUUUUUUUUUUUUUUUUUUUUUCUGAUCUCGCCUCUAACCCCCUUUUUUUUUUUGCCAUUUCAAACUUAAAGAAUAUGUAUUUAUAAAGUCUUUUUAUAUGUUUAGUUGCUUUCUUGUUUGUGCCUCUAUUUUCAUAUCCUAGUUUGAUGUUUUGUUUUCUUUGCUCAUCAUAUGCGUUUUUCUGCACCACUGAUGCCUUCACAAUUUUAGAUUAUUUUGUUUUUAUCUGAUGAUUCGUUGAGCUUUUAUUUGUCCUUUAGUUUCUUUUUUUUUAAACUAAAAAUUUGUCAUUUAGUUUUUAUCAUGUAUACUAAGACUGACUGGUUAAAAAUAUGCUUUUUUGUUUCUCUAAUUAGUUACAACAGGUACAAAUGUAUCAAUGAGCAUGGCUUGUGCAUCAAUGGCAGUCAGCAUCAACAUAUCAGGGUUUGGCAGUGAGCAAAGGCAACAAUAGAGAACAAAACACAGACAAAAUUGGAAACAGUUGACUUGAUUUGAAUUAGUUUGACCUAAUUUUUAUUGUAAUUUAAUUUGGCUUUAUUUUUAAUUUGUAAUUUGAUUUGAUUAUAAUUUAACUGUAAUUGUAAUCUGAUUUUGUAUUGUAAAUUGAUUAGCCUAUUCAUUAUAAUUAUUUUAUUUCUCUUUUUAAUAUAUAUUUCCUUUUUGAUUUAUUUUUAGAUAAAUUGGACAAAAUUAGGGUAUUACAGGAUACAUCUUAUUUGUACUCUAUAUUUUUUUGUAUAAAUGAGAUAUUAUGAUAUUGUAUAUUUUGAUUAUUAGAUGGUUAUAUAAAAUUGUGAUUGUAAGUACAAAACUCUUAUUUGAAAUUUAAUAUGAAAUAUUGUAUGAGUUAGGAGCAUGAAAACAAAAUGAGAAAUUUAUAUAAAAUAAAAAAUAAAAAAAUUAUUAUUUUAACUAUAUCUAUUAAGUUAGUUGGUCAAAAUAUCUGACUUAAAAACAUGAUGUGUUGUACUGAAUUUAUGAUGUUUAAGUCGAUUAAGCUGAAUCGACUUAAUAUGAUGAAACUCUGUUACGUCGGUUCAUGAAACGAGUUAAAAAACAACAUGUUUUUUAAGUCGUUUGCCGUUAACUAGGGCACAUAACCAACUUAAAAUGUACAUUUUAACCGAAUUAAAAAGACAAAAUUCUACUAGUGUAUUAAAAAUACUAUUUUAUCUUAUUAUCUAUAAAAAUCUCUAAAAAAAUUACCUUUAUUUUUUUCUUCCAUUUCAUUCGAAACUUUCAAUUGUCUGAAUCACAUAUUUGCGAAUAGGGAUGAGAAUAGGCUAGAUUGUCCGUCAGGUGCCUAUGGUCUGGCCUAUUUGAUAAAAAGACUAGACUCAGACUAUUUUUAAAGCUUAUUUAUUUAAAUAGGUCUGGGUCAAACUUAUAAAAAAGCUUAUUAGACCUGACAGAUCAACAUAUAUAUAUUUUAUUAUUUAUUAAUGUUAUUUAUUAUUAUUAUUAUUAUUAUUAUUAUUAUUUAUUAACAAUAUUAUUUCUUAUUUUAAAGUCUAUCAAUUAGGCAAUCACUCAUUAGUCGUUAUAUAUUUGGUAGUCAUUUCAUGUUCAGUAGCGAUUCUAUAUUCGGUAGUCGUUCUAAAUUUGGUAGCCGUUCAAUUAUACAAUCACUCAGUAAUCGUUCCAUUUUUGUUUGAGUGCGUUUGUUUCAAGAAAAAAAAAAUUCUUUAAAAGCAAAAUUCAUUUUUUAGUGUUUAAAAAGUGUUUGAUUUAGAUUUUUUAUAUAAAGACAUAAUUUAGCCUAUUUAAAAAAUAUAUAAAAUAUAACAUUUAAAUUUUUUCAUGUGAAUAAGGCUUUUAAAUAUGCUUUCAGGUUAGGCCAAACUUUUAAAAAGGUCAGAUCAGACUGGAAAAAAAAAACCUAUGAUAGGUCGUAAGCCUAAAAAAUUAAUCGUAGGACAGACUCAAAUCUUUCAAAGUCUGGCUUGAACUGACCUAUUCCCACCCAUAUUUGAGAACCUUCAAACUUUUGAAACCUUCGAAACACAAAAGUAAGAUCCCCUUGAAAAUAUGAAACUUUCGAAACCAAAUUUGUUCAAAAGUUUCUAUCAACAUGAAACUUUUGAAAUAAUAUUUUUUUUAGACCCCACAAAUUUUCGAAAGUUUCUAACAAACUGAAACUUUUGAAGUGCAUUUUGUCCCAGAUUUUUCGAAAACUUUCGGAAGUUUCUAUCAACAUGAAACUUUCUAAAUGUUCAAAGUUUCAAAACUUUCUAACAACUUGAAACUUUUGAACAUUUGUUUUUCAGAAAUAUGAAACAUUCGAAUGUUUCAAAGGUUUCGAAAUUUUGGAAUUCAUGAAAAGUUUCGAAAUAGGUUCGAAAGUUUGACCUUCAAUAAAACUUUCGAAUCCAAUUUCAAAAAUUUGGAAAAAAUAUGAAAGUUUUGAAAUGAUUCUUUUUUUGUUUAUUUAAUUUUUUUUAUUAUUGAUACAUUGUAGUGCUUAGAAUGAAAGGUGCAUUUGGUCAAAUUAUUCACAACAUUGCCCGAAGCGUGAGAGGUGAUAGUGCUGGUGGAGCAGAGAGAAUUCCACCAACAACAUCAAACAGACGACGGAAUGAAGCAAACCGUUCAAUUACACUGCAACAUGGGAUUAAGCAUGUGCUAAAAUUAGUUAUAAUAAAUGUGCACAAUAUAGACUGCAUUGGUUGCGUGAUUUAUAUAGUGGUCACAUUCAAGCUAACAUGUUUGAGUGUGCAGCUAGAACAUACCUGUUGCAUUUAGUUGACAUCACUAUUUUCGCUGACAAAACACAGACGCGUGUGGAGGAAAAAUACCUUACUUUGUUUAUUGAUUUAGAUCGUUGUCAGGACUAUUCGUGGGGUACUGCGAUAUUGGUUGUCCUAUAUGAGAAUCUAGGAGAUGAAGUUGUCCACAACACUCGACAGAGUGGAGGUUACAAGACCCUAUUAAAGGUAUAUAAUUUAUAUUAAGUUGUGUUAUUUAUUUAUUAUUUAUUAAUUUAUUAAAUUGUGUUAUUUAUUUAUUUAUUUUUAGUGAAAUGCUGAAUUUAUGAGCAUUUCCCUAGGAUCUGUAAGUGGGACGAUAGAUAAGUGGAUCAUGCGCAUAUUCUAAGAGCAUGUAGGUGGACUGCAAAACACGCUGUUGAAGGUGGACUGAUCACAUAUCGGCGGAGACUUGAUGCUUUGUUGCUAGAGAAUGAAGUGUUUACACCAUCUGAUGAUGAUUGAGCUAAUCACAUGUUUGCAUCAGCUUCGAUAAUCUUCAGAUACCUUCGAUGUGGUGGAUUCUCAGUCUCAUAUCUUCCGGAUCGAUGUCUUCGAUAUUUUGGUCGUAUUUGGUGCAUUUUGUGUGAUGUUCCUCGGGUGCCGAACAAUAUAGAUCUCUUUAGUCACAAUAACUUUAGAAAUUAAAUUCUCAUAGACGAACAACUGUCUUACCUUUUCAAAUAUCCAGAUGAAGUUAUCUUGUCGUUGUUGUUCCAAGUAAGCAAACUCAACCGAAAAUGUCAAACUAGUAGAUGUGACACCGAUAAUUUCAAGUAAUGGAUGGUAACCAAUAUCUAUUUGUUUUGUAUGUGCUAUCACAUAUCAAAACAAAAUAAAACGUGUUUAACAACUUUAUACAAUCAGGAUGCGUUCAAAAUAUAUCUCUCAGAACAUUUGAAUGCUUCGUCUACUUGUCCAAUGCACAUAAUUUUCUCAACGAUGAUCGAUAAGUACUCAUUGCUUUAUAUAUUUGAUUGAGAAUUGUGAGAUUAUCUUUUUGUUUCUCUAUUUUAAAGCAUUCAAAAUGAAUCUUGGUGCAAGCUUAUAUUUUGUCAUAUCAUUGACAAAUUUCAUCUCUUCUUCGUUUAAACACCCCAAUUAUGAAUGACCGGUUAAAGCAUCCAGUAAAUCAUGAUUGUGUGUUCCACAACGGACACUAAUUUUUCAUCAUUCAUUGAUACUCAACGAUAUACAUCUGAGUUUAAACGAACAUUUUUCAUUAUGAGAACAAGAUACUGUUGAUUUUUAUUUUGAUUUAUAUUUUCCACCUCUUUCGCAUCCCAAAAUUAAUUUAUCUUUUCUUCCUCUCUUUUUGAUUACUUAUUUGAUCGAAUGAUAACAAUUAAAAUUUCAUUUUGCCUUCCAAUAUUUUUUGCUCAUUCAAAUACAGCUUCUCUGGAGGAAAAUAUCUACAAAAUAUGUUUCAAAUAAAACAUCAAUAUAUAUUUAUAAUAAAAAAUUCAUCGGUAGUCAAUUAUCAGUAAUAAUACGUGAUCGGUGAUGAAUUUUUCUGUAGAAUCUAUAAUUGUUUUUGAAGCAGAAACAUCAACUCUACUCAUACCUAAUUUCAAAAAGUAUACUAAAUUUAAUUAAUAAUAAUAUUAUAAAUCCAUUUUUUUAAAUACAAAUUUUAAUUAUUACUAAAAUAAUUAUUUACAUUUCUAAAAUUUCAUCUAAAUUGAAACUUUCAAAAAUUUUAAAUUUUUUGAAAUUAUAUUACUUCAAAAAUUUCAAAAAUUAUGAUGUUUUCUGAAAAUUUGUGUUUCGAAAAUAUGAGAAAUUGUGUUUUCAAAGAUUUUAAAUUGAUCAAAAGUUUCAAAACUUUCAAAAAAUCAUAGAAAAUUACAUUUUAAAACUUUCAUGUUUAUUAAAAGUUUCGAAAAUGUAAAAAAAUUCACUUUUUUAUAUUUCAAAAAUUUAAAAAUUUUCAAAUGAUAAGGUAGAUUUUGUAAUUUUCAAAAGAGGGGAUGAAUAAUAGAGUAGUAAUUUUUUUGAGUGUUUUAUAAAUAAUAAAAAGGGCAAAAUAGUAUUUUUAAUGAGGAUAGGGUGAGAAAUGCAGGUAGGGGUUUACAAUACACUUUCAAUUAUAACCCUACUACGGCCCAUUUCUCUUAACAAAAUCCUAGUCUCCACCCAUGCAGCCCAACUCUCCUAGCUACCAAAUGUUUGUCUACCAAAUAUUUGAAAAUUAUAUUUUGUACUCCAUAUUUAGAUUUAUGUCUCUAUAUUUAUAAUUUUUAUUCAUUAUUUUUUCAAAAAUAAAUUUAUGAUUAAUUCUUAAAGUAAAAAAAUUAAUGCAAUUCACACACACUCUCUUUGAUAAAAUUCAGAAAAAGUAAUUAAUUUUUUGAAUUUUUAGAUAAUUAUUUUCUAAAUUGAAAAUUUAAUUUUCUGAUUUCUAAUGUUUUUUACAAAUUUUUUUGUCUAUUAGAAAUUUCGAAAUUGAUUUUCUUGUCAACCAAAAAAUUUUAAAAUGAAAAAUUUGAUAGAUAAUUUUUUUUUGUCUACCAAAAAAUUUCAAAAACCACUUUUUUGCUUACCAAAAGUUUUAAAAAAUUAAAAUUUUGGCAUGCAAAAAUUUAUCUCGACUUUUUAUUGCCUAUCAGAAAUUUAAAAAACGAAAUAUCUGGUUAUCGAAAAUUUCUAAAACAAUUUUUUUGCCAACUCGAAACAAAAAAUUUGAGUUUACUUGCCUUUUUGAUUUCUUGCUAUAUAUUUUCAGUGUGAUGAUUCAAUUGAGUUCUUCACUAUUCUUUGAUAAUCUUUGCAAACGAACGAGAGUAGAAUUGGUAGUCUACACAUAUAGUUUUCGCAAUAUUAUAGAUGAAUGAGAUUUUUUUAACGUGGUUCGUAUAAUGAAUAACUCUUCUACUAAUUGCUCCCAUUUUAGAUUAUUUAUUGUUGAAAUAUUUGCAAUCAUUUAUAUAUUUGUUUAGUCAUACAUGUGAAAAGAAUAUCAAAUAUUUUUCCAUAUCUAUUAGCUAAUUUUUUUUAUUCUCAGUUAACACUAUUUGGAUAGAGGAUUAUCUUGUUAUUGCAGCUAUUUGGUUAUUUAAUGAAAUGAUAAAACAAAGGAAAAAAAAACUCUUUAAUCUCUAAAAUUAAUGUUUGUUAGUUAUAAAAGAAAAAAGAGCUAAUAAAAUUGGUAAAAAAUUUAUCUCUUUUUAUUUUAAAUUUUUAUUGCUCCCCUCGCACAAACUCACAUUAAAGAGAGAUAUAAUUUUCUUAUAUAAUAUUUAUAAUAUUUAUAAUAAAAAAAUCAUUCAAAAUAUUAAAUUGUACAGGGAAUUGGGAAUCUAUAAAAACUUAGGUAUGUUUGAUUUUUUAUCUAUGAGAUUAUAUUUUAUAAAAGUUUAUGAUAUUAUUUUUGUUUGAAAAUAUUAUGAAAUAUUCUUUUUGUAUUCUUAACCAUAUUUUUACAUCAUCCACCAAAGCAUGUCGUCUUUUAUAAUUUCCACAUAUUAACGGUAAAUUUAAAAAUAAAAAAUAUUAUUUUUUACGUAAAAAAGUAAUAAAUAUCAUCAGAGAUUUAUGUAUAUAAUUGUGAGAUUUUAAAUUCUAACUCAAAACAUAAUAUUUAACAUAAAAAUUUUAAUAUUUAUCGAUUGAUUUAAAAUUUAAAAACAUAAAAUACAUUUUUCUUAGAGCUUCAUUCACACAAAAUUGUAUAGACUAGUCUCUUUAAUUUAAAGACUUUACAAUAAGCGCGGGUGUGCAAGGAUUAUAUAUUAAAAUGGUGAUUUUAUAUACACACGAAUAAGAGAUCAAAUUAGUGACCACAUGAUUUAGAGUUGGCUUGCAAAUUUUUAUACCACUAAGAUUAAUGGCACGUUUGUUUUUAGAUUUUUUUUUUAUAAAUAUUUAUAUUUUUUAAAAUGAUUUUUAUGAAAUUUUGUUUAAAAAUAACAAAAAUUAUUUUCGAUUAAUUUAUUAUCGAUUAAAAAGAAAUUUUUAUAUUUCAUAAUUUAGAUAUUCAUUAUUAGAGAUUUUUAUAAGAUAAAAAUCAUAUUUUUUUUUAUAAAAAAAUAUCUCUCAAAAAUUAUUUUUAUGAAGAAAUUCUCAAGAUAAUUUUUAAUUUUAAUAAUUUUUUAAAAGUUUAUUAUCUAAAAAAAUUGUGAUAAAUGGAUUAAAUACUUAAAGGGAUAUUUUAAGAUAAAAUAUUUAAACUAAUUUUUUAUUUAAAACUUUAAUUUUAAAAUUCUUUUUUUUAUAUUAUAACAAAAAGAAAUAAAACUAUAAAAAUUAUUUUAUAAAAAGCUUUCACAAACAGACCCCAAAUCUAUUUGUAAAUAGAGAAUAAUAUAUAGAAUAAUACUCCAAAGACUAUAUAUGUUUUGAUAAACUUGACAUAAAAUAUUAUACUAUAAUCGAAUGAGAAAAAAUAUAUUAUACAGUUUGAACCCAACCAAAAUCGACAACAAUAAUUAGUAAAAUAGUGUAUGAAAUAACAUAAUUCAUAAUUUAAUUGCUCAUCUCUUUCUCAAAUAUUUGUUUUGAAGCUCUGUCGGGAUUUCCUAGAAGUUCCUAGAUGUAUUAGUGCUGCCAUUUCAAUUUGUCGAUAAUUGAUUUGGGAAAAGACCUUAGAAUUGAUGUUGGUGUCUUAUAUUCUUCAUAUACUGUGGAUCAUACUUAUCAAUACAUGAUUUUUCAAUCAGAUUUAAAGUUAGUUAAAAGUAAAUAUAAGUGAACAACAAUAAAUAAUUUUUCAAAGAUAGAUUAGAUUUAAGACGGUGAAAAAGGCGCAUAUGGUCACUCGAUAGCGUAUAAAGGACUAUAUUUCCAAAAAAAGUAAAAUCAUUUUUUCGAAUAAAAAAAUUUUAUAAAUCAUUUUUUAUUAAAAUUAUUUUUGAAAAAAUCAAUUUUUCUUAAAAAAAGUAAAAAAUAAAAAAUAAAUCUGAAAAAGUAGAUUUAUAGAUUUUACUUAAUCCACAUAACUUUAGAAUUUUUUUAGUUUUGCGACUUUUUCUUUUUAGAUCUUAAUAACUGCAAAAUUUUUAACUUCUACAAUAUAAGUUGAGGUCAAUAAUUAUUAGGUAUGUGAAAUUGACAUUUAAGAUGCAUUUCCUCUUGUAAGUAAUUAUAUAAGAUUUCUAAAAAAGAAUUUGUUAUGGGAGAUAAAAAGUAUUGAAUAGCGAUUUUACAAUAUUAUAUAUAAUAUUUGCUGACGCGUUUCUUAAAGAUGAGUUUGUCUUCUUAGAAAAAAAGAGAUUAUAUAAUGGAGACUUCUAAAAAAAAUAAAAAUGGACUCGGACCAUUUUUAAUAAAAAUAAAUUUAUAAUAAUAAAAAAUAGAAAAAUUUAUUUUUAUUUUUAAUUUAUUUUAUUAAAAUUUACUAAAAGUAAGAUUAUUUUAUAUAUAGAGAGAUGAGCGAUCAAAUUAUAUUUAAUGAGUUACUCAUUCAUUAAUAUUUUAUUAGAUAAAUAUUUUUAAAAAUUAACUGAUAGAUUGAAAACUACUAUUAUAUAGAUGAUAUCGGUAAGUUUUGACAUUAAUCUAUCAUAAUUUCUUGCUUCUGCCCGGGCAAAAUCUUUAUGCUUUUUUAAUCUUUCAUUUAGUUUUAUGUCCAAAUUUCCGAGUAGGACUAUAUUGUGUAAAAGAACAUACUUAAUGCAUCGUAUUAUAGUCGUAUACAAUAUAAAAGAUCUAACUAUUAUAUACUUUCUAAAGUUUUGGACUAUUUUGACCCUUUGUUGACAUUUAAUAAACACAUGCGAUUCAUGAUAUGUGUGUGAGAUUGACACAAAAAUUAGAUAGAAUAAAUAAAAUUUUAAAACAGGAUAAUGCUAAAAAGAGUCUUAAGAGUAUUGAUUCAGAAUGCAAAAGAGGAAAAUUUAUGUUUAAAAAGACUGUAUUUAAUAUUAACAAGUGCUUAGCUUGGAUUUUUAAGACAACGUUUUAAUUUGUGAAUUUCGUAAUUCUAUAUAUUCUCAAAAAAAUUUAGCAGAGACUUUUAAAAAAAUGCAGAAAUAAAAUGCAACUGUUCAUUAUUACAUCUGGCAACAGGACGAGAGUGAAUUUUGUCUUUUUAUCCUCGCAUUCGAUUACAGAGAAACUCACAUCUGUCUCCAUAUUUUACUUGAUGUAAAAUUUAGGUCUACGUCUUUAACCGUAACAGAUUUCAGAUUUUUUCAUUCACACUCGUACUCAUUCAAAUAUAUGAAAUUAUAAAUUUAAAAAUUAUAUUUAUUAUAAUUAAUAUAAUAUAAUAAAAUAAUUAUUAUUAGACAAAUAUAAAAUUAAAAAAGUAUUUUUUUUAUAGAGAGGAGAUUAUAAUUUUUAACAUUUAAAAAAAUAUUAAGUAUAUUCAAUAUGUACAUUUAUAUAAAUUUUUAAAAUUUCAACAAUAUUAUUUGUGAGUCGGGUGGAUAUCACCCAAAACCCGUUUCUGCACCCGAAUUUUAAUUUCAGCAAAAAUCACAUUCGCACCCGUAUUUUAAUUUUGGGAAAAAUUUACAUUUGCAUCCGAAUUUUAAUUUCAGAGAAAAUUCGCACUUGUAUUCAAUCAAAGUGAAUUUUUUCCACCGAAAUAAGGACAAAUCCAAGCGGGUACUAGCAUAUGCAUGUUAUGUUGUCAUCCCUAGUCAUUAUAAUUAUUGCAUUUGCAAAAAAUGCAAAAAUAUUUAGUAAGAACUUGAUAAUUAGGUUUCAUUAUAAUUAUCACAUUUGCAAGAAAAAAUUGUCACAAAAUAAUAAUCUUUUUUACUUUAAUUUUUUUCCAUCAAUUCUAUUUUAUAAUUAAUACUACUUUGGUCACUGUUAUAAACAAAAAAGUCUUAAAUAUUGGUCAGAAUUGUAACUAAUUAAUUACUUUUAACUCAUUUAAUGCUAUUAUUUUCAAUACACUUUUUAUUUAACUUAAAAUAUUUAAUAUUUGAUAAUAUAAAAAGAUAACUUAGUGUUUCAGAUAAAUGUCACUGAUAUUAUUAAGUUGAACGUCUAUCACAUAUUCGAAUAUAAAAUCUCAUAUAUGUGUGAGUUAUUUAUAAUGGAAUUUAUCAUUUUUUCUAAAAUAAAAGAAAAAAUAAUUUAGUAAAUUUAAUUUAUCUUCAUAAAAAAUAAAAAAUUAGUUGUAUUUACUAUAUUUUUUAAUAUCUCGAAAUUAGUUUAUUUAUUUAUAUUAGUACUCGAGAGUACUAUAUACAUCAAUCCUAAUUUAUUAUUCCGUAUUUUAUAUUUAUAAGGAUAGUCUGAUAAAUUAUAUUAUAGUUUCAUAGUUCGUGUGAAAUAUUAAAUCCAAGUAAAAUAAAACAGGAUGAUGGUACGAGUUGACGUGCGAGUUAUUGGGAUGAUGAUGUGGAGCCAUAUCAAUAAAUUGACGUUAAACUUUUUCUCUUGCCGACAUCCAAAAUAUCACGACUGUUAAGGCAUACAUGAUUUGUGGUCAGACUUUCCUUAUUUGGUAUGGAAAACUAGCAAAGCUGUGUGUGUUGAUUUUAUUUUAUUUUAUAAUAAAAAAGUUAAAAGAGUUGUAUUAGAAUUGAUCACUCCUAUUUGUUAUGAGCAAUUAUUACAAGAAAUAAAAAAAUACGAAAUUAGUUAUGAUCACUGCUCUUAUAAUUGUCAUAUUUUAAUAAUUAAGUAAACAUAUGAAAGAAUUGUUGAAUUAUAGGAUUAACCUUAAAUAGUCUUAUGCACUAAUUUUAAAUUAUAAAAUGAAUACUGUGUUUUUGGUUAUAUUUUAUAAACAGUUUUUAUAAUAUGUCAAGAGGUAUAUAUAAUAUAAUAUAUUUUAUGAAUCUAUUUUAUUUUAUUAAAGAUAUUCAAGAUUUUUAUUUUAUUUUAUUUAAAAUGUUCAUUUAUAAUGAAAAUGAACUUUAAUAAUUUAGAGUUGGACUAAGAAGUAAUUACUAUCUAUGACUCUAAUUAUAAAUAUCAUUUAAGAAAAAAAAAAUUCUUAUGAUCGUGAAAAAAAAAUUCUUAUUAUCAUUUAAGAAGUAAUUACUAUCUUUUAUUUAUGAAUACACAAAAAAAAAAAUAUUCAAAAAGCUUCUCAAAGAUAAUCUAUAAAUUAGGUAGAUUGUACUUAGAUUGAUCAUGGAGAAAAAUUUGACGAUGAGGAAAACAUAGCCUUGGUUUUUAAUAAAUUCUUUUAAGAUCUUUUCUCUACUAGUUAUCCUGAAAGAAUUUAUAAAGCUCUGGAAGUGGUCAAAGAUAGACUGUCAAAAUCUAUGUGUAAUAUAUUAGAAGCAAAGUUCACAGAAAAUGAAGUUUUCUUAGCUGCUAAAAAUUUAAAGUCUUAUGCUACUUGAGGUCCUAUCGGAAUGCCAAAUUUAUUUUAUCAAUAGUUUUUAAGUAUAGAUGUUAAGGACGCAACUUCUUUUAUUUUAGAGAUUCUUAAUGAUGGUGGAAAUUCAAGUAGCAUCAAUUAGACUUAUAUUCUCAUUCCAUAAAAGAAAAAGUUGAAGGUACUAGACAAUUUUUGAUCUAUUUAUCUUAGCAAUGCCAUUUUUAAAAUAAUUAAAAAUAGGUUAAAAUUGAUUCUUCCUGAUAUCAUUGGAAAAAUUCAAAGGGCUUAUGUGCCAUGACGUUUAAUCAUUUAUAAUGUCUUACUAGUUUUUGAAUCUUUUCAUUAUAUAAAGAAAAAUAAAUAAAGGCAAGAAUGGGUGCGUUGGCCUAAAGUUGGAUAUGUCAAAGGCAUAUGAUCGCAUUGAGUGAUAUUUUUUGAUUGAGUUUUUCAGUCAAGGGAUUUUUUCUAAAAAAUGCCAUAGCUUGAUUUUUAAUUGUACUUCCACGAUAUUUUUUUUUUCUGUUCUGUUUUGCUUAAUGGAAGUCCUUGUAAGAAGUUAUGUCCUCUGUGAGGUCUUCGUUAAAGGGAUCAUUUGUCUCCUUAUAUUUUGAUCUUAUGUACAUAUAUAUAUUUUAUGGUCUUCUAAAUAAGGCACAUGAAAAUAAAGUCUUUCCUAAAAUUCAAAUUGCAAGAGGGGCUUCAAAAAUUUAUCAUUUAUUUUUUGCAGAUGAUAGCCUCAUAUUUUGUAGGGAUUCUCUUCAAGAUGCUUAUACCAUUCAAUGAUUAUUUAAUACUUAUGAAUAUACUUCUGUUCAACUUAUCAAUUUGAAUAAAUCAGAAAUCUCUUUCAUCCAAAAUAUGUCGGAUGAUUGUAAAAUCUUGUUCCAAAGGUGGAUACAAUUAAAGUUGUUGAGUGUCAUUUAAAGUAUUUGGGGAUAUUUUAUUUUGUUGGUAGGUCCAAGCAAAAUGUAUUUAAUUUUGUCCAAGAUAGGGUGUGGACGAGCUAAAGGGUUGGAAAUAAAGUUUUUUAACAAUUGCAGGGAGAUAAAUUUUGAUCUGUGAUUCAAGCAAUUCCUACAUAUGUUAUG